AAAAAGAAGAAGAAGAAGAAAGUUAUUUAAACAUGAAAAAAAAAUUACAAAUUUCUAGGCCUUUUUCCAUAAUUUUAAUUUUUUUAUUAUCUUUUGAAAUCUAGAUAUCUAAUUUUUGGGUAUUUUGUCAAAAUACUUUUUUAAUUUUUCAAGUUUUAUAUUAUUUUUUAUUUUCAAAUUUCUAACAAUUUUUUUCAAAAUAUACAUUUAAUUUUGCUUUUUGUUUUUUUCAAGUUUUUUAUUUUUAGAUUUCUAGAGAUUUUAAUGAAUUUGAGAUUUUUAAAAUAACUUGUUUUUAAUAUGAAAACUUUCAAUUAUUUUUAUUUUUGAAUGUUGGGCACUUUUCAAAAAAAAAUACAAUAGUCAAAUUUAGAUAACAUAUUUAUUAGUGUGGCAAAAGUUAGCGUUAAACUAGACAGUGAUGAAAUAAAGAGGCUAUAUUAACGGAAUUUUUUAAGUUGAGGGACCAAAUAAAUUCAAAAUAUAAUAAAGAGAUCAUAUUUGUUGUUAUUUAAUUUUUGAUAAAUUUUAAAACAAAACCAAAAUAAUAUUGCAUCAUCUUUCCCAAAUAAUUUAAAAUAAAAAAGAGAAAAAAAAUAUUUAAUUUUUUAAUAAUCCAAUUAUAAUUGUGGAAAGAAAAAGACCAAUUUAAAAAUUGGAAACCCUCUCAUGAAGCAACUCAUAUUUUUAAUUAAAUGUCUAAAAUUAAUUUUUUUAAUCUAAAAGUUUAUUUUUCUUAGUUUUGUUUUCAAGUAACAAAUGAAAGGUUGUGAUUUAUUCUUGAAAUUCAGUGGUUAAUCAAUUCUUUUAAUCUAAUAGUUCAUUUCUUUGCUUUAUCUCUAAAUAGCAAAUAAAUAGUUAUGAUUUGUUUUUAAAAUCCAAUAAUUAAUUUUAGUCUACUUUAUCUUCAAACCUAAAAUUUUAUUUAUUUAUUUAUAGGUAGUUACACUAACAGAGGAAAAGAUUUAAGGGAACUAGAAAAAAUAUAAAAAAUUCUCACUCUUUUUUUUAAAUCUCCCACAUAAAGAAAAAAAAAAAAACCCAGCCCAGUACCUCAACCUAAAAACUAGCCUCCAUGGAGGGAGACCAAAAAAACCUACUGCUCACUAUCAUUUUUUUCUUUACCAUCGCCGGCUACACCCACAACCUUCUACCCCACCGUGAACCAGACCAGUCCUUUGUCCCAGAAGCCCCCAUCACCAGCCACCCUCACUCAUGUCCCUCCAUCUUCUAUACUGAAACCACCUAAAAAUACCAGCACCGAAACCCACCUCCAACAACCACCCAGCCACCAGCUCGUCAACCACUCAGCCGCUAGCUUGCUAGCCACUUUCCUCCCCACCUAACUUGCCUACACCCACACGCCACCAUCAUCUUCAACCUUAGGCCAUAGCCUACACCAACUUGCCAUCUUUCUUUCCACUCAGCACCACUUGAAAUAAAGCACCUCCCUAUUUUGUUUCAAUACAAGCCCGGGAGUGUUCAUCUCUCAUCUUCUUCAGAAGCCCACGGCUGCCAACCCCCUAGUCACCAACCACUGAACCUCCUUCCAGCAGCCACCACACAGUCGCUUGCCCCAACUCUUACCCUUCACAUCCAAGAGCAAGCACUGACUGAGCUGCUCCUAUAUUUCCACCUUUUCCUUUGCUCCUGAAACCAGCCUAUCCAUCAUAUACGACUAUUUCCCCUUUUCUCUCUCAAUAUCAACAUUCGCCGGCCAUCAACUCUUCAACACCAGCCGCAAUAACUUGUUAAUUACUAUUAAUUGUAGGCAUUAUGAGAUAAUUUGAAAGAAAUGCAAUAUUAGCAUGGUUGCAUUCGCCGGCCAUCAACUCUCCUUGUCGCCUGUCUCCAUCUCCUUUUAUCUCCACUCCCCAUCAUUUACUGUAAAAGUAUGUAUAUUAAAAACUCAAAGGAAAGAAAAUUGCAAAUAUAUAUAAUUAAUAAACAUCCUAAGUGUGUUUAUUACGGCGGUAAUAAUUUUUGUGAUUGAGGUAUAAUAAAAAUAAUUUUUUAAAAAGUAUUUUUUUAUUAUGGUUGAUGAGGUUAAAAUAUAUAUUUGGUUUAAGUGUGGUUAAAUUUUAUAAUCAUAAAAAAAAAUAUUAAAAGUGUUUGGUAAAAAAUUAUGGUUCAAUUUUAUAUUAUGGUAUAAUUACUUAAAAGGAUUUCAUUCAUAAUUUUAAUUUUCAAUAACAUAAAAAUUAAUUUUACAACCAAUAAAACAUUAUAAAAGAUACCUAAACAUAGCAGAACGAUAUUUUAUAAUUGUGUCAUUAAACUUGCUGCAUCUUAUCAUGUACCUAAUUCAUAUGCAAAGGCUUGUGAUUUUUUUGGACUUGUGAAUGUGGAGCCAUAUCAGCGAAUAAAUCAUCGGGAACAUAAUUGGUCGGGAACAUAAUUGGAAUGAUGAUCAAACUCCAUAAAUACCAUAUCUUGGAGUGAAGUUCUUCUAAUGUAAUUAUGAAUUCUUUUUUUCUAAACUCCAAAUGUACGUUCUAUCACACAACCUAAUGAAGAGUGGAGUGGACAUGGUUGAAAAUUUCUUCACGAGUUUAUGGUUCUCCUCGCCUCCGAAAUUCUUGCAAAUGAUAUCUCUGACCUCUAUAUGGACCUAAAAAUCCAUAUUCAUUAGGAUAUCCUGAAUCAACCAAGUAAUAUUUCCCUGUAAAAACAUACAAUGGGAUAAAAAUUAAAAUUGCGUUUCCAAAAAUUUAACAUUAACACACACACACACGUUACUACUUUUUGGUGGCUUGGGGAAUUUUAUAUGUGGAUUGUCAAUUGCCUCGAGAAAAAUUCAUGUAUCAAGUGCACUACCUUCCUAGCCCACCCAAACAAAUAUGAAUUGCAUGUCAAAGCUAUAUGCAGCCAUAACAUUUUGAGUCGACACACCUUUUUUUCUGAUAAAUAGAAUUUGAUUUUCUGAAGAAACACAUGCGCGCACAUGUGUACCACCAAUAACUCCUAUACAAAUCUAAAAUAAGAGAAACUAGCCACCAGUAUCAACGUUAGUUGACUACAAAAUAAUUUUUUUCAAUUUUAUUUAAUUCAAAGCAUCAACAGUAAAUACCAAUAAUUUCAUUACCUUGAAAUGAGGCAUAUACCUUGGAUUAUUCAGAAUUUCACGCGGUGUGCUUACAAACUCGGGAUCUGCAGGUUGUAUUAAAUCAGUAGCGGGCGAACAAACUGAUUUAAGAACUUCAUUAAAGUACCGACUAAUAGUUUCUUUUGAAUGUUGAAAUCUCUCCUGAACUUUCCUGUUGGAAGCACCCAAUGCUAUUGUAUAAAGAAACAUUCCAACUUUUUUAAAAACACAUAUUCUUCUAGAUGCUUUUAACCUAUAUAGGUUUUUUAGUUGAAAGCAAAGACUUUGAAAUGUCGCCGCAUCUAUCAUAAACAUGUUUACGCAGCAUGUCCAAUGUCCAUGUAAUAUUUCAGUCAACCAUCGCAUUCUAGUGUUGUACGAAUCCAUACAAGGUUCCUUGUAUAUAUAAGUAUUAUAGUAUAAUGCGAGAGCACCUGCCGUGCAUAUAACCAAUUUCUGACGAUUAAACUCUCUUUUCCAAAACAACCCACCUUCUUUGUUUGAAUCAUUAUCGUCGUUUUCAUCAUUAUCAGAAUUGUCAUCGCCACUGGAAUCUCCAUCAUUAUCAGCAGAAUGACCAAAAUUAACGUAGUCAGCUACAUUAUUCAUUACAUCAUCAUACCCCCUUCAAAAAGUGCUUCAAACCAUUGUGAAUCCAUAAGUAUUAUGACAUAUAAUUUUUUAUAUUUAAUGGGAAUAUGCAUUCAAAGUAAUCAUUACAUAAAUUAAAGAUGUUCUAUGAAACAUGCAUUUGUAUUAUCUUAAAGGUAUUUAAAUUGAAACAACUUUUAUAUACCAAUAUGAAAUUUUGGUUAUAUAAACCUGUUAUUAACUUGUUCCUUACAAAUACAAAACAUUGUACUCACAAUGAUGCAAAUGAACAGACGUUUACGAAGCUAUGAAAACCCUGAAACAACUGCUCUAACUAACAUUUCCUCGCGCAAGUUAAUCAAACCCUGAAACAACUGCUCCAACUAACAUUUCCUCGCGCAACCUAAUCAAACAAAGCAUUAAUAUCAAUUUGUUUUAAUUUUUUUCUUGAGAUUCACAUAUAAUAAUUUAUGCAUGUACCAAUUCACUUCUCUCAUGACACUACAAUACUAAAAUUAUGUUCAAGUAGUAACUUAUUAAGCACUUAUUUGUUAAAAGUAUAGAAUGAAGCGAUUUCUUAAUCAUACUUUGUGUAGUAUAAAUGUUUGGAAUUACAUGAUGAAAGUGAGAAUUUGAAUGCAAAUGCAUAAACAGGAGCUUGGACUGGAACAAUCUAGAUGGAAUUAAUUAUGCCAAAGAGACCAUGCCAAUACUAAAGAAUGCAUUUUGUUUAUAAUAAAGUUUAUCACAUUGAAAAUAAUAUGUUACAAUCAUACUAAAUGAAAUGAAACUUACAUAUUAUAAAUCCCAGCAAUGACAAAUACCAGUAAUGAGAAACCAGCACACCUAUUAUCAAUGCCAUAACUUUCGGUUUGAGAAACCAGGACACCUGUUAUCAAUGCUAUAACUUUCGAUUUCUUCUUUAGUAGAAUACAAUAUGACAUGAAGUUUGCCUUCUGAAAUUUUGGUUAUUUAUAUACCAAUAACAAUAAUGUAAUUAACAUUCAAAAUAAGAUCUUAACUAAAAUUCCAAAACAAUUGAAACACCAACUGAAAUUUCGGUUUACCUUGUGAAAUUUUGGUUCUUUAUAUACCAAUAACACCAGUGCAUAUAACAUUCAAAAUAAUAGGUAACUAACAUUCUAAAACAGUCCCACACCAACUGAAAUUUUGAUUUCCAAGUAUGAAACCAAUCAUUCAAAAGUAAGUAACCAAACAUUCAAAGUCUCACACCAACUGAAAAUUUUGAUUUCAAUAACCUGAACCUAACAUUAAAAGUUUAGGUAUCCAUACAUUCAAAUUCCAAUAAUACUAACUGAAAUUUUGGUUUCCAUGUAUGAAACCAAAAUUUUCUAACAAGUAACCAAACAUUUAAAGUCCCGAGUUCAGUACUCAUAAAAUUCCAACCUAACAAUAUUCAGUGAAACAUAAAGUGAAAACAUACAUGGUAAUGGUGUUCCAACUACUUGGUAACAGAAAUACACAAAUUAGUAGUCAACUUCAUAUAAUUCCAGCAAUAAUUGCAACCCAAGAAGUUUGCAAAAAAAAAAACAAAGGAAAAGAUAAGUUCAAUUGAAAAUGCUAUUAGAUUAUAGUAUUUAACAUAAAUAAAAUGACAUGAAUAUGUUAAUAAGUUAACACCUGACCUUAUUCAUCUAAGGUUUUCUUCCUUGUUCAAAUAUUAUUUUCAGCCAUGAUAUUUUUAUAUCAAUAGAACCCAUUGCAGCCCACAUCUCCCUCUUGCUUCUCGCACAAAAAAAUUAUAUGGCAAAGGUAUGCAAAGCACUACCAAGGUUAACUCCAUCAAUUGAAUGCAGUUCUUCCAUUACCUCUUCAAUGCUACAUCUUUUUUUAUCUCUACAAGUUGUUGUGCUCUCUUUGGCCAUGGAGACAGACUAAACAAGUUGAUCCAGACAUGCAAGUAAUUAUGCUCCCAUUCAAGUUCCCCUCUUCUUUUUCUUGCAUUGAGGUGUAGUAUGAUGUGUAUCAUUUCUCUUUGUACUAUUGUGGUUGCUGCUAUUGUUUGCGACAUUGCUUCCACCAACCAAUUACUAACAUCAUGUAUGAAAUUAGGGAUUGCAUCCUCUUCAAAGUUGCCACUUCCUUCUUCUAUAUUAGUUUCCUCAUUAGUUGUAUUUCUCAUUCCAGCAGCCUCAUUAUCUUCAUCUAAUAGCAGUCAUUGUGAGGGAGUCUAAGCAUAUUAUCUCGUGGCCACUAUGUUAUUAAACAUGAUAUCAUACUAGGCACAUAACGAGGGCUCUAUACCAACAUGCCUAAACUUCUUUGCUCAUCUCAUUUCCUGUGUAAUGAAAGUUAGAUGUAGUUAGCAAUGCUACCAGUAGAUUAAUAAAUAAUACAACAAGACAACUGGAAAUUUUAUGAGGCUAUUGAUAAGGAAAACUAACAUGAAUUUUUUCUUUCCACCAUUCAUCAGUUGUGGAGAUGGUCCCCAGUUUAGUACUCUAACCAACUCCAAUUUUAUUUAUUAAUUUUUUCCACACCCUCAAGUCCUUUUUAAUCCCAUCCCAUUUGUUUUUAAGCUGAGCUUUUAUUAAUGAAAGUCAUGUUUGCUCUUUGAAUAACUGUAUGACAAAUUUCCAACCAGUUUUAUCGAAAUGGAUGUUUGGUCUCAUGCCUCUCUCAAUAGCUUUAAUGCAAAUGUCACAAAACAUGUGUAACAUUGUCUUGGUCCAACAAGUUUUAUCAUGUGUGUCAGACCCAUCCAUUGUUUAAUGGUUAACAAUGCAAUAACAAUGAAACAAAUAAUUAACUAUAUAAAUAACAGAUUGAAUGCUAACAAGGGCUAAAAUAAAAAAAAUAAAAUAAAAGACAAUUACAUUUGCAGCAAUCAACAAAUAACAUAACUGUAGACAACAAUGUAAUGAAAUUCUUCGAGAUUAUGCAAUUGAAGCUAAUGUAUUCCAUUUAACAACUAACAAGCAAUUACAUUUGUCAAAGAAAAUACUCUAACAUCGCUCUACUAUUUCUUCACAGGGGAAACAACAUUUAAAACUAUACACUAUACACAGAAACCUCAAAACUAGAAAGUGUUUUGUCCUCAAGAAACCCAGAACAUCAAUAAUCUGAAGUGUUAAGAUCAUACAUAUCUAGUAUCAUACAUAGUAAUUGUAAUUAGUUAUGUUUCAUCAAUUAUCAGGGGAUUUUAUAAUUUAUUGAGGAAUUUAUUAGUUUAAUUUAUGUUUGUUUAUUUGUUAGCAUUCAUCAGCAAAAAACAUACAAGACAUUGUUUCUAGUGGCUUGAAAACUAUUAUUGGUUGAUAGUGUAGCAAGUACUAUUCCUUUAACCUUAAUUAGUUUAACAAUCCAUUAGUCUAAACAUCAAUAACUCAUAAUACAGGUAGGCAUAAGAUAGGGAUUUGGAAACAAUGAGCAAUAAUCUCAUACCAAGGCAACAAAACAGUGAUUUAUAAAAAUGAAUAAACAGAUAUAGGGUUGGAAGCAAGGAACGAAAAUUAACUUAACAAAACUAUAUGAGCAGACCGGUUAGCAAACUAACUCGUUGGAAAUUAUAGCUUUGGUGUCUGAAUGAAGCAGGAUUUUGAUUUCUAUUUUGAGGUUGUUGAUUGCAGUAAUGGGAGUUGUUCUUGUUCUUUUUCUUUUUUGUUAAGGAGAAAUCAAUGACAAGUGAAUGAGAAGCAAGAGACGUUACGAUGGUUAUUAUUUUGUGGGUUAUGCAGCAAUAAUGGUGAUUGUACUAUGAGACUUGUUGCAGUUAAGGUGAAUUGAAUGUAAUGAAUAUGAAUUGAAAAUGAACGAGAAGAGAAAGAGAAAGAGAAGAGGGUGCUUUGGUAAUUUUUCAUUUUGUUUUGCAGAUCCAGAAAAUUCAACCUGUGGUCCAAAUUGCAAAAGCAGGAAACAAUUAUUUUUCCACAACCGAGGUCCAGCCUCGGGAAAGUGGUGGGGCCGACCAUUUGUAUAUUCUUUUGUUAUUGGUAACCAAACACCAAAUAUAUUGCGUUUACAGAAAACACAAACACUGCUUCAGAUACAAACGCCCUCUAAAAACAAUUUUUGUCCAGCCAUAAAAUAUCUUUAUGUUAUCCUAGAGGUUGCCAGGGAUAUUGACACACCCAUAAUCAUAAUCAUAUAUAUAUAUAUAUGAAGCGACCUUUGUACUAAUUAAUCAUGAAAUAGUUGUUGCAGUUAGGGUGAAUUAAAUGUGUCGGAACUUAAAGAUUAUGUCCUUUUUAUUAAAGUGUGUUAAUAACUUGUUAAUUAAUAUUAAUUGUAGGCAUUAUGAGAUAUUUUGAAAGAAAUGCAAUAUUAGCAUGGUUACUUAGGUGGGUUAUUUAACUUGCAUGAUUCAACAUAUGUCUUGUAUUAAACGACCAGUCAUCAAACCACAAAAACAUAACAAAGAACAAAUACAUCAAGAAUUGCUAAUUGAAUUGCAAGCAAAUAAUAACUCAUCUUGUGUAAUAUAUAUGAGUUAUGAUGUAUUUAGUCAAUUAGUUAUAAUACUUUAUGUGAGAGGACUAUUUAUGGAUAGUCAAUACAAUGCUACGAGGAACAAAUUGUAAAGUUUCUACACAUUUUAAGUGGCCAAACAUGUACUCGAUCACAAAGCUUUUUUUUUUCUAUCAAUUUACUAAGACAAGUCAUCAUUUUCACCAGGUACUUAGAGUUCUAAUAACACUUGAAUAUCAAAUUUAGUUCAACCAAAUGGUUCUAUAAUCCCAUCACAAAUGCUUAACAAUGGAGAAAGAUUUUAUCCAUACUUUAAGGUAAUUUAUUAUAUAGAUAUAUUUAUUUUAACAAUAUCUAUGGAACUCUUAUAAUCAUUUUUAUUAAUGAAAAUGAAAAUUUUAAGAAUUGUAUUCGCAAUAUAUAUGGAAAACAUAUCGAUUCCAAAGAAGAUGUAUCAAGUUAUAAAGGAGGGAAAAGUUAUCCUAUAAUGAAUGUAUUGGUUGCUGACACUUUUAACAUAAAAUUCACUUAUAUCUUACAUGGGUAGGAGGGCUCAGUUUCAUACUCAAGAAUUAUAGAUAACACUUUAAAUAGAGAGGAUAAGCUAAUGUUAUUCAAGGUAUUUGGUUUUUAUAUAUAUUUUAAAUAGUGAAUAAAAAAUGAUACUUAAAGUGUUUAAAGUAAUUUUUCUUAAUUAUAUUUUAGGUAAAUUCUACGUAGUUAAUGCUGAAUAUAUGUUGAGAUCAGGGUUUAUGACUCCAUAUCAAAUUACUUAGUAUCAUUUGAAAUAAUAUUCUCAACAUAUUUCUAGAAACACGAAAGAGCUAUUCAACUUAAGACAUUCUUCAUUGUGUAAUGCAAUUGAAAAGGUUUUUGGGAAGUCAAGAUAUUCAAUUCUAACUGAGAUGUCAAGAUAUGAUGCGAACACGGUGUGUGAAACGUUUUUAGCUUCUUGCAUUUUACACAACUUAUUAAUGGAUUUUUAAUUUGGAUGAAGAAAUUAUUACAUGAGUUGAUAAAGACCUCAUGAAUAAUGAGCCUACAUAUGGAUUUAUUUAUGGAGGAAUUGAUAGAGGUGAAGAUGGAUGAAGGGAAGAAAUUACAAAAGAGACUAUGGUUACACAGGUAUGACAUGAUUAUACAUCUCGACAUUAACUUGUCUUUUUUACCAUUGCUUUUGAUAAGAACUUGAUUUUAUGUAUUAUUUUUAUUUUACUUUGAAUUAAUUGUGUUUAAAUAUCUUGAACUUAAGACUGGAUGCUUAAAUUUCAUGUGUUUUUGUUAUAAUAUUUAUUGAGCUAUUAUUACAUUAUUUUAGCCUUGAAUUUGUUUUUGUUUUCUUGUCUUUUCUUUCUUGAGUAAUGUAAGUUAAAGAAUGUGUUAUACGAUGUCAUAUAAUAUUUAUGGGAGUUAUUUAUGUAGAAUGUGGAAAUGAUGGAGAAGCAUAGUUGAGCGGACCAUAUAAAUGGAUGAGAUGAUGCUUGAAAUUCUUAGGGAACAAAAGAAUAAGGAUCAAAAUGAAGAUAAAACCUCUAUUUUUUUUUAAGCUUAUAGAAAGAUGAUAGUUGAAAUCAAUGAAAAAUUUUCUUUGAACAUGUUUAAGACAAAAGUGUCAAAUCAUUUAAAAACUUUUAAGGAGCAAAUGGUUUUAGAAAAAACACUUCACUUGAAAAGUAGAAUUGAAUGGAAUGACACUACCAAAACAUUCAAAGCUUCAAAGAAGGUGUGGAAACCUUUAUUGAUGGUAUGAAUAUUAUAAUUCACUUGUCAUAUUUUCAUUAUUAUAUGCUUAUUAGUUAUAAUUGUCUUAAUUUAUUUACUAUUACAAGGCCAAUUCUAAGUUAAGACUUAUUUGAGGAAAGCCUCUUCAUCACUUGAACAUUUUUAGAGAGACAUAUGAGAAAAAUAUAGCAAUUGGAUCUCAAGCCAAGAUUGCUAGAGAAAAUGUUUGAAGAUGGGAGAGAGAGAAAAGGGAGAUGAUGAUGAUGUUUGUCGCACGUGUGCGACGUCGCGGCGAAAUCGUUCACUCUCAGUAUAUGUGUAUCUAUCUGGCAAAUAAGGGGUAAAUAAGGAAAUCUUGUCUUUUAUCAGUGGAAAAAAGAAACGGGAUUCGCCACCUAUUAUUUUGGUCACUAAGAACCCUAACUGGUCUUAGACAUCUGGUACAGGGACUGAUUGUAUAAAGGAAAAGUAUUAGCACCCCAAAUACGCCCUACCUAAGGUAAGUUGCAUUGUUUUAUUGUCUAAUAUAUGCUAAGGUUUCAUUGUAUUUCUAAUUGUUGGUUUGUCUAUGGUUUAAGAAAAGUCCUUCUCAGUAAGGAGAUCCUUAUUUUAUCGGAUAAAAACCUAACCAUUCUAUGUUAACAAAAGAAAUACCUUUGGUUUUACGUAUAAAUUCGUAAUCCCAAAUACUAAAAGAAAAAAAAUGAUUUUUUAGAAUUUUUGAAAUAUUGGCCUAGUUCCUGGUUAUUAAAGCCAAAAUGCAUGCUAAAACAUAUUUUUGAAUUUUUGUUGUAUGAAAAUACGAUAUAAUUUUUUUUCUUUGAGAGACUUGACUGUAUACAUGAAAACAAAACAUUUUUUUAUAUAAUUUUUUGCAAUGUUUUGAUAAAAACCGGGUAUUUUAAUAUCGAAUUUGUAUCUUUACGGUAUAAAAAUACAAACCAAUAUUAAAUAAAAUUGAUAAAAAUACGCAGGAAAAUCACAAAAAAUUUCAAAAAUGAUUUUUGAAGAAAAUUUUUAGAUUAGGCCAGACCCGACCCAGUCAUUUUGGGCGGGGCCGGACAGUGAACAGUGGAGCUGCUCUCCACUGUUCACGCAGAACAGUAGAGAACAAAGACGAUGAAGAAGAAGGAGGAGGAGGAGGGGGAGGAGGGGGAAGUUGACUUGCGGUGAUUACUGUCGUUGGCGGUGCUGCUGGAGGUGGUAGGCGGCGACUCCUCCUCUUCUCUCUUCUAUUUUGCGUUGCUUCUUCUUUCUAUUUAUGUCCCCUCUGCUUCUUUGUUUCUUCUUCUGUUUCUGACGGUUGAGGUGUUGUUGUCGACGAUUGGGAGGAACGGUGGUAAUUGGUGGUGGCUAUGUGGAAAACAUACGGUGGUUCUUCCUCCUUUCUCUUUUGUUUCCACUUUUCCUCCUCUUUGUCUUCCCCUGAUAUUUCCUUCUUUCUUUGCUUCUGUUUCUCUCUUAUUUCCCCUGUGUUUUCAACUCUAUUUUUUCUUUGUUUUUUUUUGUUCUCUCAAAUCCCGUAGUUCGUUCCUCCAAAAUUUUCCACCCUACUAGUUUGUUCUCCUCCCCUUCUAUUUAUAAGCAGGAGGAGAGGGAGCCUUCCCUACUCUGUCCCAUCGUGGUGUAGGGGGGGAGUGGGGUUACCUUAUCUCUGCAGGGUAAGGUGGCCGCCCGUUUGCAGGGCAUGGUACCCCUUUCUUUUAUUUAUCAAGUUGGUAGGGUAUGUGGGAGUAUGAACUGUGUCGGGGAGGGGGGAGCGGGAGAAAAUGAAUUCAAAAACUCUUUUUCCCCUGUUGCAUGUCAAAGGGAAGAAGAAGCAACCCAGUGCCGUUCAAAACGACACCGUGUAGUUUUUUUUUUCAACAGUGCAUGAAAAAGAAAUGAAUUUGAGAAUAACCCAAAAAUAGGUUAUGACAAUGUUAAUGAGAUACAAGCAAAUAAUAAGAUUCAUUCGGAGAACUUUCAUCCCAAGUGCUCCAUUAACACCAAAAAUACAAGGUCUAUUAUCAUUUACUCCAUGAUUGUUUAGAACUUCAUCUUCAGAAGGUACAAAACAAAAAACACCAAUGAUAGGUGAUUAUUAUUCAUAAUUUGAAGAAAUGACCCGUGCAAUGAAGAAUAUUUCACAAUUUGUUAUGAACACAAACCAUCAAGUUUGGAAGCCGAACAAGAUAAUUAAAGCAAUGAGGGAAUCAUGAUUGGAGGGAUCAAAUCUUUUUGAAGUAGUUGAAUGACUUGUAAAUCAUUCUAAUCUUAUUGGAAUAUUUUUUAGAUACCUGAAAGAGCUACGCUUUAAAUGGUUGAUGAAAAAAAUGAGUUGAUAAUAUGUUAUUGAAGAGUUCAAGUUAAGCAUGAAAGUUAAAACUAGUAUUUAUACAAUUGUCAGGAGCUUAUUUAUACAAUUGCUAUAAAUUUAUUUUUUAUGGUGAUAUCUUUUAAAUUAUUAAAACUAGAAAUUAUGAUAUCUUUAUUGAAUUGUUAACAUUGUUAAAAUUAUAUUAGUCAUUGACUUGAUUUUUUUUUUUAUGAUGAAUGGAUGAUUCCAAGUCUGAAGUCUACUAUUAAUAUUUUUGAAUCCUUUCUCUCAAGAUCAUUGAUACAACAAUGACUUUGUAACCCUUUUUAUUAUAUUGCAAGAAAAUUCAAGGUAAUCUAAUGUUAAGAUACUUCAUUUAGAUUGAAAAAUCAUAAAUGCUGUAAAAAUAUUAAAGGAUAGUAGUUAAAAAUUGAUAAAUAUAAAGGUCGUUGUAACAAAAAAAAAAGAUGUUUUUUUAACAAAAAAAAAAUGAUUUAAGGGCAAAACAAUCAAGAUUAUUAAUUCAAUUUAUUUUCACAAGUAUUUCAAAGACUAUAAUUGAAUUCAAUUACAUAAUUUAUUAUUUUAUUAUAAAUAUAAAAAUUUUAAUAGGUUAUUAAUUGAAUUCGAAUUAUAUAUGAAAUUCAUUUCAACAUGUAAUUUGAUUUUAAACAUAUUACCACCUGCUACCAACUUAACAUUUUUUCAUCUAAUAUCAUUUUCACUUAUCCACGCACUAACCUUUUUUGGUUAUAAAAUAUUAAGGUAAUUUUUGGUAUUAUGAUAGCUAUUGUUUUUUAAAGUGUUUUUUGUUUAAAAAUAUAUUAAAAUAAUAUAUAUAUAUAUAUAUAUAUAUAUUAUAUUUAUUCUUGACAUCAAUAUAUUUAAAAUAUCAAAAAAUUAUUUAAAAAAAAAAACAUGGUAAAACUAUAUAUAUAAAAAAACACAUCCUAACUAUCAUCAACUUUUGACACAACCCAAUUUUUACACAAACUCAAAAGCGCGUCCAGGUUAGAAUAAAAAAAAAGGGGGGGCGAAUUCGAAUUCCCGCUAGAGAUAAUUAACCCUCCAAACUGCUCCCUCUAUUCAAAAUUCCAAACCCCGCCUAUCACAAGUCUUAAUAAAACAGAAAACCCCCUCUCCCUCUCCCUCUCCCUCUCUUCCUUUCUAACGGUAAUUACCUCUCUUCCCUUCCUCAUUUUCUCCAUCUUUCCAUUCACUGCAUCAGAUCUGCACUCAUAAAAGAAAAGAAAACAAAAUGGCGUUGUCUUACAGUGAUAUUAUAGAUCCCUCUUCAAGGCAUCACACUUAUAGCAGGAAACAGAAAUCUCUCGGUCUCUUAUGCACCAAGUAAACAAACCCAUCUUUCUUUCUUUUUUUUUUUUUUCAAAAACUCAUAGUUUCCCCCCGCAAUUGAAUUGAUUUUUACUAAUUGUGCAGUUUCUUGACCCUGUAUGAUCGAGAUGACAUUGACGUGAUUGGACUUGAUGACGCUGCUUCAAAAUUAGGUAUUUAUUUAUUUCUGAUUUUUAUAUUUUACUGGUUAUCAUGAUUUACGAAUAUCGAUCCGUAUUUUGAAUGGGUGGGAUUUUUAAUUUCUUUUAAUGGGUUUGUGAUUUGCAGGGGUUGAGAGAAGGCGGAUCUAUGAUAUAGUCAAUGUUUUGGAGAGUGUUGGGGUGAGACUCUUGAUUAUGAUGUUUCAAUUUUUUUUCUGUUUUUUUAUUGAGUUUUCUUAUAUGGGUUUUUGAUGUUCUUAAAGGUUCUUGCAAGAAAAGCAAAGAACAAGUAUUUAUGGAAGGGAUUUGCUGCAGUCCCUAAAGCUUUACAAGAAUUAAAGGUAGUAGAAAUAACCCAAAAAAUAAAAGAAAAUGAUUAUAUGUUCCGUAUACUUGAGCUCGAUAUGGGUUUUCUUAUGAAGUGUUGUUGUUUUUUGAAAUUGGGCUGAUUUUGUGUUGUUGUUGAUGUUUUAGGAAGAGGGUUUGAGAGAUAAUGUCAAUACAAUUGAUAAGCAAAGCAAUAAUUCUGUGAAAGUAAGCGAACUUUUAAGGGUUUAUUAUUCUUUCUUCAUGAACUUACUGUGUUUUAAUAAGGGCUUCUUUCAUUCUUUUUUUCUAGUCGGGAACUUUUUUGUUAAUCUCCAUUUUUCGUGUGUUGAAUUUUUUAGGUUGCAGAUGAUGAUGAGGAUGAAGAUGAUGACUCUGAUUCCAAUCCUAACACUGGAAGCCAGAAUGAGAAUUCUGGUAUUAUCAAAUCUACAGCGGCGUCAAGAUUUGGUAAUGUCCUCUCCUUUUCUAUGAGCAUCUGUAUUUAUGUUUUCUUCUCUCUCGUAUGUUAUUACAUCACUUGUACAAGUAAGUUUUUUUUCCACAGAAUCUGCAUAUGAUUUAAACAAGCAAUAGCUUAACAAACUUUCAAAGGUCUUUGUAGUUAUUUAUUCUAGUCCUAUGUUUUGUUCAAAAUUUUGGUUGCACAUAUAAUUACCCAUCUACUUUUCUUAGCAUCUUAUAACCAACUCAAUUAUUUUUGUUACAGAUCAUAGGAGGGAAAAGUCGCUGGGUCUUCUUACUCAGAAUUUUGUCAAGCUCUUUGUGUGCUUCAACGUGAGUGAAAUCUUAAAUGAGCUUAGUUGUUACAGCCUAGAGUGUGAUAAAUGUUGUUUUUCAAAGUGUUUUUCGGUAUAAAAUAUAUUAAAAUAAAAUAUAUAUAUAUUUUAUUUUUUAAAAUUCAUUUUUAAUAUGAGCAUGUCAAAAAUAAUUUAAAAACAUAAAAAAUAAUAAUUUAAAACUAAAAAAAUUUUAAUUUUUUUUUAAAGCAUGAUUAAACUACAAUGUCAGAUGAUGUAGCCAUUAUCUAUUACAUAGGUGCUUAUGAGUGUUUUGUUAUCAGGCAAAUUUGAUCUCGCUAGAUGAAUCUGCCAAGUUAUUACUCGGGGAUGGCCAUAAGUCCUCAAUUAUGAGAAGUAAUUUUUCUCAACUCCUCAACUUUUGAUACGAGCAAUUAGUGGUCUAGCUCUUUGGUUUACAUUCUGUGAAUAAUAUGAUCGUGCAGCAAAAGUAAGGAGGCUAUAUGACAUCGCAAAUGUGCUUUCUUCUCUAAAACUUAUUGAAAAGGUAACCAAUCAUGACAAAUGCUUAUUGAAAACUUAAAGGAAUCAUGUUAGCCUUUGUUACUCGAGCACUAAUACAAUUCUUUAAAGUACUGAUAUUUAUUAAAUGAUGUGCAGACACAUACUGCUGAUACAAGGAAACCUGCAUUCAGGUGGUUAGGUUUGAGAGGAAAAUCGGAGAAUGGAUCAGGUGAUCCUUUGGCUCCUUUUGAGUCUAGGAAGAGGACAUUUGGAGCUGAUGUCACAAACAUAUGUUCUAAAAGAAACAAAACGGAUUCUUCAGUUGAUGGGGAUAAAAGCAAGAAUCUGAAGAUGCAGAAGCAAAUAAAAGAUGAGAAUAUUGUAACUGUCGUUCAGAGAGGCAAUUUCGACCAGGAUUCACAGCAGAACUCAGGAAGUUUCCAGUUUGGCCCUUUUGCUCCUGUUAGCAUAGCCAGAGUUGGCAACUCUGAAGAGAAAGUGACUCAGAUCUAUGAUUGGGAGGGUCUUUCCUCUACUUUCCGUCCUCAAUACCACAACCAAGGUACAACCUAAUGCUUUCAUAAAAAAUUCAUUGAAACGGUUUGACCAUAUCAGACUUCAAGAUCCAAUUAUUUGACGAUUAGGUUCAGAAAUACAUGUUCAGUAUGAAACAGAAAACACCUGGCCUACAUAGUCUGUCGGCCUUUCAUUUCAUGUUUCCUUGUGAUAUCAUGCAACGAGUUGGACAACUGAUCACUCCAUUGUUGAGUUGUCUGAAAGCAUGAAAAUUGUCAAUAGGCUAUUGUUUGAAGGUCUGCUAGUAAAGCUAUGCGUUUAAGAAAAGCAAAUAUGGUUUGCUUAGGUCAUAUCACUUUGUUCGUCCAGUGAAGUUAGUUAUUCGUGAAAAUCAAAGUUUGUAAAUAGAUAUAUUAGAUUAGUGAGCAAAUAAAUUUAAUUUAUUAUUAUAAAAACAUGUUAAAUAAAAAAUAUCCAAUAAAAUUAUAGAAUUUAUAUAUUUUUAAAACUAUAAAUAUAUAAAAGUAUAACUAAUAAUAAACAUGAUUUCAAUAUAAAAAAAUAAAUAAUAAAAUACUAGUAUGCAUCCUAAGUAUAUAUUUAAACUUGUAAUUAAUAUAAAAUAAAAAAUUCUAGCAUACAUAAUAAUAAAAUUAAUUAUGCUUAAUUGAAACAAGAAUGAUAUUUAUUUGUUGAAGUAUUUUAAAGUAAUGAAUCUUUUAUCAUUAAUGCUUUAUUGCUUUUUAUUUAUACAACUAGAAUGUUUGCAAUAUAUCUCUUAAAAUUCCAAUAACACUAAUUUAAAUGUACUUUUAAACAAGAUUUUUGAAUUAAAAAUUAUAUAAAUUAAAUAUUUCUCAAUAAGAUGAAUCUAAACUCUAGAUUUGAAAGGAAAACUAAAGCAUGGAAAGAAAAAGAAAAACAUAAAAAAUGAGGUAAGGAAAAGAAUGUAAAACUUGAAAAGUUCAAGUUAGAAAUUUUUUCUUUAUCCUUUUUUAACAUAGUGGAUUUUGAAAAUUAAAAGGUUAAAGAAUUAAUAAAAAUUAAUUUUUAUUGUUAUUAAUAUUUGAUUAACUAUUCUAAAUCAAGAAUUAAAUUAAAAAAAAUAAAAAAUUUUAGAGUAUGAAAAAUAAAAAAAAUUUAUAUUAAUUUUUUAUUUAUUUAAAUCAUGUUAAUUAAAACAAUUUUUUAACCAUUCGAUUUAGACUGCUAUAUAUCUGUAUCCAUUCCCUUGAGGCCUCCAUUGAGCGAUCCUUUCGUCCUUCCAGCUUUCCCAUUUACUUGGCCUAUCCACAUUUUUCACGCAGUUUUGCUCUGACCUUUAUAGCAUAUGUCUAACUUGUGAGUUAGGUUUCGUGUGCUUGAUAAUUUGGGGUAGUGCUUCCUCUGAGAUGCCAUUGUGUUGAUUGCUAGUCAGUUAAUAGUUUAUUUUAAUAUGCCUUGCCAUCCAUUUGUCUUGUUGAACCUUUGGAACAAAAAGUGGGGAAAAUAUGAAAAGCUCAUAUGCUGAUAAUUUUUGCAGCUUUGAGAGAUCUCUUUUUUCACUACACGGAAGCAUGGAAAUCAUGGUACACGGAAGUUGCUGGGAAGAAACCAUUACACAUCUCCUAGUUUUUUAUUACUGUGUCUCUGCUACCAGUACAGUAUAAGACGCUCCAUUCUCUCUCUCUCUCUUUUCCUCCUCUCUUUUGUUCUUUUUUUUUGGGUACUUUUUAGGAUAGAAAAAUGGCUUCAGGUUGGAUGCAUAUUCCCCGUGCACCAUCUUAGCAUGGCCAAACAAUGUUGUUUAUCUGAUGUUUCGAAGCAAAUGAAUUUGAAUAUACCGUCUUCUCUCCUUAGGUUAACUAGCUACAAAGUUGCUUCGGUUAUGCAAGAUAUCAUUUUGUUUUCAUGGGACAACAGCUGCAGCGCAAUGGACAAUACACCCAGACCUUUUCCUCUCUAUAACAUUUUCUUGGUCUUCUUGCUGUUUUGAUGCUCUUAUGAUGUCGGGAAUUAUAAAAGAUGAAAUUAGAGAUAAGGUUCUAACAUAGGGUAAAUUGCUUUUGGUUAAACUGCAUUAUUAUGAGUCGCUGCUCAUAUAUAUAUGUUGUAAAUUAAUGUUUGAUUCCCAGCUAUUGAAUAUGAAGAAAAGAGGGAAAAUAAAUUCAAAGCUAAGUGAGAUAUGCAGAGCUGGCAACGAAGGAACAAGGAGAAUGCUUCUAAACCCUACGGUACUUAGAUUUACGAACACCCAGAUGUCCUCUGGGUCUUCUUCGAAAGUGAGAAGAUCUUCGGACAACAAUGGAGAAUGUGAUAUCGUUAUUGCUCUAUGAUUCAAGUGAAGGAAAUCCGCAACAGAUAGAUGAGAAGCAUUUUCUCGUAUGUUCCCCAUCUGGCUUGCAGUAGCAUCGACUGCCAUAUCCGGAUUUCAUGUUUUUACUGCUCGUGUACAAUGUGUAUCCAAAGCCAUAUAUUUUCGAUCGCACAGUUAAUCGCCAAAGGAGUACAAAUCAUCUUUUUAUCGGCAUAUGAAGACAGCUCUUGCCUUGAUGAAAUAAAAAUGUGCUAUAAUUUAUCCAUGUUUACGAAUCUUUGGCAGGAGAGGUAUCAAACUCGAAAUCAAAAUUUUUAUUAUUAUAAAUUGCAAAUGUCAAUUUACAAAUCGAUAAAUGUUCUUAAAAAAGGUUUCCCAGUAUAAGAAAGAGAGAUGGCAGAAAUCGGAGCUUUCCAGGUCUACUAUAAAAUAAUUUCGUCCUGAACACUAACAUCGAGUGUCUUGUAUGGGAGGACAAUGCUGUUAAUCACCACUACUUCAUCCUCAACAGUAACACCUUCGCCUGGAUCAAGGAAAAGAACACUGAGAUCGUGCAGAGAAAUAAUGUCCCUAAAAAAAAAGGAAAUGGACUGGUAAAGGGAAAUAGGGUUAAUGCAUAAAAAAUGUACCAAGGAUUGUAACCCCAAGCUUGGCAUUGUAAUCACCUUCAGCCUGCAAUCAUUUCAUUGAACAUGAUAAAUCCUACCAUGCAUUAGAGGGAAGUCCGCAGAUUAAGGAAAUAUACCCUAGCGGUAAUAAUAAGACUAAACAGAUGCAUCAUAUCAGACACCACUUUGGAGAGGAAACAGAGGAGAGUUUCAGAUUAUCAAUGGAAGAAGGGGAAAAAAAUACUACAACAAUGGUAACAUUAAACGUGCAGAUACUAGAAUCGUAUUACUGAUAUUGAGAAACAUUCUGCAAUUCGAAUAUAAUGUCUACCUUUGUUAUAUUGUUGGGAUACUGAUUGAAGUGAAUAACAUUUGGCAUGUAGCAAACAAGAGCAGCAUUCAUCCAACUAAAAUAUAACAGGAUAGACAACUUGCCUGGACACGGGACCAUCUCCCAAUGGAAGAGUUCCACCCAACAAUUGAAUAAAUGACGACUGCAUUUUCCUGAGAGAUAAAAUGAAGCAUACAAUCAAGUUUGAGAUAUCUUAAGGGGCCCCUCCACAACCUCACCCUAAAAAGAUAUAAAAAUAGCAAAGUUAUUCAUGAUAAAUCUCUUAAUUCAGUUCCCUACCAUGACUUCAACAUUAUCUAGGAUGAUACACCUUAUGAGUCUUGCACCUGGUCCUAUGCGAGCAUUGGCAGAUAUAGAGACAUUGGGACCAAUCUGUUUCAUCACAUUCCACAAAAAAGUCAAUUUCAUAAAUGAAUUAUAUGCAGGGAAAGAAGCAGUACAUAAAACAGGAAGGAGAAGUGCUAUAGAAACAAAGAAAUCAUAACAACUGAUGUAGCGGUGAAAUUUUCAUGCUUGAUCAUUAUUUUAUUAUUUGUGAGACCCACAGUUUUACGACUUAUUGUUUGACACAAAUUUUUAUGGAAUCUUAAUAUGAUUUUUUGUUUGUAAAUCAUUUUCCGCUCCGAAAGGAAAAGAGUAAGCAACCAAUAUUCCUUUUGCAUCAUAAUAGAUGGAUAAAGAAACUAUUAACAUUUUUAAAGGUGACCUAGAGGCCAAUGCACCUAAUUCCCAUCACCUAACCACCAUAAAAGGGAUUUGACAAUAAGAAUUCAAGCGGAUAAAAAAAAGUACUAACUAAACUAUGAACAAAAAAAGAAAAAGAAGCCCCGACUAUCAUUGUACUAAAAGGAUUGCAUUGGCUAACAGUUCUAUUGUGUACGAAUAAUACUAGUAAGCAUUCAACCGGAUAAAAAAACAGUACUUGCUAAACUAUGAACAAGAAAGAAAAAGGAGCCCCAACUAAAACAUACUAAAAGGAUUGCAUUGGCCAUCAGUUCUAUUUUGUACCCAUAGAUCUGUUAUCAUAAACAAGAUGAAAAGAUUACCUUAGCAGUUGGAUGUACUUUUGCUGAUGGAUGUAUAUAAACAUCACCUUCAAUAGUAGCACUCUUUGAGCCAUCACCACCAGCCAAAAGAUGGGGUGAGGUGAAUUGGAAUUGGGCAAGAUAUAAACCAGAACACUUUAGAGACAUUCUGCAGUAUAAAUUUAGUGAAAAUGACAUAAGGUAACUGGUUAAAGAUGGCAAAGAAGAUAACAUAAGAUGUAAAGAUUGACUUACCCAGGUGUUUUAAUUUGUUCCCAGAAGUCCAUGGUUUCAUACGUAUAUAGCUGCUUUUUUCCAGCAAGGGGUGACAGGAUAUCCUGAUCCAAUCUUACAUAAUCUGUCGGAAGACUCCUGUUAAGGGAACUUGGAUCAAAGCAGGAACUUGUGGAAAAUAUUGGGUACUAUCGAAUCAAUAAGUGAGCAAUAACAACGAUAUUAAUGCACGUUGAGAAAGGAAAGAAAAUACUAAAACAGGACUUGGCUAAAACUAUCAAGGAUGUCUCUCCCAGAAUAGUAAUAUUAGAGAGAGGACAUAUACUGCAACUUAAACGAUAAAGUUCAUAUUACUGCAGGGAAUCUGUAUUCCAAUUGAGUUGUACAAAUUGAAUUUUCUUGUUACACUGAAGAUCUGUUGAUUACUUGACUCUUCAUACAAGUUCAAGAUGUGGUUGGCAAAUCCCAUGUCAGUAAAUAAUCAAUUGUGACAAGAGAACAUUUCAAACACUAACUCUCCAAGUCACUCAUUUACACAGAUAAGCAAACAAACAUAUGAUUAUUGUCAUGAAUAAGUCUAAUUAGUCAAUUCAACGACUGAAGAGGCCCAAGAAAGAAAGAAAUAAAAUAGAUCCACUCUUAAGUCACAAGAACUGCAAUUAAUGGUCUUCAAACCAAUGAGUUACUGCAGAUGCAUAUGGAUUGUUCAAACAGUCCAUUCUCCAAACAAUCCAUUAGAUGCUUAUGCAUCUUAUGGAUUGUUUGGAGAAUCCCAGUUAAGAGGCCAAAUGUAUUUUCAAAACUAAUUGCCAACUUUAAUGAGUUAAAAAAAAGUGGUAUAUUAAAAGAUUGGCAAAACAUUUGUUCAACUCCAUUUCAAUAAAUUUAUCAUAAUAGUUUAAAGUGAAAUUAUACUAGCAAUGCUCAGCCUAGAGUCAUUAAUUCCAAGAUUAAGGGAUGAAAAAGUCGGUAAAGUAUGAACCACAUACCUUGUAGAAAAUUGGAGGGCUUCGAAGCUAGAAACACGUCUCAGAUUAGCUGAAAAUGGUAAAACAGAGUUCAGAAUUUUCCAAAAUCAAGAUUCAAACUAUCGAUAAUUACAAAGAAUGCUAUCACAAUCUAACAAAACAAGCCAGGAUAUGCCAAGCUUUAGGGUCAGAAUAUUUUUAGUUGAUGCAGAUUUUCACAAUGCACCCUUGUUAAACGGCGAUACAGGCUAAACUAGUUUAUUAAAGAAAAGAACCACAGAAUUCUGGAACUUCUAAAUUAAUCUUACACAGGCACCCUACAGGCAAAACACCAUAUCACAUACCUCUGUCUUUCCGUUGAGAAGAAACACCCUGGAUGGCUGUGAAUAUUUCUGGUGUAAAAACAUAAACACCACAAUUUAUCCGGUCACUUACCUGCAUCAAAACAUAACAUCAAAUGAAUAAAAAGGGGGGAAAAGCCUAAAUGAAGUGAAUGGCAGUAAACAGUAACAGAAAUCACCAUUGGAUUCACUACAAUUUUAAGCCUAUUGUACUUCAAUAUAAGAAAAUAAAAUAAAAUUGAUGUUUGGUUACGUACUAAAAUUAAGUAUAAAAAAAGAUGAGAUUUUGCUAUCAAGCCUAAGCAAAAACUUGUUACCUUUAAAUGCAGAAGUAAGCUUUUCAAAAUUCAAUGACCAUGCCUUCAGAUUAUAUGUAUAGGUUUUACUUAAAAAAAAAAACAAAAAAGGGAUAACAAGCAAGAAAGAUAGUAAAAAAAAAAAAAAGGCUUAAAAAGUUGAAUCAGAUCCAUCUUUAAUCAAUCAUUCGAGCAAAUAAUGAAAGUACUGAAAUUCCCUAAAUAAAAUGUGUUUCUGGACUGGUACUUACAAAAGUUUCAGGCUUCUCUGUGUAAUGCAACAACUCAUUGGUGUCAGGAUCAGCUACCAAUUCCCCAAACUGGCUGGCUGACUCAGCUGAGACCUGCAUGCAGAAAACAACAAUGGAGUUAAAACAUCUUGGAGACAAACAGAGUACAUCCUAUUGCUGGAAUACCAAACUCUGAACAAUUUUCCUAGGUUAUUAUCUUUUGCAUUCAACUAACCUUGAUUACUAGGAUAGUUCCCAUCCCACCAUAUGCUCUGUGGGCCUCUGCAAGCAUUGUAGGGGAAAUACAGUAAUUAAUGCUUCUGCUACAUAAAUAUAAACUACAAACUGUCUAGACAAAAGAAACCUUAGCUAAAAAAUAAUAAUGUACAUAAGACCAUUUUAUUUAUCUCGAUAUAAUCAUGGAAAUAUCUAAAAUUAAUGGUUCCAUGAGGAUGCAUCUAUACCCUGAAGAGGAAUUUCCGAACAAGUUCAAAAAAAUUCAUGAAGUUCAAAAUAAUCCAAUUUGGCAAAGUAGAUUACCAAGCAUUUCUGGGAGUGGAAAACUGCAGCAAACAUCACAAUUCAGCAGAAAGAUAUGGGACUGCGGCAAGAUAACCAAGCAUCAGUACUGAAUUUUGGAGUACAAAUCAUCCAUCUAUAUCUGCAGAAAAUGCUAGCAACUACCGCAUGUUCACAUCAGAACAUGCAAAGAAAAUACUGUUGGGUGACAGGCGUGCAUGCUAAUAGAAAAGGUUAAGCUGAGAUGUAAACCGGGUUGUCUUCCAUGAUUAGAUCUCUGAAGUUAAAAAGCCCGCCAGCAGAACCAUGUGGCUUAUCUUCCCGCAAAUAUCUACAAGCACAGAUUGAUAAUUAAAAAAAAAAAAAACACUCAACUACGGAAUCAGAAGCAAAUAAUCAAGAAAGGCCAUCAAGUCACUUUACCUAACAGACACUUUCAGCUCAUUCGAGAUUGAGGAAACAUACAAAGCAAACUCUCUUUCCUCGUAGAAACCAACAAGAUAGAUCUGCGUCAAGUUUGGAAUCUGAAACAGAAAAUGCAAUCUCAAUGACUACAAUAUGCUAUGCUAACUAAGAAACAAACAAAUUAGAAUAAUUUCUUUAAGGAAUUAAAUAAAUACCUUUUUACAAGCAGAGAUUGGAUGGUGAACCAUUGGUUGUCCUGCUAGAGGAAAAAGAGGCUUUGGAAUAUCCAAUGACAAUGGCCUGAAUCUAGUGCCUGCAACAUUUCAGAUUUCAACUCAAUUGAAUGAAGAAAAAAAAUCAAAGAAACAAAGAACAGGGUUUCAUUAUCUGCACCAAAAGAGUCAAAAUUACAACAAAUAUCGAAAAAAUCAGAAGAACCCAGGAAAAAGUCCGAUAAUGGAGCCGUAAAAUGAGCAUUAAACUGUAUCGCAUACAAUUAAGGAAUCACAAUUGAGAAUUCCAAUAUAGAAAUCAAACUAUGAUUAAGCAAUUGAAUGAACAAAAAAAAAAACGAUACCUUUAGUAGGUCCACCGACCAUGAUGACAGCAACAACCCUCUCCUCAGAGCUUCCCAUAUUUUUCCAAUCAAAACAGCAACCCCGGAUCUCAAAUUCCUCAGUAACUCUUGUCUGUUUAAAAAUUUUAUGUAUGUGGACACAGGCAAUACUCAACCGUACAGCAACAACAACAUUAAGAGCAUGUCACCAUUCAAUCCAUCUCAGUAAUAAUAAAUAGACCAACAAUAUCUUGCUCCCUUUUGGCGACAAGGACGUAUAGAAUUUUUAAGAUCUAGUGCAGUGAAGUGCGGGUGAUAAGUGGUAGAAGAGACAUACAUAUAUUCUUUGAGCUGCGAAAGGAAACAAACAGUGUAAGUUUCCUGGAUCUGGACCACUACUGCUACUGCUGCUGCUACUGCUGCUGUUUUUACUAACGUCCGUGCCUUCUGAUGUGGUUGUGUUGUAUUUGCGUGUCUGCUUGGGGUCUUGGAGAUUUGAUUAUGGCCCACUCUUCCAUACCAUCAUAAGUUGACAGCUAGACGACGAUGCUUCUUCUUCGAAGAGAAUAUUCUUGAUUCCCAGGAGGGUGGAAUAAUUCUCAUAUGGAUUUUACUUAGUUCCAAGACAAAUGACACUGUUCAUUACAAUUAUAUUUGUGGUCUCUUGGUCAUUUUGUCUUUUGUAUUUGCUUAGUGAGUGGGAUGAUAUUUUUAUUAUGUUAUAAAUAUUUUUUGAGAAUUAUGUAAGAUUAUUUUAGUGAUUAUAUUUUUUAAUAUAUAGUAAAAUUAUUAAUAUAAUCAUUGAAUAAAAUAAUUUAAUAUCUGCACAAUAACCUUUUUGUAUUUUUAUAUUUGAUAGAAUAAUAGAAUUAAUACAUUACCCUUAACAUUUAGAUAUUUUAGCCUUGGUUUCAAGGUCUUGGUUAUAAUUUCAUCAUGGUUUGUUUGUUAUUAAUUUUUUAUUUUUCUCAUUAAAUUGCAUCCUCCUUGAAUUUUUUUCUAUCAAUUUUUAUUCUCAUUCUUUUUUUUUUGCUUUUGCAGGUUUUUUAUUAAUAUUUUUCUACCGAUCUCAUCAUUCAAAAUUAAAUUGGUUGAGAAUUAUGCUUCUUGAUUGAAUCUAGGUCAAACAUUUCACGGAAUACGACUUUUAGAGAUUAGACCAGAUUUAAGAGGUUUGCCAAGUUUGCCAUGUUUUUUUCCUUUUUAUAAAUUGAUGUUUUCUUAUUUUCUUAUCCUUUUUUUUUAACUUUUGUUUUGCUUUUUUUCUUCAAUUUUUUUCUCUUAUUUUAUUUUAUUUGUUUUGUUUGGUUUUAUUGGGUUAGCCUCCAACAAUGUUUUUCUAUUUCAUCCUCUAUCAAUUUUUAAUCUAUAAAUAAUCUAUCAUAUUACAAAUGAUUUUCAACUUCACUCCCUCUGAUAUUUUUAAUCUUUCAAGUUUGGUCCUAAUUCUUUUAAUUGCAUUUUUUUUCUUAGGGAUAAUUUUUUUUUUCAGAUUUUAUUCUUAUUGGGUUUUCUCCUAUCAGAUUUUAGCCCCAUUCUUUUUUUUUUAUGUUCCCUUUCUUUUAGUUUUUUCAACGAUUCCAUCAUUCAAAAUUAAAUUGGAUAAUAUUUAAGAUUCUUGAUUGAACUUUAGGUCCAUGAUUUAACAAGUUGCAAGUUUUUUAGAUUAGACUAGAUUUAGAAUGUUUGCCUGAUUUCUCCCCUUUUUUAAAGCUGAUGUUUUUUGUUUUUUAAAUUUGACUUUCUUUUUUGGUUUUUUUUUUUUCCAGUUAGGUUGACAUUGAGUUGUUUAAUAAUCUAAAUAGACUCAAUUGUGGUUCCUUUUUUGUUGUUUUUUUAUCAAUUUUUUAUCAUUUUUUUUUGCAUUAUUUAAAUUAUCACUUUAACUAAUGACUUGAAACUUGAAUUUUUUCUAACCUAUCACUUUUUUUACAUAAAAAAAAAUAAAUUGUUCGACCCACAACGAUGCGCAAGCAACAGAUCUAGUCCACACCUAAAUUUAUUAAACAUAACAGACAAGUUGCUCAAUCAGUCCUUAUUUGCUCAUUUGCUACAUAAUAAAAAAAAAUUAAAGUAGCAGUUCUCCAAUAAUUUUUUAGAAAACUUUUUAUUAAAAUAAAUAUAAGAAGUAAAAAACUAUUCUUUAGAGAUACAUAACAUUGUGGAUUUAUCAUUUUACCUCUCAUUCCAACAAACAAUAGUCUGGCUAGUGGGGGUUUUUAUUAUCAUUUUCAUGUGACCCAUUGGUCAUUUGCAAAUUAAUAUCGGUAAAUCAAUCAUUUUAUCUUUUGUUGGUACAAUAAAUUUACUUAUUUGACCUUCACUUAAAAAAAAAGAACUAGCAUUCAAGGGUUUUUUUAGACCUUUUAUUUGUUUAAGUAUAGUAAAAUGAUUUUAUUGCCUUUGAAAACAAGAAUAGAAAAGGAUUUUUAGGGUUGUUUUUUGUCUUUUUAGUUUGGCUUUUUUUUGCAGUUCUGAGGUUGUUUCAUUAGCAAUUAGGUACAUGCAACAUUCUUUGGUGGCCAAAUGCCAACUUCUGGGAUGACAUUCGAAUCGUCUCGGUAACUCUUUAAUACAUGGGCAGUGUAUGUAAUCGAUAGGUCUCUGGUUUGGAGCAACAACUUUUUUUUCUUUUUCCUCUCUCUCCCUGAUUUUCGUAUUGGCACUCCAAAUUCUUAAAAUAGCCCUUUAAUAGGUUUUUCCUUCAAAUUUGGUUGAUGUUCUGUGACUACUCUUAUUUUUAUUUUGAAUAAUUUAUAAAAUUUAAUUUUUUUAUUCAAUUUUAUCCCCUUAAAUUUUUUUCAUUUGUCAUAUUGAGUCCCCAUUCUUUUUACUGCUAUUUGUUUUUAUUUGAGAUUGUUCUUAAAAUUGAUUUUUUAUAUAUAAUUUUGUUAUUCUUGAGUUUUUUUUCUAUCAAAUUUGAUCCUUUUUUUUUGCUUGAAAAUUUUUUAAAAUUUAUAUUUUUUCUCGAUUUCAUCCCCAAUAUUAAAUUGGUUGGGUAUUGAGUUUCUUGAUUGAACUUGAGUUUAGAAUUUAAUAGAUUGUAGGUUUAAGAGAUUAACUCGAGUUUAGAAGGUUAACUCGGGGUUGCUUAUUUUUUUUUAAUUUCAUUAUUUGACAUUUAUUUAAUUAGAAAUUGGAUUCUGUUUUUUAAAACUUUCAAUGGAAUUCUUUAGUGAUUUUGAAAAUGACACGCCUUAUCUCGAGUUUUUCAUCGGUCUUUAUUAAAUUUAUCUUUUUUAAAAAGAAAUCUUAUUUUUGAACUAAAUUAAAUUAAUUGAUUAAAUAUAAAUAUGAGAUACUCGAUUCAUGGUGUUUUUUAUUUGCCUUUUGGAUCGCUGCUUUGACAACAUAUGUAGUCUCUUUCAAUUACAUGAGUCAUUGAUUAUUUUUGCUUCUUUAAAACUGCUAGCAUCAGUUGAACAUCUUUUUUUUUUACGUUCAUAAAAUUUCUCUGACCCACAAUGUAGCGCAAACAUUCUAGCUAAUUAUUAUUCUAAUUAACAUUAAAGCUAAAAUGUGUGGUAUUUUAGCUGUUCUAAAAUCAUUGUUCACCAUCUCAUAUAUUACUGUGGAUUGGAGUUGUGAUUUUUUUUUAAAUUUCAAUUUGAUCAUGAAACUUUUUUUUACACAAUUGAGCCCUUAUUAACACCUAAUUGUAUAUAUUUUUUUUAAGAGAGGAUUGGAUUGAAAGACAAAGGACUGAAGAGAAAAACACUGAUAAAAUAGGUGGUGCCUUUUAAUUUUUUUAAAAAGUACAUUUGAGUCCCUUAUCUUUUUUAACUAUUAGGUGAACGACUUUAUUUCUAGAAAAAUUAAUUUCAGUACUAAACUUUAUUUUUAUCAUUUUUCAAUUCUUUUGGGUGAGAGGAGAGAGAGGAUAUCACUGGAUUCCAGUCUAGAGAGAAAACGUUUUUGUUGCUAUGAUUCUAGCCAUCAAAAUGGUAGAUUUUUGUUCCAAAUAGUUUCAUAUUAUGAGAAGAGUUUAAAUUAAAUGUUUUUUUACCUUGAAAAUGUCUAAAAAACAAAUCUGAGCUCGGGUUGAUUUUGAGUUUUGAAAUGAUUUUUUAUGCUUUUAGAGGUUAUGGAUUUGUUUAACUAGGUUAUUAAAGUGUUUUGGGUUGAAAAUGAGAUUUUAGAAGAAAAAAACUAGCCGUCCUAAUUUUCUAGUCACCACAGUGGCUAGAAUCUAGGGAUUCUAGACAACAUGUCGUCUGUUUUUUUCAAAUUGAACCGGGGCGGAUGACAUGUCGUCCUCCCACUUACAAAAACAAAUUAAGGCUCGUGCAACUAGGCCUAACUUUGCAGACCCGCGUGUGAGCCUUUUGUUAAUAGGACAGGAGCUUGGCUUGGCCUCGUUCUUUUCUUUUUAUAGUUUUGAUUUUUUUUAAUUUAAAACUUUUUAUAUAUAUAUAUAUAUAUAUAUAUAUAUAUAUAUAUAUAUAUAUAUAUUUUUAAUGAUUUUCAAGUUUGUAGUUUACUUCUUUGUGAUUUUUUUCGCUUAUUUAUUCUUUUUUAAAUAGUGAUUAUUUGUUUUAAUUAUAUUAGAUAUGUUUAUUUUUUUGAAGAGAUUAGUAUGAUUUAUUUGUAAUUUUUUUAUAGUUUAUAUAUAUUAGAUUUAUCUUUAGAAAUAAAAAAUAUUUAUUUUUUAUAAUAUUUUUAAUAUGUGUAGUCUUGCAUAUUAUAUUUUUUUUCUUUUUAUUUUAUUCAAUAAAUUUUAUGUGUGUUUUUAUUUAAAAAAAAAAUUACAAAGCCAUACUUAAUUUACGAGUUUGGUAAGGUGUUUUAUUUUUCUCUCCUUUUUUUUUAUUGAACUAUAUAUAUAUAUAUAUAUAUAUAUCUCAGUUAUUAAAAAAAAUAGUUUCAGAGAAAAGUCAUGUUAUUAAACUUUAUAAAGUUCAUGAACAUUUUCACAAGUUUGGUUGGUUAACUUGGUUCGCAAGUCUAACGAGUUUAAUUUUUUUAAUUAUUUUUUUCAACAUCUCAGUAUUGGGUUGGUGUUUAAUUUUGUGAUGAUCUAUUUUUGUUAUCAUAUAAUUAAAUGAAAAAUGUUUCAGAAAAAAACAAAUUAAGUCCAACUGAAGUCCAUAACCUGGUUCACAGGUUUGACGUGCUAGCUCAAGUUACUCGGUUCAUAGGUUUGAAGAGUUCAUCCAUUGGUCGGAUAUGCUUUUUUUUUCAUUUAAUUGUUUUUAUUUUUUUCUCAAUUUUAUCCUUCAAUAUUUGAUUGGUUGAGAAAUAAACUGCAUGAUUUAUUUUUGUUUGCUUUCUAUAGGGUUAUCACUAUAUCAAAUAAGUAUUUAUUUUUAGGUUGAUGCUCAAUUUUGUUACCAUGUUAUUUUUAUCAUAUAAUUAAAAAAUAGUUUAUAAAUUUUUUUAUUAAACUCAGUGAAGUUCAUGACACAUGCCGUUAGGAAAAAUGAAAUCGAUCCAAUAUGUCAUUGUCUCAAUUUUGUUUUUUCAAAAAGAGUUGUUAUCUUGAUUUUUUUUUUAAAAAGUCAAGUCAUGUUUUUACUAGUUAUCAAUAAUGCAUUUGAACCCACAAAAUUAAUUGAUUUAAUUUAGGCUAGCUCCUGCACGGUUUAAUUGGAAACUCGAGUUAAGCAAAGAGCUAAGUUGCGAGGUUUCAAGAUUGACCCGUUUAGCUAGAUUUAAUAACAUAGUAAAAAAAAAAUUUAGCUCUUAAAAUUUUUAUUUACAUCUAAAAAAAUUGGUCCAACCCACAACACAACGCGAGCAAAUAGACUAGUUAUAUACUAAAAAUACUUGGAAUGAAUAGUGAAAAACCAAGUUAUUUUAUUUUAUUUUAUUUUGGUCCUCAAACUUUUUGAAGAUUUUUUUAUUUCAUUUUAUUUUAAUUUCAUCUUUCAAUAUUGAGUUUACUGGGUAUUGAAAUUCAUAAUUUAUUUUGAUUUGCUUUUUGUGGAGUUUUUUGGUCUCAUAACCAGGGUUGCGAGUUUCUCGAGUUAGCCGUGUUAACUUGGAUUAUUUUUUUGUCAUUUCUUAAUUAUUUUUUUUCUCAAAUUUAUCCUUCAACAUUGAGUUGAUUGAUAAUUAGGCUUCAUAAUUGUUUUUGUAUUUGCUUUCUAUAGGGUUAUCACGGUCUCAUGAUCCUUGUCGUGAGUUUUACGAGUUAACUAGGUUAACUCGAGUUUUUUUUCAUCCUUUUUUUAAUUGAAUAUUUUUUUUUCAAUUUAAUCCUUCAACAUGAGGUUGAUUGAGAAUUAUACUUUAUAUUUUUUUUAUUUACUAUCUAUAGAGUUAUCUCGGUCUCUUGAUCCAGGUUUGUCAAGUUAACUCGGGUUGACUUUGGUUAUUUUUUGUCAAUAUUUUACUUUGUUUUUCAAUUUAAUCCUUCUCUAUUGGAUUGGUUUGAGAUUAGGCUUAAUAAUAUUAUUUAUUUUCUUGUUAACAAGUUAUCACAGUCUUAUAACCUGGAUAACGGGUUAGGCCGAUUGACUCAUGUUUUUUUAUCCUUUUUUUGUUGAUUUUUUUUUCAAUUUCAUCCUUCAAUAUUGAGUUGAUUGGAAAUAAAACUUCAUAAUUUAUUUUAGUUUUUUUAUAAGGUUAUCCUAAUCUCAUGAUCUAGGUCAAGAGUUUGGUUGGUUUAGGUGGUUUUUUGUGUAUUUUAUUUUAUUUUAUUUUAAUUUCACCUUCAACAUAUAAGAGUAAAGGAAUAAGUUCCCCGUAUGUAUCAAAUACAUCCACACUAGCUGCAAAUCUCCAUCAGCUAUGACUCCACGUAUAGUUAGGAUAUCUGUUUCCUUAUUCUCAGGACAUUCAGUUUCCUUCUUUGUGUGUAAUUCUUCUUUCCUAUUUUGAUUGUAAUUCUCAUUGUAAUCUCUAUAUAAAGCACACUGCAAUACAAGCAAUGUAUCUUUUCAUAAAACCCUAUAUGGUAUCAGAGCCGCCACGCUCCCACGAGCAUCUGGUUUCACAGGUUACUUUCAUGGCAGAAACCUCUCAAGAAAACGCAGCCACUGUUGUGUCUAACCCUGCUAUCACAACACCAAAUUUAUUGAUUGCUAUCAAUGCUGCAGCACAAUUACCCCUCAAACUCACGCCAAUAAACUACCUAACAUGGCGUGCUCAAUUCAAUGCCCUUCUUAUUGGCUAUGAUCUCCUGCGAUAUGUGGAUGGCUCUUAUCUGGAACCACCCAAACUUUUGCAUGAUGCACCUAAUCCUGCUCACAUGUUCUGGGUUUGCCAAGAUCAGCUUCUGUUGCACUCCAUCAUCGCCUCUGUUUCAGAAAAAAUCAUGCCACUCAUUGCGUCUUCAACAACCUCCCGUAUGGCAUGGGAGAAACUUAACAUUUUCUAUGCAAACCGCUCACGAUCACGAGUAAUGAGUCUCAAGGAACGACUCACUGCUACAACCCGCGUGGCUCCAACUCUGUGGGUGAAUUUCUUAAUACCAUGAGAAGUAUAUCUGAUGAACUUUCAAUCAUUGGUGAGCCUCCCAGUGAUAUUGACUUGGUAGUUCAUGUUCUCAAUGGUCUUGGUCCAGCAUUCAAAGAAAUUGCUGCAGCCAUUCGUGCUCGUGACAACCCCAUCAGCUUUGAAGACCUUCAUGAUAAACUUGUUGAAUAUGAAAAUUUUCUCAAACGUGAAGAGGUACGUGCUGUGUCUCCUCCAAUCACAGCUCAUGUCACUCAACGAUCUGGCCACUCCAGCACCUCUACUCCCAGGCACUACAACAAUAACAAAGUCUCCUCCAACAGUCGUGGAUAUCAGUCAUUCUCCAACUCUAAUCGUGGCUAUCACGGCUCAUAUCAGCCUCCACGGAAACGCCCAGGCCAAGGGUACAAAGGAUUCUGUCAAUUAUGUGAUCAACAAGGACAUAGUGCCAAACGCUGUCCUCGUGUUCGCCCUGUUAUCUCUACAGCUCCUACUGCCAAUUACACUGCUACUGCUUCUCCAAAGCCACCAAACUGGCUUCUUGAUUCUGCAGCAUCUCAUCAUAUCACCGAUGAUCUCAACAAUCUCUCCCUCACCUCGGUUUAUGAAGGUUCGGAUGCUAUUGUUAUAGGUGACGGCACAGGUUUGCAAAUAACUCAUGCUGGCCAUGCAACUCUUCCAACUCCCUUCAAAGAUUUUGCCUUAUCUAAUGUUCUGUGUGUUCCUUCCAUCAAGAAAAAUUUGCUUUCAGUUUCUCAAUUUUAUAAAACUAAUAAUACCUCCAUUGAAUUCUUUCCUGCUUAUUUUUUGGUGAAGGAUCUUCGCACGGGGGCGACUCUCAUUCGCGGCCGGAAUAAAAAUGAUGUGUACGUGUGGCCUGAAUCUUUGUCUCCUCUGACAUCAUUCCAUGCUUUUGUUGGUGUUAAAGCCCCAUUGAUAGACUGGUAUAGACGGCUUGGCCACCCCUCUUCUCGUAUCCUGCAUCAUCUUGUUACCUCCUGCACCCUUCCUCUAUCUACAUCAUCUAGUAACGUCACUUGUGACUCCUGUCUCUGUCAUAAAAGCCAACGACUUCCUUUUCAUGUAUCCUCUCUAAAGAGUCAUGGUCCAUUAGAUUUAAUUUACACUGAUGUUUGGGGCCUAGCUCCAAUUUCUUCCACCGAAGGUUAUCGAUUUUAUGUCAUUUUUGUUGAUCAUUUUAUAAAAUAUAUUUGGUUCUAUCCUAUCUGUCAUAAAUCUGAUGUUUCUCUCAUCUUUCCCAAAUUCAAAGUCAUUGUUGAAAAUUAUUUUAAAAAAUCAAUUGUUUCCAUGUACUCUGAUAAUGGGGGUGAGUACGUCAAACUUAAAGAAUAUUUUGCUACUCAUGGCAUCACCCAUCUCACUACUCCCCCCCACACUCCUCAACAUAAUGGUACUGCUGAACGCCGUCAUCGGCACAUUGUGGACACAGGUCUCACCAUGCUCCAUCAAGCCUCCCUUCCUCUUUCUUUCUGGUUCCAUGCUUUUCAAGCUACCACAUUUCUCAUUAAUCGUUUACCCACUCCCAUUCUUCAACUUAAAUCCCCAUUUGAAUCUCUCUUUGGUCAUUUGCCUAAUUAUCUUAAGCUUCGUGUCUUUGGGUGUUUGUGUUACCCAUGGCUACGACCAUAUGCCAAACACAAACUUGACCCCCGCUCGCGUCCUUGUGUCUUUCUAGGAUAUUCCCUCACUCAGAGUGCCUACAAGUGCUUUGAUCCAACUAUUCAAUGUUUAUUCAUCUCCCGUCAUGUCCGUUUUGUUGAAACUGCAUUCCCAUUUGCUGCCUCCCCCCAUGCACGUCCAUCCUCUCCUUCUUUGCCCAACUGGGCAUUAUCAUUUGACAUUCCUUCCCCACCUCCAGUUCCUCUUUCAUUAUCUUCCCCUCCUCUCCUCCAGUCGGCCAUGCCAGUCUCGUCACCUGCAGCACUCUUGCCCCACCUCCAGCAGGCCACCGUGCACUCAUACUAGCCUUCGCCCCUGUGUGAUGAUCGCUCCUCCAGUCCUGCCCAUCAGUCAUUGCCACCACCAUCACCAUCCCUCGCCCUCACCCCUCCACCGCCCCUUAUACCAAAUCAUCCCAUGAUCACUCGUUCCAAAAACCAUAUCUUUAAACCUCGCCAGCUCAACCUCACCACUAAACAUCCCUUACCUGUCACUCUUGAACCAUCCUGUGUGUCUCAGGCACUUCAACACCCGGAAUGGAGAGCUGCCAUGUCCGCUGAGUUCACUGCUUUAACCAGUAAUGGCACCUGGGAAUUGGUCCCUCCUUCUUUGCACCAGAAUCUGGUAGGCUGCAAGUGGGUCUUUCGGCUCAAAAGAAAACCAGACGGCUCCAUUGACAGGUACAAAGCCCGCCUUGUAGCAAAAGGCUUUCAUCAACGUCCUGGUCUUGAUUAUACUGAGACGUUCAGCCCCGUUGUCAAGCCUACCACCAUCCGCAUUGUUCUUUGUCUAGCCCUUCAACAUGGUUGGCCUAUUACACAACUGACGUUAAUAACGCCUUCCUUCAAGGUUCUCUUUCUGAAGAAGUCUACAUGGCUCAACCCCGGGGCCUCAUUGAUGCUCAGCUGCCUCACCAUGUUUGUCGUCUCCGCAAAGCCAUCUAUGGACUUAAACAAGCUCCCCGAGCUUGGUAUAAUGAGCUGGCCACGUUUCUCAUCUCACAUCAGUUUGUCAACUCUAAAGCUGAUACAUCUCUGUUCAUCUACAAUCAUGAUGGCAUAAUUGCUUAUUUCUUGGUCUAUGUUGAUGACCUCCUUCUUACUGGCAACAAUGGCAGGUUCUUAUCUUCUUUUAUUGCUGCAUUGUCCUCUUGUUUUUCUGUCAAAUAUAUGGGUUCUCUCCACUACUUCCUUGGGGUUGAAGUAUUGCCCACCUCCACUGGCCUCAUCCUGUCUUAACACAAAUAUAUAUAUAUAUAUAUGAUCUACUUGUCUGCACCAACAUGGCUGGUGCGAAGGAGGCAACUACACCACUCUCCACAACUUCCAGUCUCACUCUAACUGACGGGUCUGCCUCCAUAGAUGCCAGUGAGUUUCGCAGUGUUGUUGGGUCUCUCCAGUACCUCUCUCUCACCCGUCCAGACAUCGCUUUUACAAUGAAUAAACUCUCUCAGUUCAUGCAUAAACCCACUCAGCUUCAUUGGCAAGCAGUUAAGCGUCUGUUACGUUAUCUCAAGGGCACCAUUUAUCAUGGCCUCUCCCUCACCCGCAGCACUUCCACUACAUUAUCUGCUUUCUCUGAUUCUGAUUGGGCAGGCAAUCCUGAUGACCGCACAUCCACUACUGCAUACAUUUUAUUUUUGGGAGGUAAUGUUGUCUCUUGGGCCUCUUGCAAGCAGCAUUCUGUUGCACGCUCUUCUACAGAAGCCGAAUAUCGGGCUGUUGCUGCCACUGCCGCUGAGUUAUCUUGGGUUUAGCAGCUCUUACGUGAGUUGCAUGCAUCUCCUCCUGCUCCACCGAUUGUUUUCUGUGACAAUGUGGGUGCAACUUACCUCUGUGCCAAUCCUGUCUUCCACUCUCGCGUGAAACAUAUAGCCAUUGACUUCCAUUUUGUACGUGAUCAUGUCAGCAAGGGUUUGCUUCGUGUCUCUAAUGUUUCUACUACAGACCAGCUAGCCGAUACUCUCACCAAGCCUCUCUCUCGCCAACGGUUUACUCUUCUUCGGUCCAAGAUUGGUGUCUCUGAUGGAAGCACCAUCUUGCGGGGGUGUAUAAGAGUAAAGGAAUAAGUUCCCUGUAUGUAUCAAAUACAUCCACACCAGCUGCAAAUCUCCAUCAGCUAUGACUCCACGUAUAGUUAGGAUAUCUGUUUCCUUAUUCUCAAGACAUUUGGUUUCCUUCUUUGUGUGUAAUUCUUCUUUCGUAUUCUGAUUGUAAUUCUCAUUGUAAUCUCUAUAUAAAGCACACUGCAAUACAAACAAUGUAUCUUUUCAUAAAACCCUACACAAUAUUGGAUUGAUUGAGAAUUGAGCUGUAUAAUUUGUCUUGAUUUGCUUUCUAAGGGGUUAUCCCGAUCUCAUAACCUAGGUUUAAUAGGUUAACCUAAGUUGAUUCGACUCAGAUUUUUGUUGAAUUUUAUUUUUAAUUUUAUCCUUCAACAUUCAGUUGAUUGAGAAUUGAGUUUAAUAAUUUUUUUUUUAUAGAAUUAUCAGGGUCUCAUAACCUAAAUAGUAGAUUUAAUAGGUUAAAUUGAGUUUAUCCAUGUUGAUAUAAUAUAUUAUUAUUUUAAUAUUUUAAUUUGAACUAUGGAAUGCAUUGAAGGUCAAAACAAAAGUUUUACAAGGAUUAAAUAAACAUAUUCAUAUAUAAAUAAUUUUAUUGAGCAUGGUUUUAAUCAAUUUAACUUGAGACCAUCACCUUAUCAGAAUUUAACUAAUCUAUUUAGGUUAAUAAAUUUAAUGAAUUUAAAUAAAAUAAAUCCAGUAAAGCAUUAAACUAUUCAAGUAGUAGUUAUAUAUUGAAUCCUCCCAUAGAACAAAUGGAAUACAUGCGGCUAAACCAAUGUGCUCCUCCAUGCAACAUUUUCUCUUCCAAUUUUUUAAUCCAAGAGCUGCUUUGAUCGAGCAAGAAGCCAUCAUAAAAUGUUCAGUUGUAAUUUUUAAAUUAUAAAUCUAAGUCCGUUGUAGCCUAAACUGCACUUAACAUUCCAAAAGGCUUUAAAAAUAAAUAGUCAAUCAUGAUAAUGAUAAUAUGUAUGUAAAUUUAAAAACUAUUUUAAUUUUUUUUAAUUAAUGUGGGUGUCCGGGCCAGCUUAUGCGUACCUUGACUAAUCCUACGAGUCUUGAAAUUAAUAAUUAUAUAAAUUUUUAGUAAUUAUUAUAUUAGUAUUUAUAGAGCUUGAACAUAAAAUCACAUAAAACAAAUAACCUUUUAAAGUUUAAAUUUUAAAUAAAGUGAGCAUGAUUUGUCCAAUUGGAGAACUAAUGAGAAUGAUUUGUUCUUUCUAAUUUUUUAUUUUGAGUGAACAUAGAAUUGGAUAAGAAUGAACUCUGUUUACAAGGACUUUUCAACUCUAAUUGCGAAAAAUUAAACAGAAAACAGUUCGUCCAAGAUUAAAAUCAAGAUAGACUUCUGGAAUGAUUUGACCUUGUAAAGAAUGCAACCCACAACUCAAGAUUUUAUUUAUUGGAGAUGGAGACUAAUAUUUAUUUAUUUUUAUACUUUUAUUGCAGCUGUGAUAAAGAUAAUAUGUAAUUAUUUUUUAAAUUUAAAAUUUAAAUUAGCUUUCAAAAAAUUUAAUAAGAUAUAUAUAUUUUUUAAAAAAUCGCAGCUAUUUUUAUAAACAUGUUUUUAACUGGUCUAAUAUUUAUUUUUUUGUAUUACAGUGCUAAUUUGAAGAAAAAAAAUGGUAUACUUGGCUCUUGGGACGUUAAAACGUUCUGGCUGAAUUCACUUGAUUCGAACAUUUAUAUGCUUACUGGCAAUGGAGUAUUUAAUAUUGUCUAAAGCUUAUCUUUUUUGAGAAUCGUGUCAUCCUUAUCUCCGAAACCAAACGAUCUUGUCAAUGUCUUUGUGAAGAAGUGAUGAGAGUCAAAAUUAGUACCACAAAAUGUCUCUGCAAAUCAUCACUGUCACCAUCACAGUAUCUCGGUUUUAUUCAUGGAGAUAAGGUGCCCACGGGGCUCAGAAUUCUGAUCUGGUAAUCAUGUCAGCCACGCAUACAUUCAUGUAUAAAUAUGGUAUGUCCCCAGUUGACAGGUUUAAUUUAUUUACGUGGGCCUGGCCAUCCAUGAAGCACGUAUCUUGCGUAAACUUGCUUCCUAAAGGAGGCAAAACGUGAGGCUAGUGCAAUUUCAGGCAUGCCUUCCAAUCCAAGGCUCGUAAAUCAGUCACGUUGGGGAAAUGUACUUGUAAGUUCAGUCGCGACUGCAUUCAUUUAGGCUGUGCGUGGUGCCUGCCAGCAUGUUUGUGCUCUGCGUUGAUGAGUAAAGUACUGCAGUUAACUAGCAGCGUUAACAGGAUCUCAUAUGAGCCAUGUGAGGUGCAGAUAAGGGCACAUCCAUAUCAUUGUUGGAAAAGAUUUUGCAGUGUGAGAAUUUUAGUUCUGUCAAAUGAAACAGGUUUUCUGGAGGAGGUGCGAGGGUUAACUUGGGAUUUUGGCUGUCAUACAUUGACAUCCCACAUGGUGCUAACUCAUCCUCAAGAGUCAGAUAGCAUGGGUAGAGAGAUAGAUAGCUUAUACCUAUGGAUGAUGAGAAUAGGCUCUAAACAAAAGGCAUAGCAGCCUGUUCGUGGCAGGAUCUCGAUAGGGCAAGAAAACCUCCACUAUUGCUAGCAGGAUGCAGAAGUCUGCGGCAGUGGAUCUGACUCCUGAGAGUUCUGAUUGCAGAGUUCAGUUGCCGCAGAUUUCUCCUAGUGUCAACUUUGAUUUUCUUGCUCUUAUGAUUUGGAAAGCAGGAUCAAAAUGCUAACCAUGCUGCCAGUUGACAAAACCAAGUUGCCGCAGGUUUCUCCAAGCGUCAACUUUGGUUGACCUCAAACCAUUAAACAAGCAACUCACCGUUGCAUCAGAAGACACAUAACCACCUAUAAUCAGCUAUUAGGUUGGUUCCUGAAUGCUUCCCAUAAAAAUUAAAAAUGAAUCAUUAGUAAAUGCCCAUUUAAACCAAUAUAUGCUCCAGAUUUUUUACAGGGUCACCAGUAGUUCAUGGCAAGGACCAGCAAAGGCAACGCAUGGAAGAUAUAGCAGGAACGGGUAAUAUUAUUUAAACCAUACAAGACAACAAUCUAGUUUGGUGAAACAUUGCUUAUUCUGCUCAAAGUUUCAAUUCAGUACACAACUCGAGUUCAUUACAUGACACACAUUUCCAUCAUUUUACUAUAACUGCUGUUCCGCAUUUUCAUUUUCAGAAAACUUGCUAUUAUAGCUUUGAGGGAGCCUGGUACCAACCCCAUGGUUCUUCAGAGAUAUAUCGAGUUACCUGCUUCACACUUAAGUAGUUUUCAAGUCCCCUGAGAGAAAAAGGAUAGCAAAAGGAGUCAGAAUCAGCACUAAGUUGAUGCCAAUCUAGAGUAAUUUCAAUAAUUUAUCGAGGGGAGAAAAAAGGCUGCAGACAGUUUACAUCAUAACCAAAAAAUUCUCCAUUAUGCAAAAAUAGAGGGAAAAUGUUGGUUAUGUAUUCAUAAAAUUCUAAACGUUUGGAUUUAGCUGAUAAAAAAUAGUCUCUUGCAUAUCUUUUUAAGGAAAUUAGGUUCUUACCAUUCUCCUAAUUCACGCCCAAAACCACUGCGCUUAAUGCCUCCCCAUGGAGCUUGACAGAAGCAUGGCUGUGAGCAAUUGAUCCAGACAAUACCUGCCCGGAAAGCCUGCAAAAUGGAGGUAGAGGAAGAAAAAUUAUCUCAAAAAGUAAAUAAUCCCUCUGAACAGAUUUUGGUGUGUUAUUUGCACAUGAUUAAUUGUUAGUUCAAGUCUCACCUUGGCUACACGAUCACACCUCUCUGGAUCAUUUGAUAUAACAGCAGCUCCUAAGCCAUAACUGUGGGAGAUCCAUAGAAAGUCAGAAUAAAACAUACAAGAACCGAGCAGAUCAGAGGAAAAAAAAACAACAAAGGAAGCAACAACAAAGAUGAUGAAGAUAAUAUCCAAUCCAAGUAUUCAGACACGUUCAUUGUCUUUAUUGAGAUACAAGAAUAAACUUACUGGGUGUCAUUUGCCAAAUCGAUGGCUUCAUCUUCAGUACUAAAUGUUUUAACACAUAGAACAGGCCCGAAAACUUCUUCUCUCCAGAUUUGCAUGGAGGUUGUUACAUCAAUGAUGAUGGUUGGUUCAACAAAGAAUCCCUUGUUUAAAUGCUGACAACAUAUUUUUAAAAAUCACUCAAAUACCCCGAGAGAUAUAGAGACAGAGCAAUCCCACCAAAAGCAGGAAAUAUACAUACCUUGGGACGAUCCCCACCACUCAAAAUGGUUGCACCUUCACUCUUGGCGGUUGCAAUGAAUUUUAAUAUUUUAUCAUACUGCAGCAAUGAAGUAAAUAAUUAAAUUAGCAGGUUUAGUUCACCAAGAAGAGUUAAUUGUUCAGAAAAGAAAAUAAAAUACAUAUACAUAAUGUGACUAUUUGAGAUCACAAGUUGAACAGCGAAUUAGAUAUUAAUUGAAACAAUGAUAUUUUAACAAAUACUUGCCUACUUACAAAACAUAGUAGAAAAGUUAACUUUGUAACGAAAUAUCAUCCCAUCUGAACCAACAAAGAGAAAUGGAAAAUGUAGGAUUUUAAAAAAUACUUGCCUGCUCUCCACUGACAAGUGGGCCAAGCCUGCAACCCUCUUCGAAAGGAUCAGAAAUUUUAAUUUUUUUGGUCCAUUUGACAAGCUUGUCCAAAAAUUCUGAUGCAAUGCUUUCCUGAAAUAUUAAAGCGAAUAAAAUCUUAAAUUUUUACAAGGCUAACACAUUUUAAGAAAAAAAUAUCAUUUGAUAAACUAUACACUGCUGGAUGCAAAUAGCCAAACAUUUCUUAUCCCAUUUUCUCACUCAUAGUAAAUCCAAGCUUUUAAGUGGAUAAGCUGUUGCAGGCAAGUCACUCAUUUACAGUUACAAGAUUAGGAAAGUUGUAUUAAAGUUGUAUUUAUUGUCCUCGGGGAAUACCAUUUUCUUGAAGAAACAGCUGAAUUUUCAAUUAAUCUUCAAAGAUGAAGAAGAUUAGCCGCCGCUGUUAAUGUUUUAUAGUGACCCCAGACACCAGCAAUCUCUGACUUGGAGGGAACUUUUAAAGACUUGCCUUUUGAGAAGGUUUGAUAGCUCAUUUGACAAAGACACAUGUACCUUACAACGUUGUUUUAAUGUUUGGAUAGCAGCAAUGUAGGGUUUCUUUUCAUGCUUUGACUUGGUCACAAACUCCAAAAUUUGGUUACUCUUAGCUAGAUUUGGUUUUUGGUAAUCUUCACAGCUCCAAGGGAUCAUUUAUAAAACUCUUUAAGGCUGUUGGCUUGGAGUUUGGAGCAGGGUCAGUGCUGCUUCUCUAUUUCAAGAAGCUAAAUUCAUUUUAUAGGGUCUUACUAGUUCUGGGUGUAGCUAAAAGGAAUCUUUAGUUCGAUUCUGCUUUUCAAGGCAUGCAAAAUCAACCCAGAGCAUAAGCUGUAAACUGCAAGGGGAAGGUGUUGGAACGUGCACAAGAUGACAGUGGUAAAGGUAUUGCUAACAUAUAAAAUCCCAACUUUGGCCUCACAAGAUGAAAGUGAUUUGACAUGCAUAUUAAGCACAGAGGGCAUCACACUUACAUGCACUAAAAGACGGGAUGUUGCACUGCAUAUCUGGCCAUUUGUCCAAAAGCAACCAAAGAGGGUCCACUCAGCCGCUGGAAGAAAGCAAGUAAUCUACUAUUAAUAGAAACACCUGCAUGAUCACAUACUUGCUUCCCCUAUGUAUUGUUGAAAAAAAAAAUCUUUAUAGAGUAAAAAACAAGGAAUGCUAAGAGGGAACCAACCCUUAUCAAGAUCAACAUCCUCAAAAACAAUGAUUGGGCUUUUCCCACCUAGCUCCAUUGAAACAGGCUGACAAGAUAUUACAAUUCACAAGCAGUGAUUAGGCACAAAUCAGCAAGCAGCAUAUAAUAAGUGACAAAAAAUUGUUCAGCACAAGACAUACCUUGACCAUUUGAGCUGCAGAUGCCAUUAUCCUGCUCCCUGUAGCAGUGCUCCCAGUAAAUGCAACCUGUCAACAACUUAUUAGCAAUUAAAGCAAGGUAGAUAUAAAACCCAAAAGUAGUACUCAUCAAUAUCUGACUUGAAAAGGUGUCCAACAAGAAAAUAAUAACAGAAUACUGAACCUUGUCAACAUGGGGAUGAGAUGCCAAAGGAGCACCUGCUUCAGUGCCCAACCCAGUUAAAAUAUUGAGGACACCAGGGGGAAGACCAACCUCCCUACACACUUCACCCAGCUCCAAACAAGUCCUGAAAUCAGAAACAUCAUAAAUGACAUGAAACGUGGCCAACCACCACCAGAAUUUAUGCAAGCUCCAAUAAAUUAAGGGCACAGACGUACACAGAUGCCAGUUCAGAAGGCUUCAGUAUUGCAGUGCAACCUGCGGCCAGGGCUGGAGCCACUUUCCAUGUAGCCAACAAUAGUGGGUAAUUCCUUCAAUAAAAGAGACAAGAAAUAGUUAGUUUCUAUAACAUCUGGUUUAUUAUUAGAAUUUAGAAGUAACAAAUGAAGAGAGUCCCAAAAAACAAAAAAUGACAGCCAACAUGACUCCUAGAGACACCAUACCAUCACAUUAGAGAUCUUCAUAAACUCAAGAAUGGGAUCAAGGAAUUAGGUAAGAUAUAAAACUAAGACGUAAUAAUGAAGUAGCAAAUAAUGAUGGUAGCAAUGGAGCAAAAUGUAUUUUACAGAUGUCUCAUUUCUUCACCAAAAAGGAUUUUGACCAGUCCUCAUCGAUGAUUGUAAACUAAAUUGGAAAGCACAAAAAUAACUUCAGAGAGGAACUAAAACCAUGGUUGUGUGCAUUGUGAAUUUAGCAAGUCGACAUCUAGGUGACAAUUAUAAAGUUACAAGUUAUAACCCAGACUACAGCAUUCCAGAUAGCAUAGAAAGUAGAGUUCAAGUGCAACUACAAGCAGCCAGUAUAACUGCAACAACACAUUGCAUCUCAGGAUAAGUGAGAGUUAGAUUGCGACAACAAAUUCAAUGGAGAACCGUAAAAGGUUGCUACAAGACUUGGAUAGAAAUAAUUCAUAACUGAAAUCUAAUAAUGGAAAGCAGACUCUUCAAAUAAUAUUCUGCAGAAUUAAAGAAACCACUCUCUUGCAUAGACUUCAACUGAACAAUUUUAAGAGAAUGAUUACUAUCAAAACAACAUAGUACUUAAAAAACUAUGAUGGCACCAGUGGUCUCAACUCAUAAAGGCAUUUAUUAGCAAGAUAAAGAUUAUGGAAAAGUUAGAAGCUCCAGGCUCUUGAACAUGCUAAGAAAUUAAUAAGUCACACUUCAUUUUAUAUAUUUUUUCCAUGCAAUGAAUAGAUCUUCUCAGAUCCACACAAUUCUUUCUUCCAGCUUCCUAAUUUCCUAUAAUACAAAAACCAUGAUGUGCUUUUUUUACAGUGCUACAUUCAUUGACAUUGGUGUAGCUGAAAAAAAUGUAGAGCUUACUGGUAACGAUUCAUUUAAAAACAUUUGACACGCCCAAGCCAGAAAAAUUUUAAUUACAAGAAGGUAAACAUUACAUAAGAAAGAAAGAAACAGGCAUAAAUGUAUCACACAGUGAUGCAUCAGAUACCAUGGAGUGAUCAGAGCAACAACCCCAAGUGGUUCUUUAAGAACAAAGCUCUUAAAUGUUUCCAUAGGAAGAGAAACAGGAGCUUUCUGCUUUGUAUCUAAGCCUUCAGCAAGGUCCGCAUAGUACUCAAAACAUCCUGCAACAUCAUCCUGGACAACAAGAAUUCCCACAUAAGACAAUGCACAUAAUACUCAACUCAAUAUCUCGAUAGUGCCACAAGCAUACCAUGUCCCACAGUGCUUCAUCUAGAGGUUUUCCACUAUCAAUUGCUUCAAGUUUUCCUAGUUCUGAUUUCCUCUCUGUUAUCUGCACACAAACAAAGAUAAAUAGGAGUUGGAACCCGGGACAAGCAGGGAAGUUCAAUGGCCAACAUUAAGAAAAUUAUUGAUAUAAUUGCAGAAAAAAACUUCAAUAACAAAUGAUUAUCUCAUACUCCAUUAGAAAGAAAAACGGGUUCCAUAUUUGACACACAUCAUUUGUCAUUAAAGUUUUGAAUAUAAAAAAUGCGAGCUUCUUAUUUAGUAAUCCAAGAAACCAUCCCUCUCAGAUUUUGACUCCAAACACUACUAAAUGACAGAACAUAACCUUUGUAAUUCCACACAACAUUAACCUGAUAAAUGACGAAAAUUUCUUAAGAACAUAUAUAGUGAUCAGAAGUAAAGCGUAGACACAUAAGCAAAACAAAUAGCUAUAUAAGAGAAGAAAUUCAAAACAAUGAAUGUGCACAAUCACAGAGAAAAUUAAACAAUUUAGAAAUUAAUUGCACGCCAACAGAUAACUAACUGCAAAAUAAACUUAUGAAUCCAAGCAAACUGCAAGGUAGGAAAAAAAAUCCAAGAUUAUUAAGAAGUAAUAUAUCUUGGGAGUUGCGAGUGACAAAAAAAAUCAGCAAAACUGCAAAUUAAACUGUACCUUAGCAGCAAUAGCACGCAAAUACCUGGCACGAUAAGCACCUGACGCGGAGGACCAAUCUUUGCCUUUGUUCCUAGAAAAUGCUUUCUUAGCUGCUUCAACUGCAAUCUCCACAUCUUCUGCAGUGGCUGCUGGUAUAUCACCUGAACAAGUACCAUGUUCCACAAAACCAUAAAGAUCAAAUCUUUUCAAGGUUGCAAGUCUUUUAUGAGAUUCAAGAUCACUGAACAACUAAAAUAACUAGAACCCACAAAUUUAAAGCAAGAAAAAAAUUCAUUAGUGACAUAAAUGAACGUUUUAACCCAGCAAAACACACACAUACGGAUAUAUAGUGAGUGAGUAAACUGACCGAUGAUCUGUUCAGUGGCAGGGUUGAUAACGGGGAUGCGUUUUUUGAGAACGGUUUCUCUCCAUUCUCCGUCGAUGAAUAGCUGUCGAUUAGGUAGAUGGAUCGCCAUGUUCACUCUGACUGUGUUUCAGUGAGUUGGUUGAAUAUGAUGCAAAUGUUUCUUUUCGUGCUUUAUAAAGGUUUUUGAAACAUUUCAUUUUUUAAAAUUUUUUAAUAAUUUUUUAUUUUGAUAAAUUAAUUUUAAAAAUAAUUUUUUUAAAUAAAAAAUAUUUUUUUAAUAUAUUUUUAAAUAAAUAUUAUAAAAAUAGUUAUUUGUUGAUAUUUUCUGUACAAGCUCCUCGAUGCUUAACUUUAUUUUGCGGGAAUGCAUAAAGUAUUAAAAGUAGUUUCAAAAUUAAAGGAAUUUUUUUCUUUAAAAAGAAUUAUUCAAUGGAAUAUCACUUUUGUAAUUCUAUUUUGUGUACAAAUCAAUCCAUAUUUUGUGUAAAACUUUUUUUUCAAGUUGUUUUUAAUACGAGAUUGAAAAAAUGAGAUUACUUAUUACAAUAAUGUUUUAGGAUUUAAAGAUUAUUCUUAUCCAUUAAUUGAGUUUUAUUUUAAAUUAAAUAAAAAAAAAUAUUUACAACAUCAAAUCUAUUUUCCAAUAACUCAAUAAACUUAACCAAGUCUAUCCAAAAUCUGAUUUUUUCAACGCUUUAAUAAAAUAAAUGUUGACUUAUCUUUGAUGUAGGCUUUUUUACUAGUUAGUCAUCCGAUCAAAUUUGACAAAUAUGCUUGAGAGUUAUAAUUAUUGUGGAAAUCUCACCACAAAAUUGCAGUCACUGUUCAUGUCACAAAAACAUUAGUUUGAAUUUUAUAAAUUUUAGUGUUAUUAGAGAUUUACAUAAUUGUUAAUUUUAGAACCUAUAAAUUUAGUCGAGAUACACACAAACUAGCCUGAAUACUCACGUUAAUUUAAAAAUAAAAAAAUACAUCAGGUUGCUCUAAAACCGAUCUCCACUUUUAGGGACUGUGAAGUGAACUGGCCAGAGACUAAAUUUAUACUCUAACAUUCACGCUAAUCUAAAAAUAAAAAAAUACAUAUGGUUGCUCUAAAAUCUUCACCUUCUGGGAUUGUGAAGUUACUGGUUUGGACCAGAUUUACUUAGCACAGUGUCGGGCACACCAAGUCAUCACGGCAGACAUUUCUGGUUCACAUGCAGUUCUACCUGCUCGGCAAGUAUCUCUGAGAUAUUGUUGAUGGUAGCAGUGCCAUACCACUAGCGGACAUGGUAGAGCUACAGAUAUGGAAGAUCAAAGCUGGUAAGGCCAUUACGUUCUCUUCGUCACCAUUGAAGAUGAAUUAUUGCAGCGAAUAAAAAAUGUGAAGACACCCAAGGAGGCAUGGGACACUCUGGCGGUAUGAUGAACGAUGCAAAGCUCCAAAGAUUGGAGAACGAGCUUUUGCCAAUCUCCCAAAAAGACAUGACAGUGAGGCAAUACUUGUCUGAAGUGAAAUAUCUUUGUGAAGAAGUUUUGAAAUUAGAUCCUCUACAUGCAAUAUCAGAGGCAAGGAUGAGGAGAAUUGUUAUCAAUGGGUCAAGGCUAACGAUAUCAUUACGGCAACCCGAGGAUGAGCAAAGGAGCCAUCUUUUACUAGGAUGGAGAAUAUCUUGGCCAAUCAAAAGGCUCUAGACAAACAUAUGUCCAAAGUCUCGAUGAAUGAUGAAUAAGCUUUUUUUUGCUUAUUACCACUUUUCUUUUUAAAUAUUAGUGAAAUAAAAUAUUUUAAAAAAAAUCGGUGAAAUAAUAUAGUUUGUAUAUAUCAUGAUUGAGAAAGAUUAUAUUCAAACUUCUUAUUAUUCUGAAUCACGGCAUCUUAAAAAAAGUAUUAUGAAAAGAGCUACACGCGAGGAGAAAUGAAAAAAAUAAAAAAAGAUCCUAGAGGUUUACCAAAGCUCCAAUCACAACAUCACUAGUAUCAUUAGAGAGAUCUCAAUGGGAUGAAUCUAAUGACAUCAAAAAAGGUCACUAAUAUUGACUCGAGUGUACCACACUUGCCGUCCAAAGAUGGCAGGUGACUUGCAUUCGAUGACAAACGUGACCCAUUCAAGUCAUCGUUGAUGACUUUCCGUAACGUCGUUAAAUUUUCUUGUUGAAAUCUUUUAUAUGGGACUGAUGGUAUUGUAAUUGAAGCUUUGUUGCACUUUCAGGGUCUUUUUUUAUUUUUCUCUCAUUUCUCCUCAUUGUAAUUUAGAUGAGACGAAUCCAACGACACCUUUGGAAGACAAGUGUGACAUACUUAAUUCAUCAUUGAUAAAUCUUUUUGGUGUUGUUGGAUUCGUCUUGUCAAGAUCUUUCUGAUGGUACCGGUGGUGUCAUAAUUGGAGCUUUGGUGUGCCUCUGGGAUCUCUUUCUUUAUUUUUCCCUUUUCUCUCUUCUUAUGUGCAUUCCAUUUCACUAUUUUUUAAGAUGUCGUGGUUCUGAAUAACGAGAAGCUUGAGUGUUGUGUUUUCCAAUCAUGACAUGUACAAACUGUACUAUUUCACUAUUUUUUUAAAAUCAUGUUAUUUCAUCAAUAUAUAAAAAACAUGCUAAUUGUUUUUUUUUUAAAUCCAUUUUUAGUAACACAAAGGGCUUAACAAAAACAACAACAACGUCAAAGAGAUUGGCAAAAAAGACUACGUGGAAAAAGCUUCCAAUGAGAGGGAGCAUGCCUAUGUGAAAACCUUGAUGAUAAGAAAUAUUGGCAAUGAAACAAUGAAUGUUAUAAUUAUAAAAAGAAUUACCACUUUGUUAGAGACUACAAACCGAUCCUUUUGCGUCAGUUGCGAGACUGGUACUUGACGGCUCAUGAGCAUAGACUAAGGUAAGGUUGCCCAUCACUCUCUCGCUCUUUUUUGAAGGCCUUUUCUUCUAUUUUCUUUCUAGAGAUGGAUUGAGGGUAAUGUUGUCAUUUUUACUAAGAAUGAUCUUUCACAAUAGGAUAAUAUAAUUAGAGGAUAUUAAUUAUCGAGCCAAAAAAAGAAACGACACUUGUAGUGGUAAGUGAUAAAUUAAUAAAUUAUGAAAAUGAUUAGAUUAUGGAUUCGGGGUGCUCUAAUCACAUAACUGAAGAAAAAGAAAGAUCAAAGAAUAUUUUUUAAUAUAAAGAUAGAUGGGUGGUUGUAACAACAAAUGAUUUAGGGUUGUCGAUCACCUAUAUCAUUCAAACACUGGUUACAUCUCGAUUUAUCACACAUAAAGUGGAGCCAUGAAAUGUUCUUCACAUGCUAGGAAUGAAAAAAAAAUCUUAUAUCAUUCUUGCAACUCACAGUUGAUGAAAACUAUGCAGUCUUUGAUCCAAAUGAUAUCAAUGUAAAUAAAAACUUAAAACCUACAAGAUAGGCAAUCAUAGAUGGAGGAAGGCUUGAGUUUGUAUAUGUGAUGUUAACAUAAACAACAUACGUAGACAAGACGAGAAAAAACGAGACCAUGGAUUUAUGACAUGCUUGAUUUGGACAUGUAUGUUACACUAAGAUGAAGGUGAUGGUAAAGAAGACACUGCUUAAAGGUCUUCCCUUGUUAAAAGUUUAAGAAGACUCGGUCUUUGUUGGAUUCCAAUAUGGAAAGGCAUAUCAACUACCAUAUAAAGAGUCAACCUUCAAAGUGCACUUGCCUCUUGAGCUCAUACAUUCAGACGUGUUUAGGAAAGUCAAGCAAUUGUCAGUCAGUGACUUUAAUAUAUGAUUAUCUUCAUUGAUGACUUCUUCAUGGGAAAGUCAAGCAACUGUCAGUCAAUGGUUUUUAAUAUAUGAUCAUAUUCAUUGAUGACUUCUUCAAGAAUGUCUAGAUAAACUUUAUAAAAGAAAAAUCUGAAGCACUAAUAAAGUUCAAGGAGUUUAAAGAAAAAGUAAAAAAAUGAAACUCAACAUAAAAUAAAAUGUUUACGUACAGAUAAUGUGGUGGGGGUAUUGGACUCGAAAUAUUAUAUAUGUACUUGUAUGAUUAUAGACGAUGAAGGUAACCUAAAUUGUUGAGAUAUUGGACUUUAGCUUAUGUUUUUUAGUUUGAUUUAUUUGAACUUUUAGUUGAGGCAUCUUAAUUAGAUUUUAUUUAUUGGGCUUGAUUUAGUUAUUGUUAAAUAUUCUAUUUAUUGGGCUAUAAACCCAAUUGUUUGUUUUAGUUAGGAUAUUAGUAUUUAUGUUUUAUUUUUCUAAAUGUUGUUUUGUACAAAACACGCCGUUUCAUUUAAAAGAAAAAAAAAGCACCAAAAAGUUUAUUUCCAAAUCAAUCCUCAAUUUUUAAUUUGUUCAAUCAAGUCCUCAAUUGCAAUUUUGAUUUUAAGAAAAAUUAAUUCUAUAAUUAAUUAAAUUUAGGGUUUCAAUUUUAAUAUAAAAUCAUUAUUUUAUAUAUGGAGGGCUAAAAUUAUCAUUUCUACUCCAAAUAUCUCUAAACAUAAUUAGAUAUAAGUUGCAGAGAUAGAUACAUAAUUCUAUCCCUAAAAAAACUUUAAACUAAGCUAAAGGGCAUAAUUGUAAUUUUUCUCCUUCUCUUUGCAGCUGCAGUAGUGGGCACACUGCCCACCACCGGUUUCCACCUUUCUAACAGCAACAAGGGUUACCAUUGGUUUGUUACAGUGCGACGGUCUACCCUUGCGCUGUGCUGCCUCCAAUGCGAGGUUGCUACCUCGUGUUGGUGGUCAUCUUAACAACAACAAUAAAGGUUGCUGCUAGGUUUGGCAUGGCGCGAGGGGCUGCCUUUGCGAUACACCACCUCUAACAUGAGCAGAAGCCUCGUGCUUGGUGGUUUAAGUUGUCGCCUUCAACGCGAGGCAACUCGCACUAGAAGGCAACAACACUAGACACGCUAACGCUACUAUGUUAGGGGUAACAACCAUGACUGCAACCUCUAUCGCCAGUGGCGACCUGGCUUGGUGCAUCAAGCACCGAGCAAGUGCACCAGUAAUGCUCACAUUGCUACUGGUGGCGCAUAACCAGCAAAACCAUUCCUUUUAAUUUAGUGGCAAAUUCCGAGCAAAUCUGGUUGGAACAAUAACCAUAAAGUAUUUUUUAAAAAAAAUAAUGAGAAAAAAUACUUUUGAAAAAAAUAAAUCUGCACACAGAUUUAAUUCGCAAUUAACCCCAAUAAUUAUAAUUAAAUAGAUUAAUUAAAGAAUUUAAUUUAUUAUCAAUUCAACAAUUGAUUCAUUUAUAUUUGAAGAUCAUGUGCAUCCUCUAGUAAUGUGUUAUUGUCCCUUAAAUAUUAGAAAAGUUAUUAGUGAUUUUACUUAACUUUUCAGUGACCUGUUUCUCGGUGUAAUUAAUAUCUUUUCAUUAAUAAUAUGUUGAUUUAACAUUAAAGCAUGUAAUAUGUUUGUCACGUUAAAUCAUGUUUGUUCUCUAUAUAAUAGUCAUUGAUUGUUUAAAUAAGAUUUGAAAAUAUUUUCAAUUCUCAUUUCAUAUUUGCCAAUGAUUUCUCAAUCAAUACUAUUUGAGAACAAAUAAAACAUUUUCCCUAAUUCACUUAUGGUGAUGAAUAUUCUCUUGAUCACUAAGUAUUUUCAUAUAGUUUAUGUUAUACCCAAUAUCUGCCCCUUCGUUACCUCGGUUAAGAUAACAUGCAACAAGAUCAAAGCAUAACAUUUUCUAUAUAAGAUAACUUAGUGAUUUCAAGUUUAAGGAUUACUUACACAACUGUGACGUGAGUUUUUUCAUAGACAUAAGUGAUAUCUCCAUAUGUAAUUUUCAUGCAGGUCAGUUUAGUAUACAUGUCUUGUGACAAACACUUACAUAUUAGUUCUAGAUAUCCCUUAUACCUUAACUUAUAAGAACAAUUGCUUUUUCUCAUAAACAAAAGAAUAUAAUAUGUAUCAGUCUUUACGACUCUAAUAAAUAUUCAGUAUUUAAGAGAGCAUUGAUCAGGAACAUUUUAAAAACAAUACUUUGAUACAAUAAGAAUCUCAUAAGUAUAACAACUUUAUAAUUUUCUUUGCGAAACAUUUUAUCUUUAUUUUAGAUUCAUAAAUCAAAUAUUAGAUUUAUUAAUAUAAUAUUAUAUGAAUAUUAAAAAUAAAUUAAUUAGUUUUUAUUAAUAAUAAAUAUAUAUUUAUAUAAAUAUAAUAAUAAUAUAACCAGGUAAAAAAACAUACAAUAUGAGAUAGAUUUCGAUGAAAGAUUGAGUACAGUAUCGAGAAUCACUAUAAUAUACGAGUCUUACUAAGAAUUGCAGCCAAUCACUAUAGUACGAGUCUUACUAAGAAUUGCAGCCGCCAAUCACUACAAUACGAGUCUUACUAAGAAUUGCAGCCAAUCACUAUAAUACGAGUCUUGCUAAGAAUUGCUGCAGCCAAUCACUACAGUACGAGUCUUGCUCAGAAUUGCAGCCAAAAAGUCAUUGAAGCUUUGGAAAAUGGAUGUUAUGAAUGCAUUUCCAUAUACAUACAUACAUACAUACAUACAUACAUAAAUGUAUGCGUGUGUAUAUAUAUAUACACACGCAUACAUUUAUGUAUGUAUGUAUGUAUGUAUGUAUGUAUGGAACAAUCACAAAGAUUUAAGAGUAAGACUCAUCUAGAUUAUGUGUGCAAAUUAAAGAAAGCUCGGACUAAAGUAGUCAUCAAGAGCUUGGUACGAUAAAAUAGCAUAGUUCUUGUUGCAGGCUGGAUACUCUCUUGCACCGAUAGAUUCAAGUCUGUUUAUAAAAGAUAAAAAUGGAAAACUCUAAAUUAUCCUAAUCUACGUAGAUGAUCUUAUCAGUACCGACAAUGAUGAGAUACAAAUUCAGCAAAUCAGAGUAAAUCUCUCGGGGAGAUUUCAAGCGAAGGAGCUUGGAGAGUUGAAGCACCUCUUUGGAUUCAAAAUACAACAAAGCAAUGAUGGCUUGUUCUUGUGUCAGGUGAAAUACGCAAAAGAUCUCUAGCAAAAGUUCGGAUGCUCGAUUGCAAACCAAUAUCUACCCCCAUGGAGCCCAAUACAAGAUUAUAUGCAGAAGAAAGUAGAGAAUUGAAAAACACAACAAUGUACAAAAAACUUGUAAAAGUCUAAUCUACUUGAAGAUAACACGACCGGACAUCACAUUUGCGGUUGGAGUCGUUAGUUGGUUCAUAGAGAAACCAAGGAAACUAUAUCUUGAAGCAGUUCGACGGAUAUUAAGGUAUGUAAAAAGGAACUAUGGAUCAUGGAAUAUUUUAUAACAAGGGAACACCAUAUAGGGUGCUAGGGCACUAUGAUGCUGACUAUGUCAGAGACCGCGACACAAGACGGUCUACCACUGGACAUGCGUUCAGCCUUGGUUCAGGGCCAAUAUCAUGGUGCAGCAAAGGAUAGCCCACUGUAUCAUUAUCAACUACAGAAGCUGAGUGUAGAGAAGCAACUAUGGCAGCUCAGGAGAAUGCAUGGCUAAUGCAGCUAGUGAAGAUCUUCACGAACCAUUUAAUUGUCCAACUAUAUUACAUUGCGACAAUCAAUGUGCUAUAUGCUUAGCAGAAAACCUAGUAUUUCAUGCAAGAACUAAACAUGUCGAAGCACAUGAUCAAUUUAUUAGAGAGAAAGUUCUGCAAGGCGACUGAGAUGCAAGAUUAAAGAACAAGUCGCAGAUUUAUUCACCAAAUCAACAUAUUAAUAAAGAGUUUAAAAGAAGACUCAACAUGAUCUCUAGAUUACUGUUUAGAGAGAGCAGUCGUUGAGGGGGAGUGUUAAUUAAUCACUGACUUACUCUCUAGGUUUUUCUAGAAAUCCCUCUCCUAGACUUUUUCUCCAAGUCGGUGUGAGAAACUGACAUAAACAAGUAUAAAAAGGGAGGACAGCUCCCGUUUUGCGAGUGGGCAGAAAAACUGAGUGCAUCCUCCAAAUAAAAAGAGUGUUCUGUAUUAUAUCAUUAAUAUAAUACAUUUUCAUGGUAUUCCACUCUGAGCAAAUAUUUCAUCCUCCAAAUAAAAGGGAAACUCAACACAACAAUACAUAUUCGAUACUUUGUAAAAUUCUUUUAUGGCUGUCAAGAGGCAAAGGUACUCUUUCCUCCAGUAUGUGGAGUGUGAAGGGUUUAUCUAUCAUCUUAAAAGAUAUAAGGUUCAAAGAGUAUCUAUUUAAGAUUACUGAAGUGUAAACUGUCAUUGUUUAAUAGUUCAAAAUUAUGAUAUAAAAUAUUUAGUAUAAAGUCUCACCAGUAUAAGGUGUGAGUUAAAAAAAGGGGUUUAUAAAUUUGAAGAAUUAAGGAAGAGAGAGAGAAAAGGCAUAGAACACAAUUUAUUUUAAAUGAAUUAUUUAUUUAUUAUGUUGAAACAUAUUAUCAUGUUGGAAUAAAUUUAAAAUGAAAUUAAAGUUUAGUUAUUCAGCCAGAAAAAAAAAAAAACCAAAGUCUUCAAGUAAAGAAUUUUGUGAGUUUGGACGCAGGUAGAUGUUACAUAUUAGCCUAAUUUUCAUAUAAAUAAAUUAAAAAAAGGGAUGAAACACUAUAAAAUUAAUAAAUAUAAACGGAAAAAUAGACUGAAUUUUUCUGUCAAUAUAUUACGAUGACCUUUACUAAUAUAAUUUUUCAAUCCUGUAUCCAUCGGUAAAUAUCGAUAGAAAAAUUCUCUCGAUAUAUACCAAGAGAACUGCAGUGGGAGAAUAAGAAAUGAAAAAAAAAAAAAACCAAACAUUAUGAUGACGUGUAACUUUUAUAGACGACAUUACCAACAGAAUUAACCUGACGGUAAAGUACAUUCAUAAAUAUGCCGAUGGAAAACAUUUCUCGAUAUAUACUAAGGGAAUUAUAAAUGGUAUUACAAUGGGAUUCAAAAAAGACAAAUUGUACUGUGACGUGACAUUUUUACUGACGGAGUUAUUGAUGGAAUAAUUUUGUCGGUAUAUUCCAGUGACUAUGAGAGUUAUUCCCCUUCUCUUUGACAUUGUUCACGAUGUUCAUUACAUACGGGUAUACCAACGGAAUAUGUCCGUCGAUAUAUUCCAGUGACUAUGAUAAUUGUUCACUUUUCAAUGUACUGAUAAUUAAUGUUCUUUUGACUUUUACUUUUUUUUCCAAAGGCAUCACCGACGGAAUGAAAAGUCAUUGAUAAUAUUUGGAGGGCUUUUUGAAAAUUCUCAUGCAAGUUAAAAAUUUUCAUUUGACUUUACAGACGAAAACACCAAUGAAAAUAUUAAAAAUAUUAAUAUUUAAUUUUCCUUUUAUGUUCCCGAUGGUAAAAAAAUGUCAAGAUACCGAGACUAUAAAAUUUCAAUUUGACUUUACAAAUGGAAUCACCGACGAAAAUAUAAAAAAUAUUAAUAUUUAAUAUUGCAUCGGUAAUUUCGUUGGCAACACUAAAGUAAAAAAUCAAAAUCAGAACAGACGGGGCUUCAUCUCCUUCUCUCUUCUUCUACACUUCAAGUACAAACAUCAACUCACGACGCGGGCUCAUCGAGUGCAAUACCGCAACGUUGGGGGGGUCCCUUCACAACGGGAUCCAUUUACCCACAAGUAUGAGGCUUGUGGAAGGACAACUUUUCAAUGUAAGUUUGUUUUGCUUUCACAACGACAUGUUUAAUAAUUUUUGAAAAAAUAAUUUCAUUUAACGAAUGCAAUUUCAGGUUUACAAACAUUGAGGCUGCGAGAAUAAUAACAUCGGCCUUUAAAUCAUCGAUAAAAAUUUCAUUGUUUCAAUGGAGCCAGGUUUCCAAACAUCUUGAAUGGAAACUGCAAGUCGAUGCAUGAUUUUCAAGGUUUAAGGUUAGUAUUAACUUAAAUAUCUUUUUAUGUUAAUUUGGUUAGUUUAUUGAAAUUACUAAAAUUUUCCUUUUAUAAAUUUUUACUUCAAGGGAAAAUUUGAAAGAGAGAGAAUUGAUAAUAAUGUUGCGAGGAAAGUUUGAGAGAAUCACGCUACAAUUAGAUAAGAUCGAAUUCAUGAUACUUUUUUUUUACUUCAAAUAUUAAAAUUUUAUUUUUCAUUUACUAACAUAUAAUUAAUUUGUAAGCCAAAAAAUAUGUGAAAGAAAGAGAGCUUCCAGACUAGAAUGACGUGACGAUUUAGAAGGAUUUCAGACUGUCGUACAUCUCGCAGGUUGUAUGGAUGGAAUACAUUCAGCACGUAACGUCCACGCAUUUCACGCGACAGUCACAGUCCGAUGCAGAAAAUGAGAAUAGUCGUGUUCACGGAGAAUCACGCUACAAUUAGGUUAGAUCAAAUUCAUGAUACUUUUUUUUUUCAAAUAUUAAAUUUUUUUUUUCAUUUACUAACAUAUAAUUAAUUUGUACAAUAUAGGUUGUGUGAUUUUUUCUACGAGACACAAAAGAAAGCCAAAAAAUAUGUGAAAAAAGAGAGCUUUCAAGCUGGAAUAAUGUGACGGUUUGAAAGGAUUUUAGACUGCUUUACAUCUCAGAGGCUGUAUAGGCGGAAUACAUUCAACACAUGAUGUUCACGCGUUUCACAUGACGGUCACAGUCUGGUGCGGAAAAUCAAUAUUGUUGUGUUCAUGGUUUCGUUACCAUGCACACCGGCAACUCUGUUUUGAUCAUUUUGCAUGCAAAGUAGAUGAUAUUUUUUUUUUGCAUCCAUUUUUUUAUUAGUUGUUUUUUAUAAAUAUAUUUAACUACUAAUAUUUUUAUCUUGCAGGCUACAAUUCUUGGAAGCAAGCCAAGACUAGUAAAGCUUUUUGUUUAAACAUAUGUGCUGAUGACCGCCAAAAAAAUAUACAAUAAUUCAUAGAUAGUUGAGCUUUGUGGUAUGUUAGUUUUCAAAAAAAAAAAAUUAAGUUAUUAUUUCUUUGAAUUUUAUGAAUUUAUUUUUUUCUUUUCAGGAUAUAUAUAACAAUCAAUUAAAGGAGAGAUACGGGGACAAUAUUUUAAUCUAUCUGGAUUUAAGGUUCGAGACAAGAUGAUAAAAAUCCGACCAUAGAAAAAUAUUGAUUAAGCUUUUGAUCAUGUUCAAAGUUUCCCUAAUAAACCAGAUCAUGAAACAUGGCUAAAUCUGAAUUUGCCACCAGACUAGACUGUAUCCCCUAGCAAGAAAAAUCUUCCCCCACAAAGAGAGGCCGAGGGAGAGAAAAAACCUUCCAGAUCUUUCUUGUUCUUUUCUUCUCUCCCCUUUUCUUUCCCCUCCGUUUUUCCCCUUCCUUGCCAAACGACCGGUGGUGACUUGAAUAUGGCACGCACCAUGCUUUUGUAAGUCAAUGGUUUUAAUUUACUCGUUUCAAAGGGUAAUAAACAGAGAAUAAUUGGAACUAUAUAUAUAUAUAUAUAUAGAAGAAGAUGUGAAACUAAUUAAGGCCAAACAAAUAAAUCUGAUCCAAUAAUCAAUACACAAGAAAGGAAAAUCAAAAUAUAUAGAACAUGAUAUCUUACAUAAAAAGCAUGGAUGGAGGCCUAUGGUACAUGAUAAAUGAACGAAAAGAAUGGAAAAGCAGAAAAUACCAGGACUAAAAAAGAAGAAGAAGAAGAAAACAAGACAGUAGUGGUCAAAACAACAGACCGUACAGAGAGGUAAAACCUAUGUAUAAAUAAUAUAUGGUGUGACAAAACUAGCGUUUCUGGGUAGUCUUCUGAUACUUUUCUUUGAUCCAUUGGAAGCCAACAGAGGUCCCUUCUUUCACCUUCUUGAACCCAAUUGAAGCAACCUGUUUGGUCUUUCCAAGCCCUUCUCCAACCUUCUGCUUGUAUUUGGCAGUCGAAUUGCUGCUGCUGCCGUCCUUGUUAUGAUAGACAACAGGAUCUUUGUUGUAGUCCCAUUGAUCAGCCCAUGAUGUCUCAUAAGAACUGUUUCCGGCCAUGAUUCUUAACAACAGACGAUGAAAGAUUGAUUGCAGGCAGAGAAAGGAUGGAAGAAUAUUUGUUUAGAAGAGGGAGGGAGGGAGGGAGGGAUCUAUGAAAUUGGAAUCUGUGAGGUUUUCUUGUUUAUGAGUUGAAUUCGUGUGCUGCCUGUUUUAUAUUCCUAACGCGGUCCAACCUGGGAAGCGUGGGGGAUUAGAAAUCUGUACUAUUCUUUUAAUUUCACAACACUAUUUGACAAAUAUAUCCUUUUCUUUUCUAUCAUAUUUUUUUAAUUUUUUAUUUCAAAACAUAUUAAAUUAUUUUUUUUAAUUUUUUUUUAACAUUAACCUAACAAAAUUAUCUAAAAAUAUAAAAAAAAAUUAAAAUUUAAAAAAACAAUAGCAAAAGACUUAUUUUAUCUUAAAAAAAAAUGUUGUUUUAAGAAACUUAAUCAAGAAUAUCAUGUUUUACCAACAUUCAUAAGGGUUUUGUCCAAAAAAAAAAUUGUAAUAAGUUUAAGUUUUUUUUUAUUUUUUAUUUAAGUUAAGAUUAAAAAAUACGCGUGUUUUUCAUGGACAAAAGAAAAAAAAACCAUUAAUUUAUGAGGAUCUUUUUUGGCCGUCUGUUUCUACCCCUUCCCUUGGGGACUCAACACGUGGCCAAAUCAAGUAUUGAAUAUUAUUCCUAAUUAAAUAUUCUAAAAUUCAACAAAAAAUAAAAUAUAUCAUCACAGCCACCAUACCUGUACAAGAUUGGCAUUAAACCCCGCAAUAUAAAAGAUGCAUGUAGAGCAAGCAUAUAUUUUGAUAAAAAAAAAAAAGAACUAUAAAUAUAAUAAAUUAUUUAUAUACAAGUCAAAUAUAAAGAUCAUUAGAUUGGAGAAUAUAUUUUUUUUUUUAAAAAAAAAAAAGCCCCUCCACGGGACAAAAUACAAUUUAUGUGCAAUAUUCAAGAAGAAAAUUAUUUUUAAUUUAUGUGCCAAGUCUGAAGAUUCUAGAAGCGUUGAAAACAUUGUUUUCUUGGGAUAAUCAGCGCAGCUUUUCUGCGAGUAUUUAAAAUGAACAGAGUUUCAAUAAAAGUGUCGCAAAACAGAGAAUCCAGGGGCAGUGAAGUAAAUGCAGAAAUCAGCUUGUGCUUCUGGAAGCAUCGAGAAACCUGGGCGAUUCUCACCAUCAACGCCUCCGAGUCAAGUUGGGAGGUGUGACGUGGCGUUGGUUUUGAAAGAAGAGGUCUCCUCCCUUCGUGGUGGCUCAUGCAUUGAUUCCUAGAAGCUUCGUGGCCCAUCCACUCGCAGGUCAAAAGUUCUCCCCAUUGAAGAUACCCAAAAAGGACUUCCCCGGUUCCUAUCUCUCAGAAACAUCAUCAUAUUUAAAUAUCAUUUAUUGUUAUUUUUAUCUAUAUUCUUUGUAAAAUAAACUUUGUUUCUCGGAAAUUCCCACUUUCAAACAUUAGUUCGCUCCAUGAGAAAGUCAACCUUGGUUAUCUUGUUUUCAUUUUUUUAUUUCUUUUGAAGCAGCUAACGAUGACGUCGUUUUAAGACCAAGACGUUCCCAUGUAAACCAUGAAUUAAACAUAUACUAUAAGGCCUCGUUAGCAAUUAACAUUGACAUAUCAAUACCUUUUGCAACCGAUAAAGGAGGGUAGGCACGCGUGAAUAAAGUUGAGCCAACUAAUAUAAAAUUCUCCGAUUGGAUAUGUUAAUAAAUUGAUAAUUUUUAAAUUUUAUUAAAAUUUUACCGAUCAAAUUAGGGGAUCCACUUUUAAAACUGUUUGGAAAAGAAAUUUAAUCUCCAUCCAUAUAUAAAUUGAUCCCUUAGAUAUCUUUUAUCUCUCUCUCUCUCUCUCUCUCUCUCUCACACACACACACACGAUAUCAGCCUUGGAUUACCAUGUAUUUUCUUGUAAUUCAAUGUGGAUUGGAGCAGUAUAUUUUAUGUGAUUUGACUCUUUAGAGUCCAAAUUAGCCUCCAAUUGCAUAUUUUUUUAGAGGGGAAUUGAAUUGAAAACUAUAGAACUGAAGUUAAAAUCUUGGGUAAUAUGAGGGGCAGAUUAAAAGUUUCAUUGAAAGAAUCAUUUUAAUUUUCUAUAUUUUUUAGGUAUAAAGUGACCAGUCUCUUGAAUUUUAAGACAAUACAUUUUGGUACCUAACUUCAUUUUUUUUUUCAGCCCUUUUUUAUUGGGAGGAGAAAGAGUGAAUCGUCAGAUUCCAGCCUAGAGAGAGAAAGUGGUCGUUAUGAAGGAUUUUAGCCACCAAAACAGUUGAUUUUUGUGUCAAAAGGUUUCAUAUGAUGAGGGAGAUUAUGUUUAGGUGUUGUUUUUACCUUUAAAACAACAUAUCUGAACUUAGGAAUAAUUUUUGUUCCAGGUGGAUUUUGGGUUUUUGGGCUUUUUAGUGGCCAUAGAUUGGUUUAAAAAGGUCUCUAGGAUGUUUUCUAGGUGUUUUGGGUAAAAAAUAGAUUAAAAAUGAGAUUUUUAGUUGAAAAAUUGACGAACCCUGUUUUUCCUACCACCAUAGUAGCCAGUUUUUGGGUUGAAGUAGGUGAUGCGUUAAACUUUUUUAAAAAAGGCCCGCACUUGGGCCUGACAUUGCAGGCCCGAGCGCGGGACAAUUACUUCAUUGGGCUAGGCGUUGGGCUUGGCUUACCAGGCCGAAAAGCGUCUGGCUUGAUUUUUUUUUAAAUUCUUUUUUUCUCCAGUUUGUUUUAAAAAUUAUGCAUUAUUUGUGUAUAUUGUUUCAAAUAAAUUUUUGGUUUAUAUUUUAAUUAGAUUGAGAUUAUUUUUAAAUGAUAUUAGGUAUAUUUAGUUUUUAGAGAGGUGAGUAUGAUUCAUUUGUGAUUUUUUUCUUAAUUUUAUAUAGAUUAAAUUUUUAUUUUGAAUAUUGAUUUUUUUAUAAAAUUUUUCAUAUGUGUAACCUUGUAUUGUGUUUUUUUUUUAAUUAUUGUUCAAUAAAUUUUAUGUAUGUGUCGGUUUCUAUUAUAAAUUUUAUGUGUUUUCUACCACAAAUUUAUUUUGAUAGAGGAAUUUAUUAAACAUGACCAAGUAAAUUACCCAUGUUACGAUGUGGGAUAUCUUGAUCUUUAUUUUUUUCUUGGUUUUCUUAAUUUUAUUUUUGUUUAUUGUUUAUAAUUUUCUUUUCAUUACUUUACAUAAUGGUUAUUAGGUUGUUUAAUUAGAUGCGUGUAUAAGUGCUUGCCCAAGAAAGUUUAAAGGUUUUAGGUGCUCUAAGGUUACUUUCUUUUAAGGGAAAAAUUUACUUUCUAAGGGAGUGUUUGAGGUAUGUAUUAUACUCAUUUUAUACACUGGGUUCAAACACAUAGAUGGAUACAUAAAAUGUUUUUACAAAAACUUAACUAAGUUAUUCAGGUCUUUGUAGUAACAAGGAGUUGACAAAUAUUUGUUACUCUUUACUUGCUAACAAUUGAUGAGACUUCACUUCUCACUUAAAAGUUAGGAUUCCACACUUUUUUUGUUCAUCAUGCCACUUUUUAUUUUGAGUUGCUCAAACAAUGUCUAUGUUAAAUUGAUGUCCCUUUAUAAUUUAUAAUUUGAUUCUUAUAUGAAAUUCAAGACAAUUUAAUUAAGUUUUUUAUAUAUUACUUAUAUGUUGCUUGAAGGUCAAAUCAUAUAUUUUUUAGUGCUAUCAGCUCUUGAUUGCAUGGUUAAAAAAUGCUUUUUUUCCCUUUCAAUUGUUUUAUAAUUAAAAACAGCGUGUGUUUCUAGAAGUAGCCUGUGACAACACUUGGGUAACCUACCCAAUAAAAAGAUAAAAAACGACGUGGUAUUCAAACUGUGCACGUAUUUGAAAAAUUAUUAUGGCUGGUUCAAUUCCAUCCAAAAUUAUUCACAUGCAAUCCGAAUUUAGACACAUACCUGGUUCACAUUUUGAAUAUGCAAAUAACACGAAGUCAUUACUAACAACACUAAAAGAAUUGGGCUUUUUUUAGGUGAAUAGUGAAUCACCUCCCUCCUUUAUUUUUUCGUUUUCGUUCUCUUUUUUUUUCAUCAUCAAUUAUUUUUAUUUAAUACUAUUGUGACUUUAUUCCAUGAGAUAUGAUUUUAAAUUGUAGUAUAUGAUAAACUUUUAAAGUAAAAGGACAUCAAUGUAUAACAUGUAAAAAAUAUGUGUUCAAUCUCAAAGUUAUUUAGAUUUUUUAUUUUGAUUCAAAAGUUUAUUUUGUUUAUUUUUUUUAUUUUUCAGUCCCUAGAUUUCAGAGAAAAGAGAAAAAUUCGCUAGGAAACGACAAGGUUAUCGGCUGAUCACAAUUCAACUACUAAAAAAAGAAUUUUUGUGUCAAUGAAUUUCUCUUCUUGAUAUGAGUUUAUUAGAGAUAGUUUUCAUUAGAUAAAAUUUUAUAUUAUAGUAGGAAGAUAAGAUUUUAAAGUACGAAGACCAUAAUGUAAAACAUAAAGAAAAUGGGUGGUCAAUCUCAAAGUUUUUUAUAAUUUUUAUUUUGAUCCAAAAAUUUAUUUUAUUUAUUUUUCAGUUCUUGAAUUUAAUAGAAGAUUGAGAAACUCAAUAGUAAAUAGUAAGGUUGUUGAUUGGCCACAAUCCAACUAAAAAAAUAUUUUUGUGUCAAUGAACUUCUCUUCUUGAGAGAAGUUCAUUAGAGGUGGUUUUUCUCUUUAAACAUGUCAGGAAAUGCAUAACAAGUUCAAUUUUGGUUUUUGAAUUUUGUUGUUUUGUGAGUGAUUUUGGGGUUGUUGGGUGGUUUAUAUAGGCUUUAUAGUGUUUUUGAGGUGUUUUCAAUGAAAUUGAGUUGAAAAAUAGAUUAUGAAGACAAAAAUCCCCCUUGAUUUUCCGGUCACUAAAGUGAUGGUCAGAUUCUGGAUAACUGCCUAGUAAGUUACAAUUCACCUAGUUUUUUUAUAUAAAAAAAAACUAAAAGAAAAAAGAAGCGGAUAAGCAUAAGCUUGGGUUUCGCCUUGACUUUUAUCUUAAGAUCAGGUGGGUGAGCCUGACCUAUCAGUGCAUGAUGUUUUUUUUUUUUUUUUAAUUAAUACCCUCCCUAUGUUUUAUGUAUUUUUUUUAUUUUACAUUAAUUUUUAUUUAAAUCUCAAUUAAUACCCCCUCUCUAAUAUCUUAAAAAAAAAUCUAGUUAAUCUUUUUAAAAUAUUAGUUAUUUUCUAAAAAAAGAAUUUUUUAUUUUUAUAAUGUUUCAAAGAGAUUAUUAUAAUUUAAUUAUAUAUAUAUAUAUAAUAUAAAUAAAAUUUAUUUGCAUGAAGUAUUUGUAAAAAUAAAUAUUAUUUGUUCUUUGUAAGAAAACAUAACCUAUCAAAUAAAAAAAUAAAAGUCCGGAUUAAAUAUUUGUGUACUUAAUUCUCUUUUUUUUAAAGAAAAUAUUAGCUUUUCAUUAAGUAUUUAGUUAACAUUAAUAAAUCUUUCAUAGUUUAUCGAUUCAUUUUUUUUUAACUUAUUUCAAUAAGUGUAAAUAGCAUUAUUGCGUUUUUCAAUUUAAAAAAAAAAUCAUGACACAAUAAAAUAUAUCUAUAAUAUUAUAUCAUUCUUUUAUUAUUUUUGAAAUUAACUUGAAAUUCUCAUAGCAUGAAUGACAAAACUAGUUUCAAACAAGGCAUUAAACAAUUUGCCUUUCCUCCAAGUAUUCUCAUGCACAUGGUCAUUUAUGAACUAUUGUUAUUAAACCUAACAUGAUCUAGUAAAUCAACCUAGUAUCUUACCAACCAUAAACUUAUUUCAAGUUAGGUUUCAUAUUAAAUUGAUCAAGAGUUGACGUGAUUAAAAUUAGAGUAAGAUUCGUAAUUUACUUUUAAACAACAUUAUUUUAACUCUUUAAAAAUUAAAAAAAAAAUAAUUAAAAUGAUUCUAUUCUAGAUUCAUUAGAAUUUAUCUUAAUUAACUCAUCAAACUUGCAAUCCAAGUCAAAUUAGAUUUUUAUUCAUGCUAUAAAUGACUAUUUCCCUCGGGUCAGAGAAUUUAGUUAGCUCAUGUUCGACCAUCUCAUCCCCUGCUUAUCCUAGUGCCCCUCAGCCAUUAAAAGUAAGGUUAUUUCCCACCUUUUAUCUGCAGGGCGGCGAAAGGGUUAGUUCACUGACUCCAAACUAGCUACAAACUAGAAGCUGUGCGGAUCUUGGUGCAGUUUCCAUCAUGGUAAGACAUUUCCCAUCUGGCUUAACUACGUUGUCAUGUUAGCCUACUGACAUUAGGUAACUCACUCCUAUAGUUGGAUCAUUGCCUCGUAUGUUACAUGACCUGCAUUGAUUUAUAUUUAUAAUUCGUAAACAAGCAGAUUACAGCUUAGUUUGAUGCAAAUCGCAAGAUUCUCUGAUGAUGUCCAAAAAGUUCAUAUAGUUUGUAACAUUGUGCUAUGGCAGCUUCACUUAAUGAUCAUAUGUAUCCGGAUUGCCAAGGUAUUUGUGAUAGAGCCACCGUGAUAUGUUCAGAGCAUUUCCGUUACUCUCCACCGGGAAUAUCUUCCGACUUUUCUGCCAUUUGUUUGUAAGCUUUAUCCAUUCUCUUCUCCAAGCCUUCAACUGGAAACCAUGGCCAUUUUCCAAACUCUGGGUUAAGAAAUUGAAAUAUAUAGCUGCUCGGGGACCAUAAUAAUCUUUUAGAAGACCGCUCCAGUACUUGUUCCCUGCAAGAACGGGAACAGAGGUUUUCUUAAAACUCCAUUGAAAUACUGUUAAAAAGCCUACAAGUUUUCAAUCAUCCAGUGAUAACAACUUCCAAUGACAUGUCCAUCCGGAGAGGAUGGGCAUGGAGCCUCCAAAUUUGAUUUGAGGCUAAUUUUUCAAGCAACGAAGGUAAAAAGAUACACCAAGGUAGUGUUGAUCCCCUUACCAUAGUCACGAAGAAGACUUGCUUCCACCUCUGUGUUGUCAUACCACAUAGUUAUCUGAGUUCUUGCAUUCCAUUCAAACUGCAGUUUCAGAGCACAUUGAAUUACUAAAAAACACAGACGACUCUUGAAAUUGUUUGAGAUCAAAUAGGGCUAUAAUUUGAAAGGCUACUAACUUGUAUUUGCUGUUCUUCAUCUUGAGCAAGUUGCUUUGCACUUUCUAACCAUGGACCCAGAAGAAAUCCUUCAUGGCAUGCCAGGAGUGUGUCUAUGUCUUCCACAAGGUCUAGAAACAUCUGACUCUGGUGAGCAACUCCAUGGCUGUCUUUUAAUCGGUAGGCUUCAAUGACCUUCAAGAACAGCUCAUUUGCAUAUUUUGCCAACACUUGUCUUGUCAGGUCAACUAAGUCAUAACUGACAUGGAAAUAAAUAUACAUUUAGAAAAGGAUGGGAAAAUAGUGAAAACUCUAAAAUAAUUUAAGAAUUACACAAAUGGAUAAACCAUCCAGCAAAAGGUUUUUGAAACCUCAAAAUGCUAACCUGUAAGUGCUGCUUCCAGAUAAUUCAUCCCCUCCUGCAAUGAAAAGUUCCAAAGCACGCACAACUUCAGUGGUUGAAUACCAUAGGUGAGGAUGUUCAUAUGAAUCAGUGUUUUUUAUUAGGGCCGCUCUUCUUGAUACUAGUUUUACAUCGGUGUGAUGCCUUCCUUGCAGCAUCGAAACAAGAUUUGGAUUAACAUCAGGGAAUGCUACAAUUACAUCCCGGUUUUUGUCCUGGUCCAACAAUGCUUAAGGCUGUCAGAAUUCAAACAACAGAGUGCACUAGGAGUUUUUCACAUGCAAAAUAUCAAUUUGGCACUUUAAUCGGACCGGGUUCUAAGUCACAGACUCAAGGUUAAAAAGACCACGUUUGUAAUUUCGAAUCAGAAUCACGACAUUUGUGGAUACAAUAAACUUUUCUUGAACUGAGGGAAAUGAUGAAAAUGUAUAAACAUCCACAAAGAAAAUGAGUGAAAUUACAAAAGCAUAUGUAUAGGAGGACAUAUAAAUGAACAGAAAUAAAAGGAUUAAAUAUAAGUUGCAUAUUAUGCACAUUUGUGAAAGCCAAAGAUAGGUAGAGCCAUUACCAUAUUAUGAUGAAUAAUACAUCCAAAUGUACUCCAUAGACUGUAGACAAGUUGGGGUACUUACAUAGGCACCAUCAGUGCAAUUGUAAACUGUGUGGUACAGUAUAUUCCAGGCAUUUUGUAUUGUUGGAACUGAUCAACCAUAUCGUCUUGCUGAAUACAAAUCAAUCCAUUCCUAAAAGAAAGACAAGAUAGUUGUGAUUUUAAUUGGAAGUGUGAAUUUCCCUACGCCUGAUCCAUUCUUAUUUAUUUUCCCAUAUGCCAACAUAUCUAGAAAAAAGAGGUGGAGAAACUUUCUUAUUUCAGAAAAAAGUCUUCUAUUCCUUCAUAAUUUCAAAUUUUAAAAAUUAGAAACAAAGCUUUCAGAGGAUCAUGAAAUGUACCACAAUUUUAUGAAACAUUUAAAGGAAAGCGCUUGUAAAUUGACAUAUCAAAGAUGAACUAAUUCAAUUGUAAUAAGAUAAGAGGAACUCUAAAAAGACUAGUAUUUGACACAAUAAUAACUACAGUAUAGUGUUCAGUGAUGCAUUCAAACAACAUAAAAAGCAAUAACCAAACUUAACAAGAAAGCAAGGAUGAUAGUGUUCAUGGCUUAAGGUUGAGUUUAGCAAACAUACAAACUUUUUAUAUUGCAAGUCGGAGACAUAAAUGUACAAAUAUGAAAUGGUGGCGACAGUGGAGAACUUUCCAUUACCUUGACAUCAACCUUGUUCUUUUGAAAUGCCAUUUCAGACAUGAGGUCAUAAACAACUGGGUUUUGUUCUAUACCUUCCAUUGACAUUCCAACACCAACCUUCACAGAAGCAACUAUAUAGAAUAAGAUAAAAGAUGUAAUAAAAUGGUACAAUAAUUAGUUAAAAUUGUAACAUGACACGAUGAAUUGUUUUGUCAGAGAGAGAGAGAGAGAGAUGAACUCUAGCAAUAGUUAUAUGCUUCUUUUGGUUUGACAGCUUUGACCAACAGGCAUCAGCAAAACUAUGCAAGGUCAUACAUAUGCACCGUUCGUAUUAUAAAAGGGGAGUUAGUGCAUAUGCCUAUUCAAUUUGUUUUUAAAAUGACAAAUUGUAAUUCACUAGAAAGUGACAGAUAAAAUUUACAUUAAACAAUGAAGAAUAUUUGCAAGGUAAAUCAAGUGUAUCACUCGCCAAAUUCUGCAUAUACAGACCUUUAUCUUAAACACCAUCAAAUUGUUCAAGCAAUGCAACAAUACAACCCAUUAUGUUACACAAUAAUCUAAUUGAUCAGUUUCAGUUGCAUGAAUUCUAAUUUUUCUGAACCAUCAAUAGAGUGCUUCAUUGGCUCUGUGCAUCUAAUAAUGAAGGGUAUUAUAUUAUGGUAUAUCUAGGUUUCACAAUGUAAACAAACAGAAUCCUGCUUUUCUCGCUCUUAUAAUUGGAAUCUUUUGUCUGCAUUUUCAUGUGUUGUUGCCAUCCAUUGUAAUUCAAUAAAUUAGAAGACUCACAUGUUGUAAUUAAACAACAAAUCAAACAAGUUUGCCAAACACAUAAACAGUAUGAAAUUGCUUCCCAUUUACCCACAAGCCCAUCUAAUUAGAAAAUGUGUUAAUCUAUUCUCUCUCCCAGAUCUUGUACUUUUUUCUUUUACUUUCUCCGCUUUCUUUAGUUUAAGAAUCUUAAAAUCUAAUCUUAUUAGAUUGAGGGAGGUGUAGUUGUGUACGUGGAAAGCUUGUAGAGAGAACUUAGGAGUGUUAGAGAAGGAAAAUAAAUUUAACACGUUGAACUAAUCAUGAAUAUAAAGAAUAUUGUCAACUGUCAACCUUAUGUAAGAGCAAGAAAUGCUAUGUGUAACCCUGAAGGGUGUAGCUCAACUAGUCAGGCACUAGGUUUGCUCCCUAGAGGUCACUAGUUCGAGUCCCACAAAUCUCAGGGUUACUAGAAGCUUACAUGAUCGUUAACUUCAAGGCCCGUGGGAUUAGUCGAGGUGCGCGCAUGCUAGCCCGGACACCCACGUUAAUCAAAAAAAGAAAAAGAAAAAGAAAUGCUACGUGUAUAAUUACUUGUGGAGGGAGAGAGCCAAACAGGAUGCUUGAAAGAGGUUCAAUUUUUUUCAAUGCUAUGAAUGGCUAAGUUGAAGGAUCACGGAUAAUGGGUGGGCCAUCAACAGAUUUCAUCAGGUACUAACAUUGUUUAUUAAUAGUAGCUUACAAUUGUAAUACAAAUGAAAGUUGCAAAGUGUUUUUAAAUUACAGUGCUUUUUGUUAAAGGGUGAAACUUUAAGAUAAUAUAACCUAAAUUUUCCUUAUGUUUCAAAUGGAAAGAUCAAAGCCACAUAACAUCUCAAUUCUUAUUAGCAAUCAAGCUUUGAAGGAAUCAACUUUACCAUUGUGGAGUUCUCACUGGUACGAGCUUCAACCGGUCCAGAAGCUACCGAAUCUAAAUACCCAUACAUCUCCAAGUUUCCUGCAAAGUUGUGCAGCAUACACCUGCCAAGUGGAGAAACAACAACUUAAAAACAAUAUAAAUAUAGAAGAGGAAAAGGAAAAGAAAACAUCAGAAAUUCAUUCUUAGGAUAUAUAUCAGGAAUUAAAUAAUCACUGAACAUAGAUAUAACAGAUUUAUUCACAGGUUAGUACAUAACAGAAAAUAAAAUAACAGAAUUAUAAGCAGCUUGAUUUUUAGAGAUCAACAGAGUUUUACUUCAAUGAGGAUAUGAGUUGUUUCACAGGUGCACAACCGAAGUGUAAGAUACUAGAUAUUGCUAUAUAUACAUGCUACCAUGAGAAAAACCAUAGUCCUAACUACCUGCAUAAAGUAGCAAUAAAUGACUCAAUGGCCAUGGAUGUGACGGUCAAUAACAUGGUUUAUAAAUUCUGUACUGCAUUUUCAGAUAGCAUGUAUUAUGUGUUCUUUCACAAUACUCUGCAUUUAUAACAUAGACCAAAAAAAAGGUCUCAAUUUAUGCUUCCAGGCCAAACUCAAGCCCAAAUGAAAAUAGUGAUGACUAAUGAUAAUACAGCAGAUUUUGCAAUUGAUGAAAUCAGGAUAUUUCUACGUCUUGUAAGCAAAUAUCUUCAGCUAAGAAUCACAGAUAUCAUCAUCAGUUAGAAAAGGAACAGUUACUUACCAGAUGUAAGGGACACCAUAAAAUUGCUCUGAAGUAUUCCAUAUGGGUUUCACUUCGGCAAACAGAUCAAGGACUACCAGCCUCCCUAUAGGAACUGAAUGUAGAAGCGCCUGAAAAAGAGCAAAGGAUACCAUCAACCAAAAGCACUCAUCAAUAAUAAAAAAAAAGCAACUGAACAUUUCCAAAUCAUAUCUAUAAGAUUCCAUGAAAGAAAAUAAUAUAUAUAUAUAUAUAUAUAGUUGCAUAGUAAACUAAUCAGUAAUCAUCUGUAUCCCUUCAACAUUUUCCAUAAUGAAGCUUUGCACAAUCAAUAUCCUAAGUUGGAUGGGAUAAUUAAAAAACAAAGAGAAGAUCUAAGCUUUUUUUUUCCUGAGCAAAAUGUACGAAAUGAGAACAUUUCACAUCGCAUCAAGAACACUUCAGUCUGUUUAAGAGAUAACCCAAGAUAGCCACAAUGAUCUAAGGCUGUGAUAUCAUGCACAUUACAAAAUUGAUUCAUAUAUAGUCAGAACAUACAAAUGAGAAACCCUGAUUAAGUCCCAACUAACAUGCCAUUUUCUUUUUUUUAUUAAAUUUUUCUCUACUUUGUUUUUCUGAACUUUCCUUCUAUACUUGAGAAUUUAAAAUUGCAGAUAUUAGAAAGAUUGCUUAAAGUUCAAUGUUUUCUGUACACACUCAAACAUCAUCAUUAACAGGAAUUAUAUCCUUGUUCACUUUGGUUUAACAUGGCUUUAAUGCUUAUUUAAAAAAUAAAAUACUCAAGAGAUUGAAUGGUAGUGUUCUUAACUAUAGAACAUAGAGUGCCUAGAAUAGCAAAGCAAUCAAAUUACAAUAUAACCUUCGUUUGUGGAGGUCUCCAGAAAGGAUCAUAUGAAAAUAACCACCCCUGCAGAAUUAAAGCAAAUAAAUCAGAAUUCCAGAACAAAUGGAGCUAACGUUGAUUAAGAAGCAAUUUUGGAACUUAAAUUAUAGAGAUGUCAUACUUGUAGCAAAUAUAUAAUGACAAAAUGCACUAUCAACAUUGAAUUAAGUAUCACUGAAGCUAGAUAAACAGUUUGUGAUGAUUGAUAACUAAACAUUCGAUAUUCCUUCACCUGCAUCAGCCAGACAGCAUUACUGUCACCACUUUGCAUUCCCUCAAAUAUUGAUCCACCUAAUGAAGAUAUGUACUCUGGGUCAUCAACAGGUGGAGUAUUCUCAUCAAAAGUGUCACUGCAGUUAUUCAAACAAUCAAUACACGGAUACUUUAAGAUAGAAUAAUUUUCUGUAAACCUGAUCUGUUAUUGCAUUUGCUGCACUGCAAUUCCAACAUGAAAGAGCCAAUGACAAAACAAAAGGAUGGAUGGAUUCAUGAUUUUAAUGCAGGACUUUGAAAACUGUCAAAAUGGAUAGCUGUCAAAAUGGAUAGCUUAUAAUAUAUAACUUGCAAACUGAAAACCAGUUGUAUGAAUAGGAAAGCAAAGAAAAUAUUACCAGUUGUAUAUGUGGCUGGUACUUCCAUACUCUGACCCAUAAGAUAAUUGCAAAGAUCACAAAUUUAGAAUUCUUGCAUUUUUUAUGAACAUAAGGAAUAUAAUUCUGGAAUAACUUUGGUGAUUCAGAUAAGCUCACCUGUCAAUUGUUGCUCAAUGAAUGCUCUUCCAAUCUCAAUAAACAAGGGAUCUGUUGCAUCAAGGAGAUACGUGCAGCACCAUCUAACAUCACUCCUAACUGAAAACCUGAAGGAGGAUGUAGAAUAUGGGUCAUGGAUUCAUAGAUCCAUCAAAGAAAUACAUGAAGUGCAUCAACACAACUCUGCAGUCCUAAAUCCUAGAUGAUGCUGGGUAUGGUUUGUGAAUCUCUUCCUGCCAUCCCACAGCAAAAAUGCCAUGUACAUUUUGGCACUUGAUUAAUCUUUUCCAGGACACAAGGUUGAGUUACCCAAUUUCCUAUAUUAACCUAGGACUGGAGAAAGCACAAUGUAUCUGAUAAUUGCAAUAUAUGUGCAUGUAAUGAGCAUGAAAUCAGCAAAAGAAUGAAUAGAAAGCUUGAGAAUUUCUAGUGGGCUUCUUGGACAUGAUCCUAACCAGUUCUUUUGUAUUUUAAUUAUAAAGAUAUCCAAACCCUGAGUUUAAGAAACUAUAGAAUUCUUGCAUUUCAUUACCAGAACUUAAAAGUGAAGUCCAUGCAUAUGUUAAACUGGCACAAAGAUGUACUAACCAAUUCCCCAAGCGUGUUAUUUUUGCUGAAGGAAAUAUAUUCCUUAAUGCUGCAGGAACAUUUCCAGAAAAGGCUGGAAGAACUGGACAGCAGAAUAGCAAUAAUUGCAAACGUUAUAUCGAUAGAAGUUCAAAAAUUAAAGCAAUUAUUUGAUAAAUAUAUGUGAAUUUCCUCAACUUUUUUGUUUUUAAUUUUUCAAUUUGGUAUUUUUUUGAAGUGGCAUUUUGAAAUGCAAAUAGUUCUACUAAUUUUUAUCUUCGCAGAAUUAGGGCAAAAGAAAGAAAAGCAAGAUAUUUCCUCUUAUUGAGGAAUUUAACAUCCACUUUGAAUAAUGCUACAGAAAGAUUAAUUUGAAUUUAUACCACAACUAGAAACCUUAAGAGUACAAGUAUAUGACUAUUGAUACCUGGAGUCAUUCCAAGUUCAUACAUUCUGGCGAGAAUUUUCUUCUGCAGAACUAGUUGUUGAUCAAACCAACUUUGUGGUAGUGGUCCUCCCCACCUGUAAACAAAAUAGUAUUUGUAAUUAUGCUCGUCACUAUUGAACCAGUUUCAUUUCUAGACAUUAUUGAGAAUGUUCUUGCCCAAAACAAUAAUAAUCAUAAAAAUAAGUUCCCCAGUGCGAAUUCUGCAUUCUGAUUUUGAUGAUAUAAAAUAGUUUCUUCCUGAAAUUAAGGGUUUAAAAGCAAUAAUAUCCUACAAUUAGGAAUUUGCAAAAAAUAGAGGAAUAUCAACAUUUUGAACAUCACACAUAAAGUUAGAUAAUUAAACGUGUAGAAAGAAGAUUUUCACAAAUUACUGUAAAUUCUUUUAAACAGUCAAGCAAGAAAUAUAAGCUCACCUGUGCAAAUUUGCCAUGCGUGACCAUGCAAGAAAUGCAGGGCCUCCAAAGAAAUCAUCCAAAUCUUCUUUACUAAUAUUAAAUUUCUGCUAAAGUGAAAAGUCUAUUUAGAAGAGCAGAAAUCAAAGUGCCACAUCAAAUAUAAUAACUCCAACGCAAUUCACAACUAUGUGAAUAACUAAUAUGGUCAUUUUGUUAUUAACCAACAAAAAGAAUAUAAUGAAACAUAUUGGAAUCCAGAACUAAUGUAAAAAGAAACAAUAUGAAACAAUGUAAGACACAGCUCUCACAGAUUAACUCAACAUAUACUGAAGAAAAAUAUAAUUCAUAUGAUGUGUUUUUAUUGAUAAAUGUGUGUUCAACAAAAGGGAUUGCAAUAUAGAUCAAUACACUUAAUUUUUAUCUUUUCCAAUAUACUAACUAUAUGCAAAACAAUUAUUAGUGCAAUAAACAAGUUCACAAAGGUUAUAGUUGAAUAAUGAGACUUACAUGUAUCAGGAUCCUGGUUCCUUAUUGUAAUUAUUAUUUUCAGUACAGAUCAUUCAUGAUCCCAAUAUCAUAGAAUGUAGUGGCAUAAAAAAAUCAGUAGUAAUGAAGCUUCCAUGAUUAAAAAAAGGGAAAAUAAAACAAAUAAAAUCUCUAGAGCUCUUUUGGAAGAAUAUGGAGAUUAAUAAGAGGAAUGGCACCUGGAAAACUUUUUGCCAAAUAGCUUCCUGUCCUGUAAAUGCUAGUGGCAAGUUGAUGCCUUGAAGAGCCAUCCAAUCAAUUUCCUUUUCCCAUCUUUUCCAAUCCCACCAAGCAAAAGAAUCUUCCAAAGAAACAUAUAUUAAAUUUAUAUAAUAUUUAUCAGACCACAACGCAAAAAGCUAAAUCCACCUGAAUUAAUGACAUAGCUAUCACUCUGGAUAUUUAGUAGAAAAUUCAAUCAAUGCAGAAACUCACAGCUAGAUGUGACAGCGUUCUGGUAAUAAUUCCAAGGAACAGGUCUCUGAACCAAGAUACUAUCAUCUUGAAGACGUGGAAGAGAACCCAAUUUAGGUAUCGAAUUGAGCUGCACACCUCCUGUUUUGUCCCAAGAUAUAUGCGAACCACACCAAUACUUCAAAUACCAAUGCAAACCAGCCAACACUUCUACUCCAGUUACCCCGGAAAUUCUAGCAUUGAGCACCCAGAAAAAGAAAAAAAAUUCCAAGUUAUCACAAAGGAAGUCAUAAUUUCUCAAUAAUUCAACGAACUUGAUGAAUUUUAUUUCCUUCACAUCAAUGAAAAUGACUACCACAAAAACAGACAUAAGUUUUUUUUGGCAAAAAUUAAUAAAAGCAGUAAAGAGUCUUUAGCAUACAGAAUCUGAGGAGCUCCGCGCCUUGUAAACGAGGGAUGAUUUUUUAUAAUGAAGCAAGAUUCCCCUCCACAUUGCUCCUAACAUUAAUACAAUUAAAUAAAUUAUAUAUCUUGCUCAAAAAGCUUAAAAAAAAUAUUGAACUUCUUCAAAAUUAACUAUAACAACAACAAUGAUAAUCUCUCGGUGUUACUUUAGUGAAAUCCAUCAAAUAACAAAUAAAUUCGAUAAGAAAUCGAAGUACCUUAGAUACAAUUCGAAACUCGAAGCUGGAAGAGUGAGAAGGAAGGAGGCGUUGCAGAACACCGCGAGCGGCGGCAACUUGGACAGAAGGAAGAGCUCGUUCGCGGUCCUGGAUUUCGAGAAUUUUGGAAAUGUAACCGACGCCGAUCGUGGAAGAUUGAGCGAAAGAGAAGAAGAGAAGGAAGGAUGCGAGGAGGACGAGAGAAACGGCGGCAACUGGAGGGGAGUCCAUAGGGAACAAUGGAGAUGAAGAGAGUGAUAAACCCAAAGGGAUUUAUUAUAGAGAAGAUGGGCAUUGCAGUGAAGGGAGUAAGGAGAUUCUGUGAAAGAGUAAGAGACAAAAUGGAUUGCCGGCCAGAAGUGUAAAGAACUGUUUGCUUUGUUUUUUCGAAUUCGAAAUUUGACAUUUUGGCUUCUACUUUCAUUUGUGUUUUUUAUAGGUUGACUAAUAGUCAGCAUGGGCUUAGAUUCAAGUUGCUUCUAUGGACUUAUGUGCCCCUGUUGACUUGGGCCUUUAAGCUUACCUUUUCAUGAGAAAUUUUGUUAUGCAUGUGAAAAAAUAAAAAUAAAAUAAAAUAGAGAAUACACACUUGUUAUCAGGAUUAUCAUGAUUUUCAUUUUAUGUGUGUUUUAUAAUUAUGUUGCGCAUAAUAUAUGGUAAUUUAUCUUUUCCCAAAUAACAUUUUUUUUUAAGAAUAAUUGUGUAAAUAUAUAUUUAUACUCAACAACAAAAUUAUUAAAACUUUAAAUUGAACUUAACCUUUCCACCUUUGAUUUUUUAAAAAAAUAAUUUUUCAAGGCUCAUGGCUCAUAAAUUCUUGCAAAACAAAUCUCCUAUCAGGAUAUAAAAUCUUCUAGUACCUAAAUUAAUAAAUGUGUAAGAGAAAAAAAAACGUUUAGCAAAGAUAACAAAAACGUGGGAAAGUAUAGGUUGUGAUUAUUAUGUGUGGUUUUGUAUUAUGGUCUAUGUGUUGUUACCAGGUGAUCUAAGAUAUUUAUAUAUCUUAGGUCAUAUGAAAUUUCCUCGUGAAGGAUGGAGUUCUCAAACAUAUAAUGUAGAGUAAUCAUGAAAAAUAAUUAAUUUUACCACAUGGUUAGCUUGUAAAACAAUUUGUUCAUGUAAAUGUUGUACUAUCAAUUUAUGAGACAAAGUAGGUGCUAUAAUGAUAAUUGGUGAGAUAGGAUAGCCAUGAUACUAGCAAUUAGUGAGACAAAAAGGCAUCAUACUGACAAUUCAUACAACCAUAUUGAUAACUUGUAGAAUGAAGAAUCGUGUGCAAACUUUAUAAUAUUAGCUAGUGGUUGCAUGACCUAAGAUAUGUGUGUAACGAUAUUUUUUCUCUUUUUUCAUUUCAUGUUGUUUGAUCAAUCUAAUAUUGAAACUAAAUCAAAGAGUUAUUGAAGAAUCAAGGAUUUAAUUGGGGGAAGGGAAGAAAAAUUACAUGAGUCGGUAUGUGAAACAAGAUUGCCACCUUGUGGCAAUGUGUGCAACGUCAUUAUGGUUUUGAUGGUAGUCUUCCUUUCUGUUAUUGGAUUCAUCUCAAUGAGCUCUUUCUCUUGGUGUUGUAUGUGUAGAUGACAAAGUCAUGGUGGCGUUUCAACAACAUGUCUUUUUCUCAUCUUUUUUUUCUUUUACUUUUAUAUCUUCUCUUGUGUUUCUGGUCGGUCUCUUCUCUUUCUCUCUUUGCUCUUUAAGCUAGAACAACAAUUUUUCUUCCAUAGCCUAUCAACUGUUGUUCCUUUUUAAUUUUUUUUUUUAAUUUUUAACAACUUGACAAAACAAUAGUUGCUUGGUUUUGUUUUAGCCUUUUGGCUUAUAAAUCACAAACGUUUUCACUUUAGUUGAAUUGUUCAUGAAAAUAAUAAAACAUGUUUUGUUUGUCUAAGAUUCGAGUGUUCUAUUUAGUCGAACUCGACGAAGUCAAGCUUGAGUGGUAAUGCACAGUAAACUUAUAUCUUGUAUUGACCAAAUAGUUGGAGGAUUUUAACUUCAAAGAUUUAUAAGUGGACUCGCUAGUGUUGUUAAGUAUAUUUUUAUGUAUCUUUCCUUAAAAAACAAUAGAUAAUCACGCCUACAAAAUAUGAUAAAUAAGCUACAUAAUACACUAAUGUUUGCAAAUAGAAAAAACUACACCAACUAUAUAUUACUUAGAAAAAAUAAUUGAAAAAAAUAACACACUUUUUGCAUGAGGUGAUGCGAGUCUUAGUGGUGGAUUAAGAAAUGUUGAACUAAUUUAUAGGGUCAGUUGACCCCAUCAAUUAGGGGAAAAAAGUAAUUAGAUAAUAGCUGAAUUUUUAAUUAAAUGAAAGAUUUUUUUAAUGGUUUCACUAAUUUGAUCUUGUUGAUAAGGAUAAAAAUGUUGAUCUAAUAAGUAGUCUUGAUGAUUGAUCAUGUGUCAAUAUAUUAAUCGACUAUUGAUUUUUUUAUUAAUAUACUAUAUGUUCUUUAUUUCUUUCUUGAGAAAAACUACAAUUAAAACCUUAAUAUUGAGUAAAUGUAAAUAAUAACCUUGUAAAUCAAAUAAAAUACAUGGUUCUCAACUUGGCUCAAACAAAUUAAAAAAAAAGAAUUGUAAUACUAAACUAAUCUGAAUAAAAUGCAAGUAUGCAAUAUAAAAUUAAAGAAAAAAUUGUAAGCAAAAGCAAAGAAAAGAAAAGCAAUGAAUAAAGGAUAAAUUAUAUAUAUAAAAAAGAAAUAUAAGUAAAUUGUGUAUACGAGACUGACCAUUGUUUCUAAUAAUUGGUUGAUUUUUUUAUAUUAUUACAAAGAUUGAAUCCCUGACAUUUUAAUGUUAAAAUUAAUUGAAUAAAUUGAUUAUGCAUGAAGUGGUAAAUGAACAUCGUUAUCCAAAAAUAUCAAUCAUGUUUUUCUGUUGACAUGUCAACUAAUUUAAUUAUUUCAAAUAAAGUGUGUUCUGGCUUUUUGGCACGAUGCUUAGAACUCUAUAAAUUGCAAUGUUUAUACCAUAAUUAAUUCACUAAUUUUGUAAUUAAUACCUAGCUCGUCAUCUCUUUCAUAAAAUCUUCAAUCCUCAUUCAAUAGAAACCAUAGGUUCUUAGAAAAGAACCAUGAACCCUAUGCUUUUUCUCUCUCUCAAAUCCUAGCAAUGACAUCUUCAAGUUCUGGUCCAUAAAAACUUACCAUUAUGAUCCAUUUUCAAAAUUAUAAUGACCGUAUUCCUUACAUAAAUUAGUGUAUUAUCACAAUGCACUAGAAAAUAUGUCUAAAGAAUAUUUUCAUCUAUACCAAGAAAUAAGCCCCAUGGAAUGAGACAAUUUGUUUACCUUAAUUCUUGAAUAAGAAAUGCUUCCUUUACAAGACUAUCAUACGAACCUCAACAAUUUGUUUACCUCAUUAAUUAAGUCUAUUCAUAUAUAACCCAACAAAAUAGAUCAACACCUUUGUCGUAAUCUUAUAGACAAUACUAUUCAUAUUAUCUAUGGAAUUUGAACUUGAAUUAUAUUUAUGAUUUUGCUAUCCCUUUAAUCUCUUAUUUUAGCAUAUCGGUUUACACCUAACUAUUAUUAUUAUUUUAUAUUUUUUUUUGUCACGCUCAUCAAUGUUUGAUCUUCUGCUUUUCAAUCCAAUCUUCGUCUUUUUGCUUUUUAUGCUCUUAAUGGUGAAUGUGAAUCGAUCAUUCAAUAUCUUUUUCCUUAUUUUAUUUCGUCUACAAAAGUAAUGAAACACUCAAAGAUUUCUAAAAUCUUUUAAAAAUAAAUAAAUAUUUUUUUUAGAAAAAAAUCAUUUUCAAAGAAAAAAGGUUUUAAGUUACAAUCAGGCAAGAAUUUAAUUUAUAACUAGUCAUAAAAUAAUACGAGCAUGCAAUUAAGGAUCUAAUUGAAGAGAAAUUAAAGAAAAAAAGGUAAUUGUAAGAAUUAGAUGGUUAGUGACCAAAACAAAAGUGCUAGAAAACUUUUGAAGGCCUUAUUAAUUCAAUCACGAGCUCAAUUGAAGAAAAAACAAAAUUCAAAAUUUAGGCUCAAUUAGACCAAAAAUAAAAGGAUUAAAGGUCAAAAGACUAAAAUGAAAGGAAAUGGAAUUAAAAGAGCACUUUUGGUUUCAAUAAGGGACCUGAUUAUAGAGAAAUUUCAAAUAAAUAGUCAAAUUUGGCUGAAAUUACAUAAUUUAAGGAACCAGUGACCACACUAUAAAAUACAUCAAAAUAUAGGGACCAAAUAGAGAAUGAUCAAGGGAAAAAUUGAAAGGAUUUGUUUUUAAAAAAAUAAAACCCAGUUUAGGAAUGAAUUGAAGAUUUUUAAAAACCAAAGAAUGAAAUAGAAAGUGCGCAAAAUUUUUAGAUCUAAAUUAGACUAAUGAAAAUGACAUCAUUUUGUUUCAAUUCUACAAACCUAAUUUACCCCAAGAUAAAAAUGAUGUUGUGUUCUUUUAAAUAAAUAAAAAACAAGUUUUAUUUGAAAUUUGUCAUUUCAAUAUUCAAACAUGAAAAAAAAUCAAAUAAUCAAAAGAAGAAAAAAAAUGUUGUUUUAGGUAGUAUUCUUCAAUAUCUUCUUCCCGCAUCCAACUAGUUCACGAGAGAAAGCCUUAUGCAAGUACUACUUUUUAGGUCAUUUAAUGUCUUUUCUCUCUCAUCAAAUCAGACAAAAGACACUCCCCUUACGGUCCUGAUCAUGUACUUCACCCUUAGCUCUUUUUUCAUCUAUUUGUGACCUUAAAGACCUCUACAAUGCUAGUCAAAGACCACUUCCUAACCAAUCAAAACCUACAAGACAAACGUGUACCUUAUUAAUUUGUAACUUAUGAAAGGAUAGAUGUGAAUUGCAACUAAUAACGAGGAAAUAUUCUUAGAAAUCAAAGGUCUUAAUCUUGCUAGAUCAAGACCCUUAUACUCUUAUUUUCACCUAUAAAAAAAAACAUCUUAAAAACCCUCACCCAAGCAUUAAUAAAAGAGAAAAAAAUGGAAGGGGUGAAAAAAGAAACAAAGAAAAGAGAGGGAAUAUAUAAAAUAAAAAGAAAGAGGUGAGAGGAGAAACAUGGCAAAAAAGAGAGGUUUUGUCUCUUAAAAAAGAAACUAACAAGCAUAUGUCAUCAUCUUCGGGAAUAAUAACAACCUACCCCUAUAAUUGCAGCUGGUUUAUCAUUUUUUUUGUCCAAACAAAUCAAGAACAAUAACAAUCCUUUUAAAAGAGUAUUACAAUGUUAUCAAGCCCAACAACUCCAAAAAAUGGUAGCAUUGAAGGGUAACAGAAAUAGUAGCAACCUUUAAAAUCAACAUUAACCAUCUUUUGUCUAGUGAUCAUGAGGUAUACUCUAGAAGUUGAGAUGUUCUAAGACUUGUAAUCAUAACCCUAAGAAGUUAUAGCAAUAGGCCCAAACCUCAUCAACAACUUCAAAUGACAUUGAUCAGAAAAAUCCAUGGAAAACCAGGUGAGCUUCAAUUUUUUUUAAUACAUUUUAUUUUUUUUUGUUUUUUGUUUUUGCAUAAUAAUGUAAUCAUGGUUGGUAAAAUUUAGAAAUAUGAAGUAUAAAUCAUGGGUUUAUCAAGGGAAAAAACCUACCAAUAUGGCAUUAUUUGAAGUGUAAUGCAUGAUGCAAAUGUGUUGUCUCUAAUUAAUAAAUGUAUACUAAAAUGGGUGUAAGAAAUAUGAGAUAUAAGUGUUAUGAACUUAUAAUCAUGAAAAAAAAAAUUGAAAUGAUUAGUAAUCUUUGGUCUUUUGUUAUGGAAGCCAUAAAGAAUGUGUUUUAGGGUGUUGUGUUUGAUAUUAACUAGGUUUGCUAUUAGGGUUAGUAAUUAAGGCCUUUUUAUUAUUUUUAUUAUAUUGAAAAUCUAGAUUUGAUAUGCAUUAGAGUUUAACCAAAGUCCCAUAACUCUAUUAAAAGCAAUCUUUGGUGUUUUGAUGAUGAAAGUUGGUAUUUUUCAAGAAAGAAAGGUUGUGGUAAUUUCUUUACUUAAAUGAAUUUGGACUUUAAAUGUUGGUUGAAUCCUAAAGAUUCUAGAGUUCUAAUAUUGUUGUAAAUAGUAAGCAUGAGUGUCUUGUAAUUUUAGAGAAUAUGACAACUUAUGGUUCUUUUAAUCUAGGGGUUUUGACAAUUCAAGUUAUUUAACUUAAUAAUAGAUGUUAAUUUAGGGUGCCUUAAUUUUAAUGAUACAAGUUUUCUUGGCUUAUUUUGUUAAUGUUUGUCGCACGUGGACAAGCGAUGUCGGGGGGUCGUUGGAAUCACCACCUAAUUAUUUGAUUCAAGGUCGUUAAGAAACCCAAGUGUACUAGCUUUAAUCAAAGAUUCCAAGGUAAAGAAUUGGUUGUGGCUAGAAAAUGUAUUAGCACCUUUAGUGCACCACCCUACAUGAGGUAAGCUGUAUUAUGUGGUUUGAAUGUGGUUUAAAGGUUUUAAUGGAUUCCUAACCAAUAGUUUGUCUAUGACUUGGGGUGAAGAUUUAUUCGUGUGAAUAAAUCUUGUAUUUUGAGUUUAUUAUAGGCUCGUGUAUCCAAAUAAAUUCUUAUGAAAAUGAUCAAUGUAAGUGCCCUGACAGAGUUCACUAUCCUGGAAGGCAGAAGGGGUUUUCCACAACUUGUGUGUUGUGGUAAAAAUAUACUCUAAAUUAAAAUUGGUGAAAAUUUAGAAUAACUCUGAGAAUUUUCUAGUUAAAUUGUCUUUUCAUGUCUUCUAUCACUCAAUUCUUGAACGUUUCUUUCUCAAGAGGGAACCUCCACAUCCCCUCAUGCAUAAGCUCAUCCUGUUCUGCUAUAUUUUUUAAUCAUGGUUAUUUCAGCACAUAGCAAAUAAAUAACCAUUAAGAUCAAUGAACUUUGAUAUGAAGCAAUAUAGACAAAAACAACAAGUUAGAAAGACAGAAUUGAAGUCGAAUAUAGUUGUUACACAUAACUCUAGUCAUAAUUUUAUUAUUGAUUUUUUUUAAUUAGUCUAUAUCUUAAGAGGUUUCAAUUCUUUAAAUAAAUUCAAAAAUUAAUUUUAUAAAAUAAAAAACCUUAAAGUAAAACAUUUUUUUUUAAAAUUAGAUAAAAAAAUAAAAAAACUAAGAAAACAAAUAGUUUUUAAUAAAAAUCCUCCUGAAUCAUUGUAUCAUAGUUCACCGUACUGAUUGACUUUCUCUUCAAGAGAUUUUUCUAGUCUAAUUGGUACAUAUGGUCUUUCGGGCCAAGGUUGUCGUAGCGGGAUGAGUUUCAAAAAAGGAAAGCUCGGUUGAUGAGGACAAAACUUAGCUCGCAUUUCUUUCUUUUACUGUUUUUACUUUUUAUGGAUAGACGAAUCAUUUCCCAAUUUGUACCUUUCUAUGGAAACAUCUGAUUUUUCUCUACAGUGUUUUCUUCUAUAUAUUUUCUGCCUCCCUGUGUUUCUCCCCCCUCUCUCAAGCAAGCAAGAGAAUCAUGUCAGACCACCAUGCUAGUUACUCAGAUUAUGAUUCUCAAUCACGCUCCGACGACCACCUUCAAACAAACCUGCCUGCACUUUAUUCACAGCCAAGCCUCCCAUCACUACCUUCCCUCACCUCAAACCCCGAUCACUACCAAGAAAUCCUAUCCACCACCCACCACCACUGCCUCACCACUCUUAAAGGCCACACCUCUUAUAUAUCCUCACUAAACCUUGUUGGGAAGUUCCUUUACAGCGGCUCCGGCAAGGAAAUCCGAUUGUGGAAGGGAAACUCUUUAGAUUCUGAAAUAGAUCAUGAAAACCUAAGCAACAACGUUGUGGCUGUGGGAAAAGGUGCGGUGAAGUCCCUUGUUGUUCUGGAAGAUAAACUCUUUAGUGCUCAUCAAGAUCACAAAAUCCGAGUAUGGAAAAUCAAUAACCAGGAAUCUGAUAAGCAGAAAUACACACGUUUAGCCACUUUACCAACACUUGGUGACCGUGCCUUCAAAAGUCUGUUGCCCAAGAAUCAAGUUCAGAUUCGCAGGCACAAAACAUGCACAUGGGUUCAUCAUGUUGACACAGUAUCUGCAAUAGCCUUGUCGAGUGAUGAGUCCCUUCUCUACUCCGUUUCAUGGGAUCGGACAAUUAAAAUAUGGAGAACUAAUAACUUCAAGUGCUUGGAGUCGGUAGCCAACGCACAUGAUGAUGCUAUAAAUGCAGUGGCAUUGUCGAAUGAUGACAGUGUUUAUACCGGAUCGGCCGACAAGAAUAUCAAAGUGUGGAGGAAAAGUUCAAAAGAGAGCAAACAUUCCUUAGUUGCUACGCUAGAAAAACACAACUCUGGGAUUAAUGCCUUGGCACUAAGCACUGAUGGGUCUGUUUUAUACUCUGGUGCAUGUGACCGAUCAAUAGUAGUAUGGGGGAAGGACGGUGGUGGCAAUAUGGUGGUUGUGGGAGCCCUAAGGGGCCAUUCACAGUCCAUAUUGUGCUUAGCUGUUGUGUCUGAUUUGUUGUUUAGUGGUUCCGCAGAUAAAACUAUUAGAAUUUGGAGAGGUUCUGACAAAAGUUACUCUUGCUUGGCAGUUUUAGAAGGGCAUAGAGGCCCUGUCAAGUGCUUGACAGCAACGAUUGACCAUGACAACACAACCGAUGCAUCGUAUCUUCUUUACAGUGGGAGUUUGGACUGUGAUAUCAGAGUGUGGCAAAUCAACGUCCCUCUCCUAUAGUAGAUUUCUUUAACUUGGAAUCGCGGCUGUUUUGUAAAAUACAAUAUAUGAGAAGUCUGCUAUAGUUCCUUUUUGUUUUCCUCUCCUUAAUUUUCUGCUCUCAUUUCCCCCUCCUUUGAGGUCAUUUCUCGAGUUGAAUUGUUGUAUGGGAAGCCAUGUUGAUCUUUCAAUCGAUCAUAGUAUAAUUAUAAAGGGUUGAUAUGCUUGUGUGUAAACUCUACAGGAGUUUUUCUAUACUUGUGAGACUUCAAUUGUGCUCCUGCUCCGAUGUUAGUAACAGUGCAUAUAAAUGUAAAGGCAUAACAAGAUACUUAAAUCCUACUAUUAUAAUUCUGUGCUCAAAAUAUGAGUUGCUGUCGUGUAGGUGGUGACAACUCAAAAGUCCCAAUUCCUUCCCUGAAAAUUUCUCUAACUUGUUAGGAGUUAGUGUUACAACAUAGUACUGCCAUGCAGGGGCGGAGCUAGGAUUAUUUGUUAGGGGGCCAAAAAAUAUAAUAUAUUUUUUUAAUUUAUUAUAUAUAAGUUGUAAAAAUAAAAUAAAAACUGCUUGAUUUAGUUUUAUUUAAAGAACGUAUUACAAAAUAUAUAAUAAUCUUUGUACUUAUUAAAUACAAACAUACAAAGUAUAUAAGAAACAUUAACUAAAACGAAGCAUUAUUUAUGUUUAAUAAACUUUAAAAUAAAAUAAUAAAUAAUAAUUCUUACAUAUUUAUUUUAAUUGUGCUCGUCGUUCUUUCAUAGAAUAGAAAUCAUCGAUUAUCAUAUCAAUUGAGAAUCUUUCAGCAAUUUCUUUUUCUAUAUAGACAAUCAAAUAAUUUGCAAGAAAAUCAUCCUCCAUCCGAUUGCGAAGUCUUGUUUUAACAAUCUUCAUCGCUGAAAAAGCUCGUUCAGUAGUUGCUGUCGAAACAGGAAGAGUCAAGAUAAGUCGAAUCAACCUGUCAAUGAGUGGAUAAAUUGUUGAUUUUUCUGUUUCAACCAAUCCUUGACAUAAAUCUGCAAUCGAUGACAUAUUCUUUAACUUUGGAUGAUUUGGUACAUCAAGCUCAUAAUGUUGCAACUGAAAUCUCAAAUGAAUUUUUUCUUGGUCAGAAAAAUCUUCAUGAUAGAACUGUCAACAAGUAAGCAUAUAUCUUCAACAUUGAAUAAUUUAUAGCUAUUUCUAGGAUCUAAAGCUGUGCUUAAUUUAAGAAGCUCGAUCGCCUGCUCAUUGAAUCUGUUAUUUAGCUCUUGCAAUUGCUGAUCAAUGAUAGCUGUAAAUAUAUCAACUCGGUAGUGAUGCUCAACUGUUACUGAUUUUGUUUUACGACGAGAUCGUCCCACACUAGAAAAACAAGCAUCCAUAUCAGGAACUUCAAUGUCUUGAUGCUUACAAAAUAUUGUCACUUCUUCUAAAAGAGUUUCCCAACCAUCGUCUCUUAACUUCUGAAUUAAAAUCUUUGUGCUAGUCACCAAAUGCAUAGCAUUUAAAAUGUCUUGAGAUUUUUGUUGCAAUGCUUGACAAAGCACAUCAGUAAUUCCCAUAACAUUCUUCAUUAUAUGUAAGAAUAAUGCAAAAUCAAAUGACAUUAGCAACUUAAAUGAAAAGGCCGCAUCACCACGUUGAGAAUAAGUAGAUCCAUCUAAAGCAAUGUUUUCAAGAACCAAGCAAGUUGCCCCAUACAUUUUUAUCAAACUGCAAAUUGAUUUGAAAUGUGAACUCCAUCUGCUAUCUCCAGGUCGUUGCAAACCACCUACUUGAUUAACUCCUUUACCCGUUUCAAUCUCACCAAUAUCAACUAGAUGCUCAAUUGUAGCUGCUUGAAAAGCCUGUAACUCAUCAUUACGCUUGCAAGAAGCACUAACAAUGUUAAUAAUAAAGAUCAAAUUCUGAAAGAAAGUGUGAACAUCAGAUAUUUCUCUAGCUGCAGCAAUAAGAGCUAAUUGUAACUGAUGAGCUAAGCAAUGUACAUAAUAUGCAUAAGGGCAAUCAUUAAUGAAUAAAGCUUGCAAACCAUUCCACUCUCCACGCAUAUUACUAGCCCCAUCAUACCCUUGACCCCUAAUAUUUUGAACAUCAAGAUUGUGAUGAGAUAAAACAAAGGAAAUCUCUUCCUUAAGAGUUGAAGCAGUUGUAUCUUUGACAUGAACUAUAUCCAAAAAUCGUUCUCGUAUAAAUCCACUUCUAUCAACAAACCUAAUAACAAGGGACGAGGAUGUUUUUCACCAGUCAGCGGAUAUUCAGACAUCAAAGGUUGAUAUGGCCCCAAAUUAAUGUAUGCCCUUCGAAUUUCAUCCUGUUGAUUAACCGGGUAUUCCCAAAUUUGAGGACGAUUGCUUGGAUCUCUAAUUAAAUGAGCAAUGCCGAUUCUAGUAGGGGUGGUUCACUAGUCAAUGCAGGCUCUUCGUAAACUGAAGCACAUUGGGGCUGCUCAACCAUAACUUCAACAUUACACAUUGGAGUUGGUUCACUAGGCUGUGAGUUAUCAAUAUUUUUCCUUUUUUUCUCAAAAAAAGAAUCAAUUCUUCUUAUUUUGUUCAUGGUUUAACCUAAAAUCAAAACAUAUAUUGUGAGAAAAAAUUGAUAAUUUUGGUGGCUCUACUAAAAACAAAACAUAAAAAAAAUCCAAGUGCAAUCAAAACAAACCCAUAAAAUAUAUCAAAUUAAUUAGAAAAAUAAAACAACACUAUAACAAGAAUUCAAAAAAAAUUGGUAAAACUAGCAGAUAUAUAAAAAAAAACAAAAAAAACAUAAUUAUAUAUAAAAAAUAUUAUCAAAUUCUUAACAAAUAUCCUAAAAUAAAAUAAAAAUAAAUUUUAAAUUUAGAUUAUCAAUAAUUAAUUAUCUUGUUUUAUUUGAUGAAAGAUGUAAGUUUACUGGCUGCUUUAGCUUUUCCACCCGCAGCCUGCCGUUUAUAUUCUUAUAUCUAUCUUUUAUUUUAUAUUAGGGUUUUAAAAAGUGACAGCACUUUAUAUUCUUUCAUGUAGGGGUUAAAACAAAGCAUAACUACACUGUUACUAAUAUAUUUACUAUCAGGAGGGCCCACCUAUUUAAAACAAAACUCAUUCCUUCUUCUCACGUUUAGUGUCCAGGAAAUGAAACAAAUCAAAUAUUUUGCAGGGGCCCGGCCCCUGCUUGCCCCCCUCUAAUUCCGCCACUGCUGCCAUGGGAAGCCUCCCAGCAUGAGAAAGGGAGCAAGGUUUACCCCUUCCAGCUUGCCUACUUUCUGAGCACAUAUAAGCCUAGCUAGCUGUAUCACAAAUUCUUUGAAUGGUGUGUUCUAUAAUUUAUGCAGAGAAUUAUAAUUGGCUUGUGGGACUCAAUGAGACAGAGAACAAAAAGAUCGUAGAUUAAUACUUCAAAUUAUAGAUUGCUGACACUAAAUUUUCUAUCCAUUUCCCAAAACUGCCAAAACAUUCAACAUCGCGAACUCCUCUAGCCCACUCAAUAAGAAGAUUUCUGCAUGAGUGGAGAGGCAAAAGCAGAUUUCAUGCUCAAAACAACCGGAAAGCAGAAGUUAAAAGAUAGUCGUUAACGUCGACUCCAUACGCUAUUGUCCAAAGGAGUAAUAUAACACACACAAGAAAUCUUUUAGGCAGCUGGGUUUUUUUUUUUUUCUUUGCGCUUUGCAACAGUAGUUAUCCAUCCCAGGAACCCAAAUAUGGAAAUUGAAAGAUAAAGUAAAAAAGGAAAACGAAGACUGUAUAUAAUUCAAGCGAAGGUGUUUUGUCCAUGGCAUCUAGCUAGCUGCCAUAAAAGAAAGAACCAAUAGCAGAAAAAGUAAGCACAGCAAAUGCCAUCACUCCCAUUUAAGAAACCAGUCCCUUUCUUACAAGGAAGCCAGAAAGAAAAUGGUAGAAAAUGAAAGAUGAGAAACAUUCCAAACAAACAAACAAACAUUUUGGACCUUACACUAUUCUGAAUGAAAACGACAAAAAGAUUAAGCAUUAGAUGCACAAGUUGCUUUUUUCUCAUGUAAUUAACUUAACAAGAUAAGGCAUAGAUUAACUUAACAAGAUAAGGCAUAGAUUUUCUUCAGUAAGUUACAUGUGGAGGAGAGAUUAGGUAAAAGUCGUUUUUCCUAUAUGGUCACUAUUCUGACCUGCUCUUCCUCCUGGUAGGCUGCUUUUAAAAGCCAUCCCUUUAUUAGGCAUAGGAUAUUAGUGGGAUCUGGAGAUCUAACUUUCAUCUGAUAAAUGAUAAAUCCCUGAAACAUAAUAAAAAAAAUAAAAAAAAAUAUAACAUUAUCCUUCUACUCAAUCUCCUGUAAAUUUCUACCUCCCUAGACUUGGAUAUCGUGUCUACAUAUGCAAUCUCACCACGUGGAAGCGCAAGAUCAUCAAACGAAAUGCGAAAAUACUUUUAUCCUAACUACGAAAUAAAUACAUGCAAGCAGUCAACUUAUGCCCACAAACGAUGGCAUCUACCUGACUAUAUCAGUAUUCCAAAAAAAAAUUUAAUUUUUUUUGAAAAUAAUAUUCGAUUUAAGUUUUAUAAAUCUUAGGGUUACUAGAGACUGGUUAUUAACUUCAUGAUCUGUGAAAUUAAUUGAGAUGCGCGUAAGCUGAUUCAGAUAUCUGCGUUAAUAAAAAAAAUUCAAAAAAAUUUCAAUCCUGAAUGGUGUAGUUCAUCUGAUCAGGUUCUGAAUUUGCUCAUUAGAGAUUACCAAUUCAAGUUUUACAAAUUUCAGAAUCAUUAAAAAUUUAUCUAGUCGGUAACUUUAUAUUCUCGAUAACCACAGUUUUUUUUUUUUAAAAAAAGAACAUUAAAAAGUCUCAAAAACAUUUUAAUGCUGAAAUCAAUACGGCUGCAUCAUGUAAUGCCCUGACAUCUGGCAUGGAAGAUGUCAUAGUUGAAACAUAUUGGACAUGGCAUCAUGUGUCACCCCACCAUUACGCAAAUCAGAGAGAAACUACCAUAUCAGUGCAUCAUUGAAUCGCAGUGAAGGAUUAUCCUCGUAGCUAUCCUAUGUGGGAUAUUUCGUUGAUGUUUACCUUUUCUUGUACGUCAUGUUAAAAGUAAAAACCACAUGCAAACUGAAAAUUAACACUGCUUCUUACAAGUUAGUUUUGCUUAAAAUGUUCCUUUUAGUUUAUUAGGUAUAGUUAGAGUAAAAUAGAGUUGACAAUUCCAACUUAUUUCGCAAAACAUAAGAUUUACCUGAUGCAUGCGCAUGUGCAUAUUUGCAUCGUGCAAACAGAGGAUUCGAUGAGCAACAAGCAGCAAGAAAAAGUUCAUUAAUAUGCACGCAGGAAAUAUUCAUUAAUGCCUUGCCUAAUGAGAAAAAUUGAUUCUAAAUUGCAAGACACCUAAAGAGUUUUACGCACCCAAAGAGAUUCUCCUUUCGUCCUUGCUGUGCAGUUCUUUUCAGCUGCUUGAACUCGUACUGAAACAUUUUAGUUCAUGAUUCAGGCUUGUUCAACAAGAAAACAGCUCUCAAGGUAACCACAGAAAGGGAGCAUCGCUUUUGUCUUAAUUUUCAGUUUUCACACGAUUUACACCAGACAUAUAGUUCCUCAACUUUGGAGACAUUAUUUCUCAAUCAAAACUAUAUAAAAAAACUCCAAAAUGAAAGCCAAGUUACUCUGUUCAUAUGAGCAAAUAUUACAAGCUUUAGUCAAUGCCUUAAAUAAACAUUGUACAAUAUCAAGCAGAAGUACAACUUGUCAUAUAUACAUAUCAAAGGAUUAAUUAAAUAAUUGAAUGAACAUUGUUUAAUGCACAAAUUGCUUCACUUAUCAAAUAUCGAGCUACUACAACACUGCUGCCUACUUAUUGAAAUAGCAGAAAAGAUCAUCUGAAAGUACAGGUUACCACAUAUGCAGUGUGUGUGGAAUGCAAGAAGCAAAAUAGAAUGGGCAUCACAGUGGUAAUUUUGCUGGGGUACCCGGAUCACGAGGGUAUUUCCUUGGUGUGGGACGAUCUUUUGAACAUAUGAUGGCAGUUCUCUGUCCAUAUGGGCUGCGUGAUUCAACUGGAUACAGCAGCAAAGGUGUGUUAAUAUCAGCUCAGUGAGGAAGCGUACAUUCACAACACAAAGGCAGUUAUCAAAAUUGAAAUCUUAAUAAAAGGGAAAAUUUGGCCUUAAAUUCUACAAAAAAAGGUUGACAAUCCUUUUGCAGACAGCAUGUUGGAUCGUCAAACUUAAUAAAAAAUUAUGUGUUCACUGUGUAGUGCAAGCGACUCCACUUCUCAGGUAAGAGGCAUCAAUUCUGGCCAAGACAAAGCAAAACUGAUGACCUUUAUACAGUGUUAAAGUCAGUGAUCAAAAUUAUAAUAAAGACAUCCAAAGCUACUCAAUUAAGCUACUGGUCAGUACAAUCUGAUCAAGGCAGCAGCUUCAUGCCCUUACUUGAUCAAAAUUAUAAUAAAGAUAACCUAUCAGAUUCAUUUCCUAAUACAACUGGUAGCCUGUAUUUAGCAUAAUGAAAUAUAAAAAAAGGAAUAUUUUUACCAAGUAGAAUAUGUAUCUGAUAAUGCAGCAAGAGUACCUGAGCACAGUUGCAAUGUUGAUGAGCCCAUCAAUUUGAGUGACCUUUCUGCAUUUCUUACUUCCUCCUGGAAAGGUACAUUUCGGAAGAUUAUUGAUUGCUAGUGUUUAUGAAAAACAGAAAUAUACAAUGGGCGAUUCUUACUGAGAUUAGAACCAUUAAAAAGCACAAAAGUACUUGAAGGUGUUGGAAAUCAGAUUAUUGUAAUAAUCACUAUGCAAUAUCAUGUAAAAGUUCUGAACUCAAUCAACUUUUUUGUCAGUCUAUCAGCAAGCUUUUUAUUAUUGCACUAGUGUAUCAUUAAGCAGAGUCCUUCUAGGAUUUAUAAAACCCAAUCUUUGGCUUCUAUGGUGAGUGAAAUAUGAAAUCACAGAUUCGAAGGUACCAACUAACAAACAGAAAGACAAGGAUAUGAACUAAAAAUAUCUUGCUGAAGAAACUUAUGUUCAGAACUUCAAAUUCUAGAAAACAACUAUUCACAAUACACAUGGGCUUCCUCUUUAUAAGUAAACCGUUUAGUUUCUUUUCCAUGUCAAUACAAUAUAGAAUAUCAAUUUGUCAACAUACUGUACAUAAUAAAUUAAUUUAAAGUAAAAUAUAAAAGUGGGUUGACGAUUACAGUCUAAAAAAGAUACGUACCUGAGGAUCAUGGCCUUUUGCAGCUAUGAACAACCCACCAACGCGAACCAAAGGAAGACAAUACUCCGCUGAAAAUCAAAAGAAACAAGCACUUUUAGGUUUAACAGUAAGCUUCCUUAGGAAACAAAAGGCUACUGCAACAGGAUACAGGAGGCGGAAGACAUUAAAGGUAGAAAUUUUUUUAAUUACCUAAAAUUCUCAUUUCUGCCACUGCUCUGGCUACUGCAACAUCAAAUUUCUCUCUGAAGGAAACAUUCUGCCCUAAAUUCUGUCCUAUAACAAGAAUAAAUAAUGAGCAAAACACCUAAGAACAUAAAGUCAAAUACAAAACUUGACAGCUAAAAUGUGUGUGCAGUUACACUAAAAAUGUGAUUAUUCAGACAAGAAAGCAUAUCAAGAUUCAAACUCAGAAAACAACAAGCAAUACCUCUGCUCUUCCCCUCACAACUUCAACAUUUGACAAACCAGUAACACUAAUUGCAUGUUCCAAGAAAUCACAUCGCUUGUUCAUCGACUCCAAAAGCGUUACUUUCCAUGCUACAUGGAAAUUACAAUACCAAUGGCAUCACAUAAAACAAAGCCCACUUCAAGGAACAAACAAAAAGAAAGGAAAACAAAAGAAAAAGGAAAAAAAAGAGAGGCUAACCAGGACAAGCAAUAGCCAAAACCAAUCCAGGAAGACCGGCACCGGUACCAACAUCAACAAGCUUGAUACUGUCAAUUGAAGCAUUGCAGUGUGAAACAUAAGAGUCCUGUAUAGGUGGUAGUAUUGCAAGUGAAUCCUCAAUAUGCCUCUCCAUUACUUCAUCCACAUCAGUAACCGCAGUCAGGUUCAUUUUCUGCAGAAUUAUCAGAAUUCAAAACCCAAAAAGAAACCAAACACUAAAAUCUUAGUUUUAGCUAACUUUUAUGUUCUUGUUUGCGUAUGGCCCCACCUGGUUCCACUGAAGAAGAGUAUCAACAUACAGGCGGAUUUGUUUUUUUUGGCGGCAACUGAAGGAAUCGAAACAAGAAGAAUUAUGAGUUCCAAUGGAGGCGGCGGCAGUUAGCGAUUUUGCCUUGAUUCUGUGAAGAGGAAAUGCUUUUGGUUCUAUGACGGAAAAGUGUUUGACAAAAGUCCCAAGCGAAAGCGGGAAUGGAACAGCAGGAGGUUUGCAGCGCCAAACCAGCAUUUUUCUUUUCUCGCGCGCUUUGUCGACGCCGCCUUAAAUAGAAGCGCUUAUAAUCUGGUCACAAACUGAUACUAGAAUUGCACUGUCUUCACCAUGUGCCCGCGCUAGGUAUGUAGGUUCUUUUGUUUUUUUUUUUUGUUUUCUUAUAUAUAUAUAUAAAUUAGAAAAGUAACAUCCAUAUUUUUAAUAAGAAUAAUUAAAAAUAUUGGAGAGAAAGAAAAGUGAAACAAUGCCAGCCUUUAAAAAGUUAUGUUUUGUCGUAAAAUAUUAUAAAAGUUGAGUGAAUAUUCUUGAGUUGUUAAUUCUUGAUUGGAUGCUUGUGAGAGCAAAGAAAGGAAACGUUUAGAUAUGGAAAGAGAAUUUCCGGUUACAUUUUUAUAUUUUAAAAAUAUAUUUUUUUAAAAAUAAAUUUGUUAUAUGUUUUUAUUUUUUUAUUAUUUUCAAAUUAUUUUGAUGUGAUACGUUAAAAAUAAAUAAUUAUUAUUUUAAUAUUUUUUCAAACAAAAAUAUUUUAAAAUAUAAUUAUUAUCACAUUUCUAAACCUCUUUUAAACUAUAUAUUAUAUUUGAAAUCAACCCUUGUUUUUUUUUUUUUUAUUAACUUGGGUGUACGGGUUAAUAUGCGCGCACCUCGACUAAUCUCACGGUCUCUGAAGUUAAUGACCAUAUAAGCCUCCAGUGGUCAUCAUAUUAACAACCACAUGGCUCGAACUUGAAACUACAGGGGGAAUAAAUUUCUUGAUCCCAAAUUUUUAUUACUAGAUCACCUACUAGAUGAUUAUCCCUUGCUGAGAAGUGUGUUUCGUAAAAGAGAAGAAGAGGUGUUAUGUUCAAAUGUCCUAAAUAGUAAUGGUAAAGAAUUAGAUUGAAAAAUUAAUGCCUUCCAAUAUUGAUUCUUUAUAUAUUUUAAAGAAUAAACUAAAACAGAGAAGAAAAUCAGUAUACAUGAAAUCAGCUUCUUCUUUUUUACUAUCUAACUUUUUAUCUUUGCAAUUUCAUCCUCUCAAUUUGUAUUAGCAUUUUUUUUUUGUUUAAAUUUCUUUCAGUUUGUAUUAUCUCACGGAUCCAACGUUUUGAAAAAAUAUCCGAAGAUUAAUUUGGCAUCAAUUCGGUGAAAUCAGACUUUAGUUUUAGUUAAAUAUAACAAUUAAAAAAAUAAGCAUCAACUUUAACAAAAAAAAAAACUAAUAUACAGACCCCAUUGCUAUUUUGUCACGAAAAAAUUAGUUUAAUCUUUGAAGUUAUGAUUUAUUUAUCGUUUAGUCCUUAUUAUUUUAGCAAUUGAUGUUUUGGUACAAAAUAUUAUUUUUUUACAUUUCAAUCCUUGUACAUUGAAAGAGAAAGAAGAAUGAAAGUCAGCCAAAAAAUAUUGAGGAAAGGGGAAGUUCUUGAAUGGCCACAUUUUAAUUACUAAAAAUAUUGAUAUUUGUGCCUAUAAAUUCAUCUUUUAAAAGAGGGUUAAUGAAGGUGUUAUCUUCCUAUAAACAUAACCGAAAAAGUAUAUAUGUGUUCAAAAAACAUUAUUCAUUUAAUUUUUUAGAGUAAUUUUAGGGUAAUUUCAUUGUUAUCAUAAUUUGUUUAUAAUUUCUUUCCUCUUAUAUUUUAUAUGAAUGAGUUGAAUUUCCAUUGGGAUCUUAUAAAACAAAAAUCAAAAUCAUUUGUUAUUAAAAAUAAGAUUUAACCUCUAAUAUAAAAUAAGUAAAAUCAUGUAAAAUAAAAAAAAAUUACUCUUAACAUAAUUUGGUCUGUAUUGUAAUUACUUGUUAUAGUUUAAAAAAAUUAUUAUUUAUAUCAUGGAUUUUAUACGACGAUAAUAUUUAAUAUCCUUAUAAAAAUAAAAAUUAAUAAAAAAUAUCUAAUUACUUACUAGAGUGUCAUUAUUUUUCAUUUUAUGAUUAAAAAACCUUUAUAUUAAAUAUUAUAAGUUUUCCAUUGAAUUAAAAAAAAAAAAAAUCUUUCUUCCCUUGCAUUACCCUUCCACUUAUCUUAUUCCCUUAUAAACCAAACCUAACUACCACCUUCCCUUCCCUUUGAUACCUCACCAGCCACCAUCUUUAAUCAUAAACCCACAAUCCAACCAAACUCCAUAGCCAUCGUUGAUUUUCUUGUCAACUCUUGCAGCCUUCCCUUGCAAUUGGCUCUUUCAGCUUCCUAGAAGCUCUAACCAAAUGAUGAGAAUAGCAUCUAAUCUAAAACACCAAACCUGGAGUCCAAUUUAAAAGUCUUGGUCUUGGCAAAUCCCGUUCCUGCUUGAAACCCUCAAUUCCUUCUUAAUCCAGCACGAUGAAGCUUCCUUUUAGGUUUUCAAUGUGUCAGGAAAGAAUAGUAUUCUCGAGAAAUUUUUUAUUCAAACGUGAAGUUUACCCAAACAUAAAGUACCUCAAGCUUUGGAAAAUCACCAACAAAUUCUGGGACUGGGUUUUCCAACUUGUGUUGAAAUAGAUUGAUUAGAUCUAUAUUUUUCAAAUGUAAAAAACUUUGUGGUAUCUCCUUAGUGAGGUUGUUGAUUGAAAGAUCAAGUGAUUUCAAGCUAAUUAGACAUCUCAUCACUAAUGUUCUGAUGCCUACAAUAUCGAAUAAUGAAAUUGUCUCUUGAAAUCAAAAAAUAUUUAGAUUUAAUUAUAAAAUUAUGAUUAGAGUGUCCAAGAAUUGCCACCUAGUAUUAUGGUUACUAGAAAACAUAAUGAUCUGUGAAAGUUUAGGUAAGAGGAUUAGUUAUGUAAAGAAAAAACACAUCACCUUAGUGCACCUUAUCUAUAGUAAGCUAUAUUGUUGAUUGACUGUUAAUCUAAGACAUGUUUGUAUUUGUUGGUUCCAUCUAAGGUUUAAGAUAGAUUUCUCUUCAUAAGAAAGUCUCUACUUUAUUGGGUUAAAUCCUAACCAUUCUAAAGCCUAUUUUUUAGCAAAGCAUUUAUUUUCUAUUUUUAUAUCUAUAAUACCUGGAGAUAUACUUUACAUUGUAAUUUUAUACCCUCAAAUAUUAAAGUCUACAACUAAAUCCUAAUACUAUAAAUAUUAAUUAAACAAAUUAAUUGUUGUGGGAUUUUUGGUAUUUUAGCCAAAUCCUAAUGGACAAUCAUAAACUAGUUAUGAUAUCCAUUUUAUAUUUUAAAAAUAUUGAUAAAAAUGUAAUUUUGUUUUUUUAGAAAAUAUGCAUGAAAAACCUUUAGAAUUUGACCGUAUGCAUGAAAAUAAAACAUAUUUUCUUUUGUGUUUUUGUAAUGAGAAACUUUUUUGAAUUUUUAUAAUUUUUGAAAUUUUGGAGAAAACCAAGUAUUUUUAAUACCGGGUCCGUAUCUUACAAUUCAAGUUUACAGCAAAAUAUUAAAUGAAAUUCUUGAAAAAUAUAUAUUUUUUUGUUUUCUAAAAUAAAGGAAUUUUUUUAAUUUUGAAUUUUAUUUUUUUUGAGAAAAAUAAGAUAUUUUUAAUACCGGAUCCGUAUCUUAAAGUGUAAAUCUACAGUCUCAUAUUAGGCAAAAACUAUUGGAAAAACACGUGAGGGACCCACAAAUAUUUUCAAAAUGAUCCUUGAAUUUUCUUAGAAAUUUUUAAAGUUCUUAAGGGCUUGUUUGGCUAGACUCUAAAAUAAGGAUAAAUUAAAACUAAAAGAAAAGGCUUAUGGCAUGUUUACUAAACAUGCCCUUAGUCUAAAAUCAGAGGCAUUAAAAAUACCUUAAGGACAUGUUUGGAAAACACGUCCUAAGUAGCUAAACAAGACCUUAUGUCAUAAGGAAAUAAAUGACAUGCCAAAUAUGCCCUUUAGUCUAAGUUGGGCUUAGGCCUAACCCAACCCAAUUUAUUGGGGCGAAAGAUAGCCCAACAUGCCUUUUUUUUUAUGACUUGGGCUAGACCCAACCUAACCAUACAGGUUGGGCUUAAUCCAGCCCAUGUAACUUGGUCAUUUGCCCAACUUAGUCACCAAGUUAUGUAAAGCUUGCAAAACAUAAAUUAAUUCACAUUCUCCAUGCUUUUAACAAAACAAAAAAGGAGAUUAAAAUGCAGGAGAGAAGGAAAGUUAUUUGGGUUGGAUGUGGUGUUGUUAGUCAUUAGUUGGUGGCUUAGUUUUUUGCGGUGGUGCUCUUGUCGCUGGUGGUUGUUUGAAUGUGGAGGAAUAACCAAAGGUUGAAGGAGAAGUUGUUGUGCUGCUGUUGGAGUAAUGAAAAAACAAUGGAGUUGGCUGCAAUUGUAAGGAGAGGAUGGUGGUUGCUUUUGGUUGGAAUUGGGGAAGGUUAGUGGGUCUGGUUUUUAGGUCAAACCAUUUUGUCUCAUUAUACGGGGUGCUUUCUUCUUUCUUUCUCUUUGGUUUUCUUCAUUUUUUCUCUCACUAUUUUUUUUCUUUGUUUCUCCCCCUUUAUAGCUGUUAUGGAGUUGGUAUUUAUAGGGGGUGGGUGGCAUCAAGUGGAGAUGCAUCAUGACUAUUCAUCAUUCUCAAACCUCAUCACCCAUUGAUGCAAAACCAAGACUCAAAAACUUUGUUAAAAAGGCUGCUUUUGUAGAUGUCUUUAGACCAGCUUUGUAGACAUAUUAGGGUAGGGGUAGGACUGAAACAAGGUUGGCAGGAUCCUUCUUUGUUAGAAAAGCAGGGAGAGCAAGUAUUUUCGGACAUUGGGAUCAAACUGAAGAGGAAAAACGGCGCCCAAAACCCCUUUUAUAUAGGCUAUUCUUGCCUAUUUUGGGAAGAAAAUAAUGAACAGUAGCCAGACGACAUGUCGCCUGACUUUUAUAUUUUUUUUAACUUGGUGUUGACCAAAACGACGUCGUUUUGAACCAAAACACGUCGUUUUGGUCAAAAUAUAGCCAAAACACACUAUUUCAUUUAAAUACAAUGACUCAUUUAAAUACAAUGACACAAUUUCAGUGUUUUGGCUUGAAUUUGGUCAUUAAUCCCUUUUUUAAUUUCAACCCCUAAUAUUCUAAUUUAUUCAAUUAAGACCUUAAUUGAAUUUUGAUUAGAAUCAAUUCAAUUUCACCCUUAUAAAGCUUCAAAAAUACCCCAUGAUUUAAUAGUGUUUUUCAACAUGGUCCUUGAUCUUAAGUGUUUUCAAUUUCAUCCCUAAUUAACCUUCAAACUUCUAAUUUCUUCAAUUUCGCUACUGAAUUAGAUCCCUAAUUUCACUCACAUUUUGAAAAAAGGUCUUUAAUUUUGAAUUUCUUCAAUUUGGCCUUAAUUGACCCUCAAACUUUGAUUUUUUUUUUAAUUUUGUCCCUAAUUUCAUCUAAUUGAGUUUGGAAAAAUUAAAUCUGGUCAUCUAAAAUUCUAAUCUUAUCAAUUAAACUCAAAUUAAGCUUCCAAACUUAUUUUUUUUCCACCAAUUAAGUCCAUAAUAAAAUUAAUUUGACCCAUUAAAAAUAUAAUUAAGUCAUUGCACCUAAUUAAAUCUUUUAAUUUGACCUAAAAUAAUUCUUAAACUUAAUUAAAUAUUUAAUUGGGUACAUGAUUAAAUCAAAUUGGCCUAUUAAAAAUCUAAUUAAGCCUCAGACUUAAUUUUUAUACAAAUUCGUCCAAUAAUCAUUUAAUUUGACCUUGAAUAUGCAUUGUCUUUUUAGUCUUGGGUACAAUGGGGUACAAUUAGACUUAUAAUUUUGUCCAAAACUCCACCUUAGUUCCUCCAUACAUUUGAAACCAUUCUCAACGUACUCUUUAAGUUGCCAGUCUUUUGUUUUUUAUUUUAAAAGAAAAUGAUAAUUUUGAAAAAAAAACCCUGAAAAUUAGGUUAUGACAACUAAGAUUAUAAUAACCUAUGUCAAGAGGUUCAAGAUUACUCAAUGAUUUAAAUUAAGGUGGAAUACCUCCUAUAAUGGUUAAAGUACCCAAUGUAAAAGCUCUUAAGAUUCUUUAACUUAGACAAGCUUAAAGGUACUUUGCUUGAAAGCCUAUUACCUUUUAAGGUGUAUCAUGCUAAGAGUAUUUUUUUAGGGAAAUUCCCAUAAUUAACAUUGUUGGAAAUAUUCAAAAUCCUUAGAGAUGUCAAUAUGACUAUCUCACAGGAAUUUCCCACGUGAGAUUAUCACUUUUCAAAUCAAAGAAUUAGUGUUGCUUUUGAAAAAUUAAAGAAGCAACGCACAAGCAAGACAUGAUGGCUUAGAAACUUAGGUAUUAAGGAUUUAAGGUCAAUUAAGUUAGGGUGUUUUUGUGAGUUUUUGUUCGAUUUAUGGUUGCUUGUUGUUUUUUGUGGUAGAACUAUUGUUUGAUGAAGAUUUUUAGGUUUCCAAGUUAAUGUAGAUUUGAUUUUUGAGUUUGAUUAAGGUUUCAUAAUCAAUUUCUCCAAUUUUUUUUUUUAAUUUUAUGGUAAAGUUGUACUAUUGAAUAUAUUAUAUACAUGAGUAAUUUGGUCAAUUUGUCAUAUUUAAAAUAGGAUGUAAAUGAUAAUUUUUCAAACUAUAACGAGCAAUAGCAAUAUGGAUCAAACUACAAUAUGCUAAAUAUAAUUUUUCUAUAAUAAAAUGGAUAGCUGGUGUCAAACAUUUGUGUUUACAUCAAUCUUUUGCUUUUUUUUUAUUAACGUGGGUGUCCGGGCCAGCUUGCGCGCAUCUCGACUAAUUCCACGGGCCCUGAAGUUAACGACUAUGUAAGCAUCCAGUUGCCCCGAGCGAACUCAAACUCGUGACCAUUAGGGAGCAAACCCAAGACCUGACCAGUUGAGCAAACCCAAUAAAGCUUUUGUUUUUGUUAGGAAAGGUAGCUUCCCAUCUUAUUAUUUAAUGAGUUUUAUUUUUUAUUUUAUUUAUUUUAUUAAAUGUAAUUGUACUAGGGUUAAAAUUGAAUUAUCCUUAUCUUCCAUAGACAUUUUAUAUAAGGUUAGGAUUUUAUGCUUGCAUGAAAUUUUAUCUCUAUAACAUUAUAAAUAGGUUAUCCAGUAGUUGAAAAUGAUGGUAAGACCCAUAUACAUAAUUUAUUCAUAACUUUUUGCUAUCUAUUGCUUUCUUUUACUUAUCAUAAUUUAUUUUUUUUAUUUACAACUUUAUUUAUCAGCUUUGUAUUUUUCUCUAGUUUAGUUUUUGACAUUACCUUUUUUGAGAUUAAGUUUGUUAAUUUUAUAUUUAGGACUCCACACUCCACUUCGAUUAGCAAGAUUGUUAUUUGCUUUUGCUUGAGAUUAAGUUUGUUAAUUUUAUAUUUAGGACUCCACACUCCACUUCGAUUAGCAAGAUUGUUAUUUGCUUUUGCUUGAGAUUAAGUUUGUUAAUUUUAUUUUCUCCUCGUUGAAAGGAAGAAAAUGUGGCAUAUUGAUCAUAUAAUUAAUGAUCGAUCAAUAUGUUGAUGAUGUCAAUAAAUAUAUUGACGAUGAUCGAUGAAAUUGAUUAUUUGAUAAAUCAAUAUAUUGGCAUGCUAGGUAGGAAAAACUUAUUAUUUUAACAAAUUACUUUAGUGGUCAUCAACAGAUCGACACACCUGGUAUAAAAAAAAUUAGUAUUUUAAAAAAUUACUUUAGUAAUCACAAACAGAUUGGCACACCUAGUUAUAAUGCUAGAAAAUUAAACUAGAAAAAAAUAUAGUUAUAAUGACUAAUGAUUAGUUAAUUCACGCAUCUUAUAGAGGCAAUCCUUAUGAACACGAGGAGUUUGAAAUCAACUCACAAACACAAAGUCUAAUAUAGAAGCCUCCAUCAAACAUUCCAUAGCAUGACUUUUGAUCAUCUAAUUCUUCAUAUUAAUAAAGAAUUGCACUUGGACAUAAUCAUAAUAUCCAUAUUCAAUCUAUAAUGAUUUCACCUUUCCUGACAACAUUGCCUCUACCAAUGUCUGAUAGAUAAGUUGGUGUUUUUAUAUAUCUAACACAACCUCAUGUUUAUCUUUUUUUAGGGACCUAAAAGGCAUGAUCAGAUGGUCACAACCAGUUUGAUCAAAUUGUAAUCAACCAAUAGUGGCUACUCUUAAAGGUGUGUGUGUGUGUGUGUGUCUAUAUAUAUAUAUAUAUAUAUAUAUAUAUAUAUAUAUAUAUAUAUAUAUAUAUAUAUAUUUAAACUUGUCUAAUGUUAAUUUAAAGGCUAAGUAUAGCCAAUAUGAUUUAUCAUAAUAAUGUUGUGAUAGUUAUCAAGACAAUCUAAGCCAUAGACAAUAAACUAAAUCAAAUAUAAACUAAAUCAAAUAUAGAAUGAGCUAAGGCAGAGUCAAUCGAGCAUUGUUUUUGUCCAAAUACCUAUUAGACAAGUCCUAUGAAUAAUAUUUUUUUUUUAAAAAAAUUAGAGUCCUCUAGAUCUUAUUAGACAAUAUAAAGUUGUUUAGUGUUUUAUGAAGAUUACUUGAAGAUCAAUUAUGUCUUAAAGUUUGAUCAAGAUUGAGUCAUUUAUCGACUAGAUUAUUCUAAUAGUAAUUCACAUGAAUCACUAGAUCAUAAAUCACUUAAAUCCUUCUAGGAGAGAGGGAUUGAUAUGCUUUAAGUGCUAGCUUUUUUCUUUUCUUUUUGUUCUUUGCUAUUAGAUCUACUCUAUUGUAUUUUGUGCUUUGAACUCCCCUUAUUCACAUGAAAAAAAUAAGGUAUAUCAUUCUAUUCAUAGAAAAAACCUAAUAUCCUUAUUAAUGAAAAAAAUAUCACUUUAGGUUUGAAAAAUAUCACAUUUUAUUUCAAGACAACUCUUAAAAAUUUAUAUAAUCAAGUCUCUACUUGAGUUUCUAGAUCUAGAAUUACAUUAUAAUCCUCAAUUUUUAAAACUUAUUUAUAAUUAAAUCCUACUUGAUUAUCAUCAUGGUAUAAUUUCUUACCAUUAAUUUUUAAUAUGUAUGACUCAUUAAAUUCCUAAUAUGUUAGCCUAAAUAUAAAUUAGAAUUCUAAUUAAAACAUGAUUAUUAUUAAUUCAAUAAAUUGAUUGAUUUAUAUUUGAAGAUGAAAUAUAGCACAUAAUAACGUGACAUAAACUUUCAAAUAUUAGGAAAUUCAUUUGUGACUUGAUUUAGUCUUUCAAUGACUAAUUUAUUAGUUUAACUAUUAUCCCUUUAUCUAUCAUGUUUGAUUUAGAUAUUUGAUCAUUAUGUGUCUACUCUAUCAAGUCAUAUUUAUUCUUUAUGCCAUAGCCAUUAAUUUUUUGAAUAAGAUUUGAAAUUUUUUCAAAUCUCUUUUUAUCUUGCGCAAUGAUAUUAUAAUCAAUAUUAUUUAAAAAUAUAUACAAUAUUUUUUCUAAUUCAUCUAAGGUGAUCAUUAUUAUUCAUAAUUAGUCUCUUAACUGGUUUGAGUUUGUAUUUUUUCAAUUCACUUAUUUCCAUGUAUUAUAAAAGAAAGGAUAAAAAAUAUCAUUAGAGUAAAUAAUAAAGUGUAUUUAGUAGUUAACUCAAUCCAUAAUAAAUAGAAUGAGCUACUAUGCACACCAUUAUCCAACAAUUUUGUAGUUCUUUUGUUUGGGCGACCUUUACCAAAAAAAUACAGCGAGGGGAAGAUACUUAACAAAAAUCAAAUUCAUACAUAUACAUAAUUAUAUGUUAUUUAAUGGCAAUGAAUCGGGACCUUUUAUUCAGUAAGUAUAAUAUUAACAUUUUGUUGUUUUCAAACAAUAUUUCUCUUAUACUCUCAUAAAUUGAUAGAUUGAAAAAUUCCUCAUAGGCAAUAUCAUUAAUUUUUACUAUCUCAAAAGUCAUAUUUGAUUGAGUCUUAAAUUUUUCAAUUACAACUUGAACAAUUUGCCACGUGGUUCAAAACACAUGUAAGCACUAAAUAAUUCUUAUAUCUUAUAAUACUUGGUUUUAAUAAACCUUUCUUUUAAAUUAUUAAUGGUUGCAAUCAUGUACCCGAUUUAUCAAUUAAAAGGGAAUGCUAGUGGUAGUUUGAAUUUACUAUGUUUAGGUCUUGAAAAAAAGAUCAAGUGUUAUAACAAGUAUUUCAUCAAUGAAUAUGUUUUUCAUAUUAAAAAUUAUGGUUAAGUUAGAAAGACCUAUAAUAGUGGAGAUUGUGUUGAAAUAUUAACUUCUAAUAAGUUUGAAGUUAAUUAUUAUAAGAAGUUUGAAGAGGUGAUUGAAUUGUAAUAUCAUAUCGAGCUUAAUAAAGUCUUUUUAUUCAAAUGUUAUUAAUACAAUACUAUUAAUAAAGGAAUAAUAGUAGAUUCCCACCAUGGUUUGGUCAAAAUUAAUACAAAGGCUAGACUUUGCAACAUCAACAAUAUCUUUGUUUUUUUCCAAGCAAUGCACGCAAGUUUAUUACAUAUACACUCUUUUAAGAAAUGAUUAUUCUAGGGUUGAUUGGUUAUCCAUAGUGAAAAUCAAACCUAGGGGCGUAACGAUGAAGUAACUACAAAAAAUGAUGUCUUUCAAAUUGAUAAGUUAGUUGAUGCACAUCGAGUUGCUCUGUCUACCGACUUAGAAGAAAAUUCAUAUUUUUCAUGUUAAGAAUAUUUUCGUUGAUAUUGACAUUGAGAAGUUAAAUGAUGUAUUGAGAGCAAAUGGACAUGCAGAAAUCGAUGGAGAUGAUGAUAAUAACGAGCAUCAAUUCAAUGAAGAAGAUUAUUAUAGACAUGAAGAUGAUGAAAUUAAAGAUGAUGAUGAUGAUGAUGAAAAAGAAGAAGAAGAAGAAGAAGAAGAUAAUUCUGAUUAAAUUGUAAAAACAUCAAUAUAUAAUGAAAUUAACUUUAAUGUAAUCUUUUUGGUUAUUCAUUUACAAUGAACUGUUAUUAAGACUAAUGGAACAUUUAUUGUUGUAAUUUUAUUAUUAUAAUCAGAAAUGAUAUUAACAUGUCGUGGUUUUAUUGAAUUGCCAGGUUAGGUUUUACUGAAUUCCUAGGUUGGAUAGACAUGGAAUACAAAAACAAUGUGGAAAAAAAACAUGUUUUCUACUAAUAGAAUUACCGAUAAAAUGUCAAAUACCAAUGGAAUCACAUAUGGAUUAAGUCCCUUUAAGAGUUCUAGAGAGUUGAAAAACAAUUAUAGGACCAUGCCAUUGAGACUUAUAGACAGAAUCAUCAAUGAAUUAAAUCCUUUAAGGAGUUUCAGAAAGUUGAAGAACAAUUACAAAACCAUGCCACUAAGACUUACAGAUGGAAUCAUCGACGAAUUAAAUCCCUUAAAGAUUUCUAGAGAGUUAAAAAAAAAUACAGGACCAUGCCCACUAAGACUUACAAACAAAACUGCAAGGAUUAAAAAGAUUUUGAGUCAAUUAAGGGUGCAUGUGCUAAAUGAAAGAACAAGGACUAAAUUAAAAUCUGUCAAAUCCCAAAUUUAAAACCCUAAUUUCUAGGGUUUAAUCUGAACGACACGUCACUUAGGUUUAAUGAAGGUAUUGGGUGACACAUCGUUCGUCUUCUGUUCAUCUCUUUCCUUGGCAGUUUUGGAUGAUCGGGUUGACACCUUUUAAGACCUCGUUGUAAAGUUCUAGAUCUCCAAAUGGAACGGGGCUUUUUGCAAAUGGAAAAAUAACAUCUCCUCUACAACCCCUUCCAUAAAAUUGGACGUUUACAUCCCAAUUCUUCCAUUGAAAUAUUUAACAUCUUGUCCCUGAUUAACCAUCACUACAUUUUCAUAUUCUAGGCGGAUUGAGUUGGUAUUUUUAAGCAAAUAAAUGUGGAGCUACAGACCUCUAAAUUGAGUGAAAUGGAUAAAAAAAAGAGUGUGCAUCUCCUCUACCAAGUUUAGGUGGUCUCCGAUGAUGUUUACAUCAGAGUUACUCCUACAUAGCGUUGAAAAUGACCAAUUCAGUUAGCCUUGAUUGAGAUACUCAUUUGUGCAAAAGCACCCAACUUUUUCAUAGACUUAAAAACUCUUAGAGGGUUCUUAUCAAGGGCCUUAAAUCUUUAAUACAUGAUUUGAAGGUGAGGAAGGCAUGCAUUUAUCUCUAAUAAAGCAAAAACCACCAAGGCAAAAUCACCAUCCCCAAAAACCAGUGAAGGACAAAGGUUCCAACUGUUAACAUUUGUCCAGAGCUCUAUCAUUUUUAUCAAAGGGCUAAACUUUGAUUACUCUAUGUCGAAAUCCAUCAAAAACCCUAGAAAAGACCCUAUAAAUACCCCCUGUAAAAUCUGAAAAAAAUAAAAAAAAAAUAAAAGAGGAGAGAAAAAAACAUGAGGAUAUACUCUAUAAAAAUACCCUUAGUAUGAAUGUUAAAAGACUUAACAUAGAAGGUCUAGCAAGCUUUAGAAAGAAUAUAAAGUAAAAAGAAAAUGAGGAAGGAAAAGAGAAGGGAAGUAACAGCUUAUAGCCAACAAGCUUGGAGAAGGUAUAACCAUGUGAAAACUACAGGGUGAAAUCCAUAUGGCCUACCCAUUCAUACUUUUAUGUGGAUUGAUGAAUGAAAAUAUUAUUUUGAUUGAUUAAUCAUGUUUUAAAGUUGUUGUUAAUAUUUGCUGGAUGUUUAAAAGAUGUUUGGAUGUUCUUUUUGUUGAAAUGCAAUAGUUUUUGGAAUCUACAAAAUAUGGUGGUAAGUUUGUGAUUAUUUUUUCUAGGUUACUAAUGUAUUUUUUUGGUUCCUAAGUUUGGUUUGGGUCCCUAGUAUUUAAAGAGUUAGUUUUGGAUUGAUAUUUGAUGUUUUUUGUUGGCUUUCAUUGGGGCUGUAGUUUUGGAAGGAAGAAUAUAAUGAGUGAUUUUGAUGACCUUUUGUUUUUGUUGUUUAUUUUGAGUCAAACAUGUUUGUUUUUGAUAAUGUGGUUUAUGAGGACAAAAAACUGAAAGUUUAGAGGCCUAAAAGGCCAAUUUCUAGGUUUGGUAGUAGCUUAGAAAUUUACGAGUAACCUAAGUUCAUGUUCUUCGUGUUCAUCCGAAGAAUAUUGUCUCGAGUGCUAGUUUUAUGUUUCGUUUUAAUCUGAUUUUGGUUUCUGCAAGUUCAUUGUCAUCAUUAAUCAAUAAUCUAGGGUUUUAUGCAUCAUUAACAUGUUUUUAUGGGUUUUAAUCCUAGAGUUUUGAUUUUGAAUCGAAACCUAUUUUUGACAUAAAACGUGAUGUUAGAGUAAUAAUCCAAGCGAAUGGAUACUUGAUUCUUGGUAUAUGCUUGUUUAUGAACAAACCUUUGCCUUAUAUGUUUUUUGUGUGUUUUUUAGUUUUAAUUUUGUUUUAGUUUAAAUCACUAUUUUGGUUUAAUUUUGGGUUAAAGCUUGGUUUUUGGUUCGUUUUAUGGAUGAACCACUGUUUUUGGGUCGACCCGGUCAGGUCAAAAUCAGGUUAAUAAAAUUUAUUUACAAUCUAUCAAUUCUUUUUUAAUAAAACAAAAUUCAUAACCUAUAAAAAAUUCAUUUUUUUUGCUUUUUUUUUAAGUUUUUAAGGUUUCCAACAUGCAUGAAACUUUUGUAUGAAUUGUUUGUAUAUAUGGUAAUUUUUAAAUUAAAAUUUGUGUUAAUAGCAUUGCUAUAAAAGUUUUAUUUGUAUUUAAUAUAAUAUGAUGACAAUUUGUAUAUUUAUAUAAUCUAAAAAUAUAAUGUCUGAAAAAUAUUAUGUAUGAAGGAUACGGUUUUAUGUAAUCUAAAAGGUGAAAAUGGGUGAAUAUUAGUCAUAAAUAAAAUCACCUGGUUCGUAGCUUUAUUUAUUGAUGCGAAUUUACAGGUUAUGAAAUUUUGGAAAAUCUUCUAUACAUGAAAAGUGCUGCCAAUUUGUUUUUAAAUAAGAUAUAAUGAGAAUGUUAUUAUAUUUUUUAUGUUUAACUUGUUUAUACGAUGAAAAGAAGGUUAUUGGUGAGUAAUAUGGAUAUGAGUAUUGUUGGUUCUUUUAGCGGCACUUUUUAGGACCAUAAGUUGCUAGGUGCUGACCAUGAUAAGACACUUGAGGCAUAGGCACCAUCUCUCGGCGCAAGCUCGCCGAGUGUGAUGUUGCCUUAUAGAGGAGGUGUGCCUUCAGAGUAGGAUGUAUACACUAAUAAGUACAUUGUUUAGAGGAAGCCCAAUCACAAUAUGUAAAUUUGUUUCCUUUUCUUGCAUGAUUAAAAAAUAAAAAAUAAUAGAUAAAUUUUGAAUAAUUAAUUUCAAUAAACAAAUAAAAUUUCAGGUUUAUAAAUAUAGAGGCUGCUCGCAUAAUAACAUCAACGAUGAAAUCUUCGAUAAAAAUGUCUUUGUUUCAAUGUAGUCAGGUUUUUAAAUUUCAAAAAGUUCUAUUUUUUUAAAUGUUCAAAUUUUAUUUUUUGUUAUCUUAACCGAUAAUUUUUUUUUCUAUCAUAUAGGUUGUGUGGUUUCUGUUACGAGGCAAAAAAAUCAAAGAGAUAUGCAAAAGAAAGAGGUAUUCCAAGUUGGGAAGAUGUCACCAUGUGGAGGGAAUUCAGACAUUCGAACGUCUUGAAGGCAAUCGAGGAAGCUUAUAUCAAUCACAUGACAUUUGAGUAUUUCAUGCGGUGAUCCCAGUCCAGUGCGAAGAACUAUAACAAGAAGAUUCAUUGUUCAAUUACCCACACACCGACAGAUCUAUUUCGUUCAUUUCAUAUGUGAAAUAGAUGGUAGGAUUCUAUUUUAUUACAUACAUUUAAAAAAAAAUGUUUUAUAUGAAAAUGUUUAACUAACAAUAGCUUCAUUUUGCAGGUUACGGUUCUUUGACGCGAUCCAAGACCGAUGAAGCUUUUUGUUGAAAUUCACAUGUGAAAUAAGGACUGUUAGAAAGGGGUGUAACAGCUCGUGGAUAGAUGAGUUCAAAUGUUCGUGGUAAGUUGGAUUAAUUUUUUUUCUUAAGUUAUUAUUUUUAAAAAAAUUUCUGACUUUUUUUUUAUUUUCAAGAAACAUAUAAUACCUGAUUGCAUGAGAGAUACAUGGACGAUCUUUCGACCCAUCCAGUUUUGUGGUUGGAGGUUGGAUUGUCUGAUGAACCCGAUAGAAAUAAAGUUUAUGGUAUCUCAAACACUAUAAUCGAGGAUAUGCGGAUGGGCCGUAGUGUAUUAACCAUUGGUUCCUCGCAAUAGAGUUUGAGCUCCUAAUCUCCAACCAUCCAGGCAAUUGUGUGAGAACAAGUUGAAACUCAAACAACCCAGCUUAGUGCUGAGAUGACCCAACUUAGGUCCAAGACAGUUGAACUUAGGCGAUUAUAUGAAGAUUUGUUGUCAAGCCUCGGUGGUUCAUGUGGUCUACCUCGUUUCCCACUUGGUCCCGGUGAAGAUAUGCAUCUACCUCCUCCUCCUCCUCCAGCUUCUGUCUUCUAGAUAAAUUGUAUCAAUAUAUUUUUUAAAUUAAUAAUAAAAAAAUUGGUUAUUUAUUUAUUUUUAGUUCUUGUAAUUUUUUUUCUAUUUUGUUUAUUUUAAUUAUUUUAAAAAACUAUUACAUAAAUUACUAAUGAAAUUACUGAUAGAAUGACAAUUAUAGAUGGAAUGACCGAUGGAAUAUGUCCCCUAGGAAGUUCCAGAUAGUAGGGAAAAAAUUACAAGUCUUUGCCACUGCAAUUACAGACAAAAUUACCAACGAACUAAACUCAUCAGAAAGUUCUAGAGAGUUGGAAAAAAAUUACAAGAAUUGCCACUAACAUUAUAUGAUUCACUGACUGAUUAAUUCUAUCAUAAUAUUAAUUCAAUCAUAGAUGAGAUUACCAACGAUUUAUUCUACUGGUGAUUUGUCAUACAAACUACCGGAAUUACCAAUGGAAUGAUAACGAUUAUUUUUUUUUGUUUGGCGUGCUUUUUUCAUCUGUAACUUCAUCGGGGAUUAAAUUUCCAGUAUAAUAACCUAUAUAAUAAAAAUCAUCGAUGAUAAGUUUUCCAAUAACCAGUUACCGUCCAUAAUUCCGUUAAUAAAUUUGUUUCUGACAGAAUAUUCCAUCGAUAUUAUGCAAUAUUCUGGUUGUAAAACUAUGGUAUUAAUAAAUGUUUUCCGUAGGAUAUUGAGACUUUAUUUUCAUAUAUAAACAAGUUUUUUUUCUUUUUAGAAUCAUGUUGGAACAAUUUAUUUGAUAGUUUUAUAAAUGGAUAUGUUUUUUAAAAUAUUUUUAUAUUUAUGAAUAUAUUUAGAUGUUGUUAAUUAUAUGGUUAUAGGUUAAUAAUGUUUUUGUUUACGUAUGAUUAACUAGAUAUAUUAAAUUAUUGAUUCUAAAAAAAUUAAAAUUAUUCAUUCAAUCAAGUAUAUAUAGUAGAUAAAAAAAUAGAUGCAUAUAACGGCUAUCCGAAUGGGUAUUUAAAAUUCAAUAGUUCGGAUAUGGUUAUCCAAAUUCUUACCCGAUAGAUAAUGAUUAGAUUAUGAUUAUUAAUCUUUCAUUUAAAUAUAGUUAUGGUUAUAUUAACAUCCAAAACGGUGAGUAUCUAUUAUCAUACUACUCGUGUCGUUCAUGGAUCAAUACUUCCAUGUCUCAUAUAACAUUUUCAGACAACCUUAAACUGGUCACUAAAAUAUAGCUCAAGUGUCGUUUGAGUUCCAAAUUUCUCUUCUUAGUUGAAUCUUGAAUUUAUUAUUUUAUUUUUCAUUAGAUAUUUCCAUGGAUACCUUUCACAACUUUUUAAUGGAAAACAUCAAAUCCGUACUAAAUGGCAUUAUUCUUAGUGAACGAACACAUAACCCAUUAGCAAAUAUGGAUAAAGGGAUUCAAUUGGGAAUUUUAUACGUAGUUAGGGGAUAUGAAAUUUGAGGUAACAUCUCAGAUACUUCAACGGGACAUUGGGGAGGAAAUAACAAGAACAUGAAGAACACAAAAGUAGUAGGCAGUACUGUAUAGUAAGUAGUAUACUAUAUGGGAUCCACCUUAGCUCCAUGUGCCCAUGAAUCUCACUAGUUAUUGAGAUCAUAGCAGUCAAAACACCCCUUCCUAAUAGCAAUGAUGAUAAAGCAGGUUUUUGGAACCGAACAGUACACUUUUCACUAUUUUGUCAUAGCGGCCACACCACCUACUGCCUGAGUGGAAUCACACAAAGAGAAAGCGAAGUGGACCCAAACAGCAACUACCACAUCAUGUUAAUUUAGCAGUAAAUCAGUAUCCAUGGAUAGAUAGGUUUUGUUUCUAUAAAAUAAUGGGAUGGUAUUUCUAUUUUCUAUGAUUAAUUGAGAUUCUUGUAGUACCCCCAACUCAUCGGUCUUGCUUUGACAACUCUUAUAGUCAGGCAAAGAUGGUUUCAAUUAUGGUGGUGGAGCAUUAAGGACACUGAUGUAGCAUUGUCACAGAAAAUGGCAAGAAGUCCUGAAAAGAGAACGAAAAGAUUAGGUGCCAGCAUGUGUGUGAUCGAUGCAGACUUGGGAGACACGAAAUACUGUCAACUUUUGAUCUUUGGUUUUAGACUUUGUUUGAUGCUAAAAGGAAUUGAAUCUCCGGAACAAUUUCACCUUUCUUUAGAGCCACUUUUUAAUGAACUAGCUAGCUACUUUGGUUUUCCCAUAUAAUAUUUUGCACUUGUGUGUAAAGGAGAAAGCGAAGAAAAGACUGGCCAUGCGGGGGUGACUUUAUCGGGGUCAAACAUGAAGUGAUGCCCUGCGGCCUGCCGCAGGGGCAAAGGGGGCUUACAUUGCGAUUUCUUGCCCUACCAAAGCACAUUUAUCUGGUACUCCUAACUAAUUUUUUUUGUUACAACCUUUGCUAAUAUGCUCUCUGGGGAUAGCACUUGUCAAGGAAAAAAAACUAGGAGAUGACUUUGAAAGAAACUAGGGUUUUUUCGCCGGGGCAUUUGAAGGUUUUCUUUUUUCCUUUUUUUUUUUUUAUUUCUUGGGGACAUUCACUGAGUUUUAAAAUACAUAAGAGAGUAGCUUCGUCUUUUCUCUCAUAUUUUAGCUCAAGAAUAUUAUGAGCUCUCUAAAACUUUGUAUUUUUAGAAAUUUAACAUUUUAUGGAACAAGAAAAACACAGAACAUCUCAAACUUUCAUAAAAAUAUAAGAUAUUCAAAGCAAAUUUAACAAUAUAUAUAUUACAUGAAACCCCGAAUUCUAGCUUCUUGAGGAUCUUAAUUUCCUUUACAUCAAAACGCACCCCAGAUUAAAGGGUAGCUGAGGAGCUAUAAUUAUAAAGAAAGGGAUUAAAUUAAAUAGAGAAAAGAAAUUAAUUUGAUAUAUAUUUUUUUUUUAUCAUGAUCAGGGUCUAUGUAGGCAUGAGUGGGUGCCUUUUUUUUCCUUUUCCUUUUCUUUUUCCCUUGCAAAUUGAUACCUAAGCUUGGAAACACCAGUGAGCUAUGAGGUAACGGAAGUCCAAAUGUUUCGAUCAAGUUUUGAAGUUCAAACCUAAGCUUGAAGUAAGGUAGACAGAAGUGGUGCAUGUGUAGGUUACGAACUUAAUUAUAAUCUCAUGUAAUAAUCCCAAAUUCACCUAAGGAUAAUUGAAGGAGAAAAGAAACAUCAAUAAGUAUGUGAUGAAAGGGAGUAGAAUGGGAAAAUUAGAGAUCAAAAGAUGAUAUAUCUUUUAGGCAUAAAAAAGAAGAAAAAGUAGUAUCUAGCUAGCUAGAUCUUCAAAUCGGUUAGAGUAUAUUGAGCUGGUGAUACUAUUCAAAAUAUGCUUACAUGGGAAUCUUUUGCUUUGCUGUAAUCCUUGAUUCAAAAUCCCAAAAGCCAGAAUUAGAAGACCAGCUCGAAAAAUUUCUCAUUGACCGAAAGAGAAAUGCAUUUGAGGAACAGCUAAAAAACAUUUUUGUCGUCAGUCCUAUUUUUUACCAGAGUGCUUUUGCAGGGAAGCCUAAUGCACCCACAAGGCCACAUAUUCCCCCUCGAAAUACCACAAACUCUCGCCCCCACAGAUGUUCUUUCGUUUUUAAUCUCUCUCAAGCUCUCGAGAUCCAUAUAUAUAUAUAUAUAUAUAUAUAUAUGAUGCUACUGUCAUUCUUUGCUUCUGGGCCUGCCAAUGUCUUAUCUUUAACUAGACCCAAUAAAGCUUAGUGUUGGUAAUUCAUGUGUUCCAUAUACAGUCAGAAACAGCCUUUUACUGUAGUGAAUAAAAUAACUAACAAAGGAUAAAGCAGAAGAAAUUUUCAUCUAUGACACCGAUUCCUGCAUGCCAAAGGCUAAAGUCCAAUCAUUUACCUUUAUACCAAGCUCUUGAUUAGCAAAACUCCUCUUCUUUCUACAAUGUCAAGGCGACAGCUUGCUUGCACCUUGUGUGAUUGGGGGAUGUAGCCGAAAUCAAAACACGUGAUGUGCAUCUGAUAAUUGUUUCCAGUAAAAAAAACACAAUAAAGGGUCCUUUUCUUUUCUUAGAGAAGUAGAGAGCUGGGGCAUGAAAAAGCUAGCACCAUGGGUUUCGUGAUAAUUCUCUCCAUAGAGAGAGAGAAAGGGAAAGGGUGAGUCUUUAUCUCUCUCUUGAAUUUCUCUGAGGAAUUGGCACGCAAUACCUUGGAUUUUUCUUCAACCUUUCAACCACAUAGCCCAACAUCAAUCAUCAUGCCCUCCUCCUCCUCCUCGCCCCUCUCACUCUCUCUUCACCACCAUCAUCAUUACCCCCUCAUCACCUCCACUACCUCAUCCCACCACGACUCCUUUAUCACUCACCACCAACUUCACAUCCCAAAACCAAAACGAGGAAAGGCACAAGAAGAAGAAGACGAAGAAGAAGAAAAGGAAAGCAAGAAAAAAAAGGUUCCCUCUUUUGAGAAAAACAAACCAGUUGCCUUUCAGCUAGAAAUGUCUUUACUAUAGAUAUUGAAGGGUCUUUUUCACCAAAGGAUCCAACAUCUUCUCGGGGAAUCAAGCGUCUCGGUCCGAUCUUUAAUUUGCUAGAUCAAGCAAAUCUCUACAAGGGUUUUCAUUUUGUUUCUUUUUUCCAUGUUCAUCACUCGCUAAAUAUAUAACUAGUUUGCUUUUAAUAUGUCAAACUUCUAUUAAGUACUACUUAUGGUAUUUUUAUGAUUUUAUAUAUUUUUGAUGAAACCAUGUUGAUGCUUUUUGGCUAUGUUUGUGUUUGUAAUUUUGAAUAGAUCUUAAUUAAUCAUUCUGAUCACAUCUCUAUCUACCUAUGUUUGUUUAAAUGUUUAAAAUUACAUCAACUUUUUUCUUCGAUUCUAGCUUGUUUCAUGAUAUCUAUGUAGGUGGAAUUUAUUGCUGCUCACAAAGAUAUAUGAUUUGCAGUAAGUGGCUUUCUCUUCUUGUUGAAACCAUCAACAAUCGCACACAGUGCAAACUUUCCAUUCUCAAUGACCUAUAAGCAAAAUUUUAACAUGUCAUGCUGCAAGCUCAUGGUACACAUAAUAAAUUAGGGUUUGCUUCUUUCAUGCAUGAAAGAUCAUUAUAGCUCCUUUCCUAACAUCCUUACUUGAUCUUCUUAAGGUCAUCUAUAUAUGGUAUUCAUCAGUUCUAUAACCAAGUCCAUGGGAGCUUAUAGUACGCAUAUGCCUAUGCCUUCAAUAUGUGUGUGUGCAUGUGUGUGUGUGUGUGUGUGUGUGAGAGAGAGAGAGAGAGAGAGAGAGAGAGAGAGUAUGCAUAUGCCUAUGCCUUCAAUAUGUGUGCGUGUGCGUGUGCGAGUGUGUGUGUGUGUGUGUGCGAGAGAGAGAGAGAGAGAGAGAGUCUGUGUGUAUGAUGUGCUUGUCUCUGUCUAUAGAUGUGCUAACAUUACAUAUGUCAACUAGAGUUAUAGCUUGUCCAGAAAUCUUGCAUUUCUAGCCUGCAUAAGGCCUUGGGGAUGUAUAUCUUUUUUUGUUUUUGUUUUUUUCAGUACUCAGUUGGAAAAUUAGGAGAAGAGCAUUGUUAAUCCAGGAACCAGGUACUGAUCAAUUUAUACCUCAUUCCCCGGUUUUCCAUGUCUGAGGAAUUUCAUUUUCCAUUUUGUCUCUUUAGCACAGGCAUUCUCUUCUCUAACAUUCUGACUUUGAUCUGAAAUUUCCUUGUACUCACAUAACACUUUUCACAUGGAAAAUGAUAUGUCCUAGCAGGAUUCUUCCAUAAUUAGAACAAACAAUCCACAGCCUUCGCGUGCAUUAACAGUUGCAGUCAAAUCUUCAAAAAUGCUUAGAGUCCACAUUGCAUCUCUUGAGAUUUACUAAAAGACAACAGCUUGUUGAUGGCUGCUAUUGCUAAGUCUUUGCAUAAAAUUAGUAGCAGCAAAUAUCUAACAUAAAGAGAAAUAUUUGGAAUACAUAUAUACAUGCAUCCCUACAUAUGCAUAUAUGUAUUUUUCAGUACAUUUAAACAUAAGCACAAAACUUUCUUAACUAUCAUAGGUUGACCCACCAAGCCCCGCUAGCUUUAAUAAUAAUACUCGUUUGACCAAGCAAUAUGUAUAAAAGUUAAACAUUAUAAACAAUAUAAUUGGUAUGGUAUUGAUUAGUUUGACGCCAUUGAAGCCUGUUCAUUGAGAUGUCUACUCAAAGCUUCUGUACCUACGCACGCCAUGAUGCCUAUAGAGUCAACAAAAAAAAAGUGGCUUGCAUGUUGUUCUUCGAAUAUUAGGAAUCUAAGUGCUUGACAAAGAAUUUAGUGCUUUGCAAAACUAUAAUAUCAUCAGAGAACUUAUCUCCAAUAAGUAGACUGCAAGAGUUUCUGCAAAUUGAAACGAUGCGCGCAGUAGCUCCGUUCAUCAAAAUCUAGGCUUUAAUUCAUUCAUACCUCAAUCUCCAUCAACAACUAUUUAUCACAAUAUAUAUUGCUUCUUAAUUUGACGUUUAUUGUAUUUAUAGUUUGCAUUAUUGAUAUUGUAAUUUCUUUAUUAUAUUUCUUUUGGAAUUUGUUUUCAAUUUCUAUUCAUCAAUUUUCUUUUUCGGUUAAGAUACACCGUUUUCAUGUUUAUUUGUUGAAAACUCAGUAAGUUUUCAUUUUCCCCUUCCUUUUUCUUUUGCAUAUAUGGUAGAGACGUGACUUUAUCAAAGUCCUCGCUAUGUACAAAACGUGACAUGAUUCCUGAAGAUGAAAUUUGGUCACCAUAAAUUACAGUCUAUGUUGAUAAAAAAUUAUUUUUAAUAACCAGGAGCUAUGGUGACGGCUACUAGCUGAGCAGUAUGGUCAUAUGGUUUUUAAUCAACAUAGGCUACAACAUCACAUAAAAAAAAAGUGUUUUCGGUACCAAAAAAAUUGGUCACAAGAACCACGAAGUGUUGCAGUGUUCAUCACAUUUGCAAUGGUAGAUUAAUCCUCACACAUGACAUAUGAAAUCGUAGACUUUUCAUGAUUGUGUUAUAGGCUACUGGGGUGAUGGCAUGGGUUGUUCCUGAUAAAAAUUAGCCCGGAUAAAAGACUCUUAAAUACUUAAAUUGAUAAAUGUAGACGAAGAAAAUAAUAUAUAGAAAAAGAAAAAAAAAUCAAGUUAUAGAAAGUGUAUAUUUAGGUAAUAUGUAUAUGUAGUAGUUAGUUAGAAAUAGCCUGGCUCUAGUUGUGAAUGUUCUGGCUUUUAUGUGGCUAGAACAUACGUGGCAUGGUCUAGUACCUUUGCAUGACCAAUAGCCUUGGCUUUUGGGGUUUUAUGGUUAUUUAUAGCUUUGUCAGCCCAAAAGAUGAAAUAUUUGGCUCUUGCUUGAUAAUUGAGUGUAUUUAUACACGUAGUUCUUGAACUUCUUCAUGUAGAAUGAGAUGUGUCAUUAAUUGAGAAUGUAUGUGCUUUCAGUUUUGUCCAUGCUUUUAGGGAACAAAACUAUUGGCUAACUAUGGUGGCACAUUGAUUGUUGUGUCAUACCAUUGUUGUGCCAUGGAGAUCAUUGGUGGAAAUGUUAGUGAUGGACAAUGUCAUUAGUGUAGAAAAUGAUGUCUUCUCUUUAUAGAAAAGGUUGUCUAUAUGUAGAAAACUUAUAUGGAUGAAGAUUAUAUGUGUGGCUCCUAGAAACCUAAAAAAAUGCAUAAAAAAGUAUGUUGGGUAGGAUUAGACAGACUAAGGUCAUUAUGAGUGUCGAUAUGAAAUUCUUGUUGUUUGGGCUAGAAACAUUAAUGGCCCCAACGACUAAAUUUUCUUUUUUUAAUUUAUGUGUUAUUAUUUGCCCCCUAAAUCUUUUAAAUAAUCAUGUUUGGAAGAUUUUAACCAGCAAAAAUAGAAAAAGAAAAUUCUUCUUGUAUAAACAUUACCUCGGUGGCUAUGUUUGCAUGAGAAAUUUUGCCUUUAUGGUUGUGCUUUCAUGAAACAUGAAUGUUUUCCUUUUAUAGCUUUUGUUAACAUGAGAGUUUUUCUUGUAAUGGAGAGGAAGUUUUAUCAAUUUCCAGUAGAAAAUAGUAUUAUUUGGAAAAUAAAAAAUGCUUGGUGAUCCCGAAAGAAAUGCUAAAAUAUAAUGUAAAAAGGUUUUGCAUGUUGAGAUUUUAAUAAAUCUUGUCAUGGAGAUUUUGAUAUAAUAGAGACAAAGCGAUCUUGUCAUGGAUAUAUUUCAAUGAGUCAUGGAGAUUUCAAUGGAGACAUGAAGAUUUUCCUAGUGAUAUUUUUUUAUGGAGAUAUAUUUGAAGACAUGGAGAUCUCGCUGUAGAGAUUUUAAUGAAUUCAUGAAGACUGUGAUGGUUGCAUAGAGACAUGGAGAAAACAUCAUUAUUUUUAUUUAAAAUUUCAAAAGAUAGAGAUGCAAUUUUGAAAAUUAUCUAAUCUCAUGUAGUGCAUUAUGAGGAUUUUUUUCUUGUUUUUUUCAUGUUGCAUCUCUUUCUUCAUAAAUUAUUGAAUGUAUCAUGUAAAGAUCAAUCUCUAGGGUAUGACAUUCUUCAAUGUUAUAACCAUGGUCAUAAUGAAAGUGAGAGAACUUGUUAAGAUUCUUUAUGUUUAUGCUACUAUUAAUUAGAGGUGGAUACUGCAUAAAAUACUUUCCCUGAAUAACAGCAAACACCUCAAUAUCUGUAGUGGUAAAAGGUGUGGUAAAAAAACUCAGCGAAUGUUAAGCAAUCAUAGUCAGAAUAAAAAUAAUAGAACUUGUUAAGAUUCCUUAUAUUUAUGCCACUAUUCAUUAGAGGUGGAUACUGCAUAAAAUGCUUUCCCUGAAUAAUAGCAAACAUCUCAAUAUCUGUAGUGGUAAAAGGUGUGGUCAGAAGCUCAGUGAAUGUUAGGCAAUCAUGAAUGGAUCCCUUGGUGCUCCUAUUGGAUAAUGCCCUAUAAUUAAUGGUGUUGUAGAGAUUCUGCUAUUUGAAAAUCAGAGUGUCCCUAUCUGAUGACACUUGCUUCUUCUAUCUGAAUAUGUUUCUUCAUUUCUUGUUUUACAUUCAAGAGAGUCAUGUUAAGGAGAGUAUACAUGAGUUAUUAUAAUGAGUAGUUAUAGACUUUACAAAUCAAGGCCUUAGUGAUAAUUAUUUCGAGUAGAUUUUUCAUGUUUAACAUUUUUUUAUUGAAUCUAUAGAGAUAUGCUCUAGUGCUCUCAUCUUUUUAUAGUUGAUGGUAAAAAGCUCAGACGUACUCUUUUUAGUUAUAAUGCUAAUACUGAAAAAGAGAUCAUCAUAACACAUAGAUCAUGAAAGUUAAUGAUGGAGCUAGGUUUUAGAUCGUGAUACCACACCCUAGUAUAUCAAUGAAAUGUUGUUAGAAAAACCUUGCACAUGGCGUCACUCUUUUGUGUCACAAGUUUUAAGAUUCUUAUGAUGUUUUAGAUGUGCUAUCUAGGAUAUAUAAGACCAUCAUAAUUAUCCAAGUAGGCAUGUACAAAUGCAUAUUUUUUAGAGAGGUAAGGGUAUAACACUCGAUAAAAAAAUAAAGUCUUCCACUUGGUAAGAAUAGUGUUCAUUCUUGAAAGUUUAUACAAUCAUUAAUCAUAUAUUGUGUUUAGGUCUUUUUCAUCAUGGAAUAUACGAGUAAUAGUUAAAGGAGGAUUGAUAGAUAUAGCCAUAUAUGUGGCAAGAAUCUAUAAAGGUGUGUUAUUUAUAGCGAGAGUGGCUUCUUUGUAAAGUUGGAAUAUCAUGCAUACUUUGCAUGUCAUUUUAUCUUGUUCCUUCAUGAAACUGAAGUGGUGUUUAUGCCUCUAGUGCAUAUGGUGUUGUUGCAUGCUAUAUUUCUUAUUGAUGGAAUAAAAGAGUGUGAAGCCAUUUUUGUAAGGCUAAAACAAUAUAUUUUUUUUUUAGCACUUGCACUUUUGCAUGGGCAAUGGCUUUGGCUUCUGGCUUUUUAUUACUAUCUAUAACUCUUCCUUCCUAAAGGAUGGGAUUUGGCUCUUGCCUAAUGAUUGAGUGUAUUUAUACUAACAAAUCUUGAACUUUAUUCAUGUAGAAGGAGACAUAUCAUGGAAUGAUAAAUUGGUAUGCUUGUCAGUUCUAUCCAUGCUUUUAGUAUAGGAAAAAACUAUUGGUUAUUAUGUAUUCUAUGGUGGUUGUGUCAUGCACGCUAUUGGUGAAAAUGUUAGUGAUAGGCAAUGUUAUUAGCAUAGAAAAUGGUGUCUACUCUGCAUAGGAAAAGUUGUGUGCACGAAAAUUUUAUGUGUAUGACUCCUAGAAACCUGAAAAACAUAUAGAAGGGUGUGCAAGGAUAUGAUUGGAUAGAUUGAGAUCAAUAUUAAUGUUAGAUAGGAAUUCUAGCCAUUUGAGCUAGCCUAAACAACUAAUUUGUUUUAUUUAAUUUGUGUAUUAUAAACAAACAUACAUAUAUUCCAGCCAAGUGACUUGCCAUGACUUCUAAAAAUAUAAACGUUUGAAAAGACUUGUUAGGAGGUUUUUCAAGUCUUUUUUAAAAAAAAUUCUUAUAAAAGGUUAUGUGUUUUUAGAAACACUAGAUUUAUCAUAACAACCGAAAAUUAAAUAUAUAAUUAUAACAUUAUCUUAAAUAAACUAACUAAACCAAUCAAAGCAUUUAUUUAAAGUAUUUAAUAUAUAAAAGAAGGAAUAACAAUAUAUUUUCAUUCAUAUCUAUUCUAUUAAAAAAAUAUUACCUUUAAAUAUAAAUUUGAUAAAUUUAUUCAAAUAAAAUAAAAAAUAUCAUGAUAAAUUUAAAUUUAAAUAAUACAUAAUCAAAACAGGUGAAAAAUAUUUAUAAUCACAAUUACAAAGAUUUGAAACAUUAAACUAUACUUUUUUUUUACUUUUAUCUUUUUGUUUCUUCAAAUAAUUCUACAUUAUAGAAUGAGAAAUUCAGAAUAAGUUAUAGCAAUAAAUAAUGAAAAAAAUAUAUAAAAUAUAAUUGGAGAAUAUGGAGCAGUAAAUAGCAUGUAUUUCUGUUGUCCAAUUGUAUAUUAUUUUUCUUAUUUUUGCUAAGAAAAAAAGAGAAAAAUUAAUUAAAAGAAACAAGGACUAAAAGAGAAAAAGAGAAAAAAAAACUUGAAAAACUAACAAUAGUCCAAAUUAGAAACUCAAUAUUAUAUAUUUCUUUCUUUUUUAAAUUCAAAUCUAGUUAAGAGUUAUCCUCUUUUUUUUUUUUUUUUUUUUUUGUAUGAGAAGUCCUAUAGACAAAAAGAUGAAAGUCUAGAGAUGGAACAAUAAAGCCUAAAAAACAAAGUGUCAAGGAAUUUUCAAACUAUUUAACUAGAUGAUUUGCAUUAAAAAAUUAUUCAAUUCCUUCAAAUACAUGAAAAUCAAUACACAACAUAUGUGGCAUAUUGCAGAACACCCAUAAGAUUUCUCUCGACAGUAUAAAAGCUUUUAUAUGAUUAUAUUGUUAUAAAAUGGUGAAUCUUUUAUUCUAACAAUAACAAAUGUAUAAUAAAUAAAAAAGAGAAAACUAAAUAUGAUAUUCUUAAUUAGGGUACAGAAAACAAAAAAACAUGUGUACACUACUAGAAAAUUAAAAAAAAACUAAAACAUCGAUGGAAAAUAUUCCAUCACAGUUUACUAGGGGAAAAUACUAUAGAAAUUUUUCAUCAAUAACUUCAGAUGGAAACGGUGAUGGAAAUAAAAAUAAUUCCAUUAGCAUGUGUCAUAUCACCAAAGAAAAUAUCGUUAAUGAUUUUAAGAAAAAUUAUAACUGGACAGAGUCAGGAGGCUCUCCACAACACAUUUUCCUCUCCUAUAAAAACUUAAAAAAAAAAAAAACCCAAAACCCUCUCCUUUUCUCUCCCUAAAACCUAACAAUCACCUCUUCAAAUCUGACCACAACAACAUGCAAGAACCAACAUAACAGAUCUAUCAAAACCUAAGCUUCCUAUUUUUUUUUUGUUUCUUUUCUUGUUAAGCUUCACUCCACUAAGUAAACAAACCCACUCAUUUAUGUUUUAAUUUAAUCUAUUAAAAUUUAUUUGUAGUAUUUGUAAUUUACUUGUAUAUUUGAGUGUUUUACUUGUUUUAUAAUGAUAAUUUUAUUGUAUUAAUGUAGGGUUUGUAUUUUAGGGUUUGUUUGAGAUUUGGGUAAAAUAAAUUUAAUUUGUCACUUGAUAAGAUUGAGUGUGAUUUUAUAACUUAUUUGUGUUAGAAUUAAGAAAUGAUGAGUAAUUUAAUGGGUACCAAUUAUGUUUUUGUCAAUUUUAUGGUUAAGUUGAAAAUUCAAGGAAAAAUAAUUUUGUUUUGAAUUGAUAAUAAUUAAAUUAUAUUAAUUUAUAUUGAAUAAGUUUGAAUUGAAGAAAUGAUGGAUAAUUAGUUGGGUCCAAUUAAAAUUUGUCAAUUUAGGGUUUUGUUGAAGAUUUAGGAAAAAUUAAAUUAAUUGAUGUUAUUUAUUCUUUAACUAAAUAAAUAAUAGGUUGUUAGUUGGGUACCAAUUAUUUUUUAUAGAUUUUAUGGUUCGGUUGAAAAUCUAUAAAAAAUUAAAUUUGUGUGGAAUUGAUAACAAAUUAGAGUUAAGUAUGCUUCAACUUAUGAAGUAUUUGAUAGUUAUUAGAUUAUAUUUUUUUUUUAAAUUGAGAGAAUUGAGUUACCUUGAAAUUAAAUAAAUGAUGGGUUAUCAAGUUGUUAUUGUGAGUUAUUAUUUUUUUAUGAAUAGUUGAAUUUGUUAUUAGUAUGUUAUAUUAUCAUUUUAGUAUGAGUAAGAUAUUUGUUGGUGCUUUAUAAUGCAUUACAAGUAUAUUUGUUGGAUAAUUUUGUUGUAUGUUUUUCUGAUUUGUGUUCAUUGUUUUCUUUUAGAUACCAAGUUUUCAAGAAAAAACAUGUCUAAGUCCAAUAAGAGCACUCCUAUUUUAUCAAGUAGUAGUGUUGGUGAUCGUGCUAUGAAUUUAGGUGAGGAUUAUGAAGAGACAUCUUUUAUAGAAGUUACUGAUCAAGGUUCAACCAUUGAGGAUCAUAGAUCGAGCAUCCCUUCAUUGAUAGAGCUCAUUUUAGGUAAAUGGAUAGCAUAAUGAAAUGGUGACCUCCCAAUGUAAUUAUUUUGUCUUAUGAUAUUAUUUGUUUUUAUUGAGUUAUUUUUUAAGUUUUAAAAUUAUAUGAAAACGACUUUAUUAAAUUGAUUUUCAUGUUCUUCAAUAUUUCAGCUAUUUGUUUCAUUACAUCUAAAGUGAAGUGGUCAUUUGAAGAACUAUUGUUUCAAUGGAGUCAACUUGUUGACAUCCUGAAUAGAUGCAUAUGGUAAAUGUUUGGUGGGUAAAGUUUAAGGCUAGAUAGAUAAUCUCAAAUUCUAUUAACUAGUUUUUAAAAAUAUAAAAACUAAUUCAUAUAUGAAAUCAAUUAAGAAAGCUAUUUUCAGAAGCAUUCUUUGAAGUUUAUCGCUAAAAGAACGGAAGUGUUCAUUUUAAGUUUUUUGAUAGUUAAUUGGUUUAAGAUUAUUUAUCUGCAUCAAUAAUUGAUAUGUAAUUGAAUUUCAAAAGUUGGAUUUUUUUUCAUUUUAUAGGAAAGAUAUUACCCCAACAUGAUUGAGAGAUUUGGUGAAGACUCUUCCACCCAUCUUCCUUACGAUCCUCAUGUAUAGUUGAUGAUUGUUGUAAGUGAUGGAACCGAUAGGAAUCAGGUUUAUAGUUUGUCUAUGGCAUCGACCUGAGAAUCAAAAGAGGAUCAUAUUAUUUCAACCUUAAGUACACCGUAUGUCGAUCCAAGCUAUUCAUCAUUGGAAUUUGAUGAGAUUGAGUAGAAAAAGGUUUAGGAACGAAUGAUUGUUCAGAUGGAGAAGAUGAGUGCACAACUCUUAUAACAAAAUAGAAUGUAUUGGGCUCAAUUAAGUGUAGCUAUGGAUGUACCUUUUCCUCCCUCUCCUGUACCUUCCACUUUGACAUUUUUUUCCUCCCCCUCCACCCCACCUUUAACAACUCUGAUGUGAUGUACCAGGUAUUUCAAUUAGAAUUUUAAUAGUUUCUGACUAGGUAACUCUUAUUGUUCAUUUCAAAAAAAAAAAAUUAAUGUUUGUGUAUGAAAUUAUAUCUAUUUCAUUGUUGUACACUAUUUAUAUGAAUUUGGUACUAAAUCUUUCAACUAUGAAAACUCACAUGUUUGUGUAAUCUUGUUAGGUUGCUAGCUAUGAUUUUUGUUGUUAUUGUGAUUUUUGUAAGCAAUUGUUGGUUUGGGGAUUAUAAAACCCUAAACAUUAAAAAAAAAAUUUGAAAACUUCUAUAGAAUCGUCAACGCAACGUCAAUUCCAUCGGUAUUUAUGUUGAAAAUUCAACCUUUUUCAUUUUAUUAUUUUGUUGAUAAAAGCUUAUUUUUAAGCGUGAAUGUCCUAUCAACAAUUCCAUUAACAUUUGAAAUUGCCAACAAAAUAAAAGCCUUGACUAGUUAGUUUCUGAUGAUAGUAUUUCAUCGCUAAUAUUUCUAUUGGCAAUCUCCAACACUGACAGAUUUUCCUUAUAUUUUUGGUAGUGGUAUAAUUUUGAAUUUGUUAACAUUAUUUCUCCUUCAUUCCCUUAAUAAAUGUCCAUCCGCCCUUCCAAUUUUUUAGGAACUAAAAAAACAAAUUAGUUAUUUUUGUUUUUAAAAAAUAUAUUAUUCUUAGUUAUUUAUAUUAGUCAAUGCUAUUAAUUUUUAGAAAAUUUGAAAAAUAAUAAAGAAGUGAGUUAAAUUAUAUAAUCAUUAUAUUUGAGCUUAAGCACACUUAAUUGAGGUCGCAAGAAAUAAAUAAUAAGUUAUUUAUUUAGGUACUGAAGGAAUAUAACUUUAAUAACCAAAAUCAUAAAAAUAAUUAUUAGAAGGUUGUUCAAAGUAAGAAAAUGAAUAAUUAAAAAAAAAAAAGACAAGGAAAUAUAAAAGACAAAGACCUUGGCUUAAUACCUAACCUAACCCGGUGUUUGGGAAUACGGUAGUGGUUGCUUUUUAAAAUGUUUUUCGGUCGAAAAUACAUCAAAAUAAAAAAAAAAUUAUUUUAAAAAAAUUAUUUUUGAUAUCAGCACAUCAAAAUGAUCUGAAAAUAUCAAAAAAAAAUAUUAAUUUGAGGUAAAGAAAAAAAUAAAAUUUAAUUUAAUUUUUUUAAAUAUACUUUUAAAAUGCAAAAAGAAAUAGAGGCAUACAUUGAGCGAAACGAGGAUAUAUGUUUUUUACAUCUAAAACUUUAAAAAUAUAUAUUUCUUAAAUCAUAUAAUGUAAUUGUAUAUUUUUUAUGUUUACAAAUUUGUUUUGUGAUGAGAGCUUUCAUGUGAAAGUGGCAUCAAUCGGUUUUAUAAUUGUGAUUUCUCUUUAUUUUUUUUCUGUCUUCUUAUAUUGUAAUGAUUAUUAUUUUUAAAUUUGUAACGUAACAAUGUGGAUAAUUAAUACAAAAUCAAUGGAUAAGAUUUAGAAGUAAGGAUAUGGAUUGGAGGAUAUUAAUUGGAUAUUAAUUGUGAAACCCCUGGAAAUUUAUAAUUUAAAUAUGUAGAUGUGUAAAUCCUCAUGUAAACGUAAGACUGAAAGUGGUAAUAUUUCAAUGAGUGAUGGAUACCAAGAUUAGAAAUAAUAGAUAAAUAAUGAUAUAUAAUGGAAGGGAUGACCUUUAUAAAAUGAAUUUUGGUUUAAAAUUCAUAAGGACAGAGAAACUGGUAACGUGUUUUGAUGGAUGAAAUAAUGAGAAAAAUGACAAUAUUUUUAGGAAAUAAGUGAGAUAAUAAAGAAUACAUCAUAAUAAAGGAUAGUACAAUGAAAAAGGUAGGACUGAAGGUACAAGCACCGCUUAAAAAUCAUUGAUGUUAUUUUGAAACGAUAAUAAGCCCGAUAAAUAAAUAAAGGUGGAAAUCCUAAAAUGAAUACAUUCCAAAAUAAUUAAACAACCUUAAAGGUUUAGAAUGAUAAUUGAUAUGAUUUUUUUUUUGUGGAGAUUAAACAAGAAAAAUCUAGAUUGUUUAUGAAAAGUUAUGAACUGAUCAAUUUUAUAUUAGGAAGCAGAGCUCUCAAUCCAAUCGUCGGAUCGGGAUGAAAUUUUAUAUGAAGUCUAUCAAUAUGUUUUCCCACCUUGGUUAAAUAUCUCAUUCCAAUCGGAGUUUGGUAAAGACUAGCGAUUUAAACAGAAAUAAACCAGAUAAUUUACAUGAAAAAUAAAAUAAAAUACAUAAAAGCAUGAAAGAGGGAUAAAAUUGUAAUUAUGAAAAAAAAGGUGCCUAUAAAACUGCAAAGAGGCCACCAGUUUAAAGAAAAAAAAAGAAAAGCAAAAAGAUAGAGAAAAGCGGAUUAGGGGAGAGAGCUGCAGAUUUUGAAGAAAACCAAUAAUGCUCCGGUGGCCAUAUCUCUGGAAUCCACCAUUGGAUCAUGCUUAUUUUUGGAUAUGUUGUUCACAUUACACUCCUCUACUAACUGACCGGAGCGAUUGGAAGGAACAUAAUCCGUUUGACAGAAAUCAUCAUCUGGAAUUUCCUGGAAAACAAAAAGGAAAUGCACCUGCAGGGCAGUUUGGUCGCCGAUCGAUUUCUCUCUCUUCCACCGUUGGAUCAUUCUCAGUUUUGGAUAUGUGGUGCGCCUCUGGACGGUGGAGAUCGAAAAAUAUUUCUCCGGCAAGGUUUCGUGCAUGUUGAACAGUAGCUCGUCCAUUUUCAGGUAAGCUCGGUUUUCUUCCAAUCUAGGGAGAUUUAACCGUUGGAGCAUUAUGAUUUUGAGAUAUAUUAUGCACAACUCUAUGAUAUGUAGUCUGACCGUUGGGUUUGAAACAAUAAUCAGAGGUUGAUGACUUAUUGCCUUUUGAAUCUAUUGCUAGUUUUGGCAAAAUGUAGUAAGCUUGAUUAAAUACAUGUUUUGAUGAAAUUAGAAUUGUGUGGGUGUAGGUUUUAUGGAAGAUGUAAUGGUAAAAUAUGUUCUUGUUAUUAGUAUUAUUAUAGAUUAAUUGUGUAUUCUUUAUAUGAGGGGAAGAAUGAUUAUUGUGUAAGAAUAGUAAGGAAUAUUGCUAUAUGAACAUGUUGAUUGAAUAAAACAUGUUGAUUGAAUAGAAAGCUAACUUGUUGUUUGUGUGGAUAUAAAUAGGGUGGAACCAUGAAGAAAUUGAAAUGAAAGAAAUUUGGAAAAUAAAACAUAUUUAAAGCUAGCCAUAAGUGUUUUUAGCAAAUGGUUAGUUAAUGAAGGUUGUCAUGGAUCCCAAUUAGUAGGGUGAAAUUAUUGUUGUGAUAAUGAUCUAAGAAUAUUAAUUGUUAAGGUUUGCCGCAUAUGUUUAAUCGCAUGAGGAGAAAGCGAAAGAAAAUGAAUAGUUCAUCAUUUUGUUGUAUUAAUAAUAAUAAUAAUAAUAGGAGAAAUCUCAAAAGGAAUGAGUUUUCUUAUUUUGGUCUAAUCUUGCUAUAUUGUAGAGGUAGGGAAAUUGUUUGAAUGUUUUGCUUUAGAAUUGGUUUGAAUUUGUGAUUUAAUGAUGCCAAAUGACCUUGGGUGAUGUUGCUUUUGCAUGAAAAUAAGUUGGAAGUUGUAAAGGAUUUUCAAGGAAUGAAAAUCCUCGUUGUCCAAAAUUUUAGCUAUAAAGAAGAGGUUGUUGUGAUUGUUGAUUUUGAGCCUUAAAACAAAAUAAUUUGAAGUUGGUUUCUUAAUAAAAGUUGUAUCUCUAUGUUUAGCCUUUCAUAGAGAUAAAUCACGCCCAAAACUGAGUUUUACAACUUUAGUUAUGAUUAAGACACUAGAUAGUAUUCUAGGUUAGUUAAUCUUAAUUGAUCGGAAUUAGACAAUUUUUAAUCGUUGCUUGGAAUUGCUGCUGAGUGAUGAUUUUGAUAACAAAAUUAUAAGAAUGAAUAUAAACAUUAAAAUGAGUAAGAGUAUGAGAUCUUAAAGAAAAUUCCUUGUGAUUAGUUUGAGAAUACUAGUUGAAUGAGAAUUAAAUGAAGAUGUGAUGUUGGUUGUAUUGUUGAUAAAAAUUGAAUCUCUGGUGGUACAGGGAAAGCUGUGGGGACUGGACAAUUGCAUGGAGUGGCAGCACGUGCACCUAUUCUAGGUAGGUGAUUCAUCAUCUUAUUUUGUAAUUAUUAGUUUUUCUUAAAUAUUUGUGUUGUGUCUUUAAUUGAUGUUAAAAGAAUGAAGCAAAUGAAUAAGUUGAGUGAUUAUUACAAAUGAGAAUUAUUCGUAAUUUAAGAGAAAUUACCGAAAUUAUUUGGCUAACAAAAAAGGUUAGCCGGGUGCUGGGUAAUUCGUAUGGAAUUACCGGAUUGAUUGUGGCAACCAAGAUGGGUUAGCCAGAUUUCUUGGGUAAUUAAGAGAAUUACCGGGUUUAUUGGUUAACAAGAAAGUUAACUGGAUAAGGGGUAAUUCAUAUGGAAUUACCGGAUUGAUUGGCUAACAAAAGAGGUUAGCUGGAUGAUGGGUAAUUCGUAUGGAAUUACCGGAUUGAUUGGCUAACAAAAGAGGUUAGCCAGAUGAUGGGUAAUUCGUAUGGAAUUACCGGAUUCAUUGGCUAACAAAAGAGGUUAGCCAGAUGCUCGGUAAUACGUAUGGAAUUACCGGAUUGACUUUGGCAACCAAGAUGGGUUAGCCAGAUUUCUUGGACAAUUAAGAGAAUUACCAGGUUUAUUGGUUAACAAGAAAGUUAACUGGAUAAGGGGUAAUUCGUAUGGAAUUAUAGGAUUGAUUGACUAACAAAAGAAGUUAGCUGGAGGCUGAGUAAUUCGUAUGGAAUUACCAGAUGUAUUGGUAACCGAGGAAGGUUAACCAAAAGUGUGGGUAAUUAUAUGAAAUUACCAGAAUUAUUGGCAAUCGAGAUGAGUUAGCCGGAUAGUUAAGUUUUGAAAAGAUUAUGUGAAUUAAUUGAUUAAAGUUAGAAAUAGUAAAUUCUAAAUGUUAUGAGUAAAAUAAUUAAUAUAUGACGAAUAUAUUGAGUAAAUUAAUUAAUGUGGUUAUUGGGUAAACACAAUGACUUGGAGAUUGGAGGGGAAUUGAUAGAUAAUUGGUUACCAUAGUGUUGGUGGCUAAGGAUACAUUACAAUGAUACUUAACACCAUAAUGAUGGUGGAUAAGGGCAUAAAUUGAUACUUGGCAAUGUGAUGAGGGUGAUCAAGGUUAUGUGACGGAUGCUUAGUGACCGUAGUGUCGAUAACUAAGAUUGUGUGCAAAUGAUACUUGGCAACCGUGGUUACAAUGCAUAUGAUGUUAAUAAGAAAAAUAAAAAGGGGUUCGGUACGAAUGGAAGAAUCAAAUGGCAUUGAUUAGCCAUCCAGGUUUGGAUUGCUAAUGGUAUCGAUGAAGUUUCAUCGGUGCCGGUAUUUCUUAAAUUGAUUAGUCUAGCCCAAUAUUAGAAGACUAAUAAUACUAAUGAGAUUUAUUAGUUUCAGCGAUUACCUUCUAGCAACAGAUUCAGAAAAAGGAAAAUAUUGAUUAGUUAUUCCAAAAGAAUGAGAUAAGCUAAUAAUACCAAGAGAGGAAUAUCUUGGUAUCAAGUGAGAAUUGAUUUAUAAAGAGAUGGUGUUCGCAAACCGUUGAGUUAUGUUGAGAUUUCCAAGAUGGAAUUAUUCUUGGCAAAUGAGAUAGGAUAUUAGAUGGAUAUUGGUAAUAGAUGAAAAAUAUAUGUUGUAAAAGAGGUUUAUGUCUAAUUUUAUAUAUCAAAAGAAAUUCCGUAGAGAUUAUUGUCUGCCAUUGUUAUUGCUUGUUACUAUCUUUUAUAUUUAUGUGUACAUGUUAAUUUCUAUUUUCAGGUCCAUCAGGGUCGCGUCAAGGGUAAUGCUAGUUUAGAUAUCUUUUGCUUUUGACUAUGUAAAUUAUAAAACUUGAGAUGUAAUAUUAAUCCGUAAAUUUGAAUGUAUGUCUUUACUCUAAUGGUUUAAACUCUUAGUACCUAUUUGACCAUGCAUAUUUAUAGUUGAAAUUGAAUCUUUCAUUUGAACUAUAUUAUAUGAUGUUAUUGAAUAAGAUGUGUUGUGUUGAUGAUAAUGAGUUGGGUUGAGACCCAGGAUGAUUGGGUCGUGAUUUUGAGUUAUGAGAUGUGAGAUAUUAGAAGUGUAAACAGGGUAUAUAUCGAUAACUUGGGACCUACCAGUAUAGGGGAGACUCUGCUGAAAUUUUGGUAGAAAUUUUGGUGGAACCUAUAUAUCACAAAAAAAAAAAAUUUACCUGAAAAUUUCCAAAAUAUCACGAAAAAGAAUGUACAAAUAUCGGGGUUGUUACAUUAAUUUAGGGAUAAAAUGUAUUUAAAAAAUUAAACGUUUAGUUUAAUAAAAGAAAGAUAUAAGCAUGUGCUAUAUAUAAAUAAACUUAUAAACAUAUAUAUCAUGUUAUCAAAGACUAAAAUAUAUACAAUUUCUAGCAGAGCAUACUAAAUAUAUAUUCAAAAAAACAUAAGCAAAUGAAAAACAAUCCUAGCAUUUAUAGUAAAGAAAAAAAGGUUGAACAAAGAAAAAGAAUUGUAUUUGCUUGUUGAAACACUUUAAAAUUGAUGAAGUUUGUUGUUGUCAAAAAUAAAUUAUUUGUUCUUAAAACUUUAUUACUCAUUUCUUGGUGCAAAGGAUGUUUGCAAUAAAGCUUCCAAGAUUCCAACACCACCAACUUAAUUUAUAUGCACUUCUAAAAAAGGUAUUUGAAUAAAAAAAAUAUGUAACUUAAAUAUCUCUCAAUAAAACGGACCUAAACUCUAGAUUUUAAAGGAAAAUCAAAGUUUAAAAGUGAAAUGAGAAUAAAAUAUUAAAAUAUGAGGUGAGAAAAAAUGUAUAAAAAUCUAAAAAACAUUGUAUGAAACUCUUCCUUCGCCCCCCCCCCCCCCUCCUCUUUUAUUGUGGAUUUUGAAAGCUAAAAAGUUGAAGAAUUAAUUCUGGUAAUAAUCAAAAUUAAUUUCCGCCAUUAGCAACAUUUUAUUAGCUACUAUAAAUCAAGAAUUAAACUUAAAUAUGGUAGCCAUAAAUCUAGAUUUGUUUUAGCAAAAACAAAUUGUUCAGGUUUUGCAGAAAAAUCUUCUACAAUAGACUGUUAACAUUCAUAGGAUGAACAGGACAAAACAAUGAGCUGAAAAAAAUUCUUCAUGCACUAAGCACAAGUCCAAAUUUCAGUUGGCAAAAAAAUAAUUUUUUGGAGCCCAAAAUAUUAUUUCAUAAUAAGUUCAAACCUAGGCCUAGGCUUGAGCACAAGUUAAGCCGGUGUGUGAUUGAGUUUAAGUCUAAAGCUCACUUUACUUAGGACCUUUCCCCUUCAAAAGUUUGGGUGUCAUUUGGGAUCAAUUUUAACUUCUUAGAUUUUCACUUUAUAAACACUAAAAAAGUUUUAUUUCUUUUCUAUGUGUGAUAAAGUUAAUUUCGAGAGUUUUGAGUUUAACCAAAUACACAAACUAAGAGAUCUUUGAGAUUAAUUUCUCAUUCAACCAUAAUUUAUUUAAAUCAUAUUAAUGUUUCAUAUCAAAGAGCUUAUGUUGGAGAUUAGAUUCUAAGAAAACCUUAACCCAAAAAUUGAGUGGAUCUCAUUUUUAAUUUGGCUUUAAAUGUGUUUAUUAACCAUGUUUUAAUAAAAAUUCCAACAAAAAAAAGCUCUAUAUUAACAGAACUCUAAAACGUGUGGGUUUUCUACUGUACAUGAAUGCACUGUGGACUGAGAGAUAAUUCACUAUGGACUUACUGUAUAUGCAUGCACUAUGGACCACGAGACAAUUAACAGUGGACUUGCACAGUUACUUUUCUAUGUAUUAAAACUUGCACGGUUGCUUUGUUAUAUCUUAACACGUAUGGGGAUUUUCUACUGUACAUGCACUGUGGACCAAGGUAUAAUAAACUGUGGAUGGCACUGUAGCUCCUUGGGGGCGUUCCUUGCCUAUAUUUUUAGUCAAGAAUUGUGGUUAGGAUGACUCAUUUGAGUUUUGCCAUUAAGGUGAGAGUGAUGCAGCGGCAGAGGCAACAAUUAAUUAGAUCAGGCCGUCGACACCUGGCGUUUGGGUUGCCAUGUAAGGGGUGUUAGGGCCAGCCACGUGCCCCUAGCUGCGGCCCUAGGCAGCGGACACCUAGCGCUAUGGCUGGCCAAGGCCUCAGCAUGGCGAAUCCACUGCUCCUGCUGUGGACUAAGGGGCGAAGCGGCUCGACGUCAGGAGAGGGGUAGAAGGCUAGAGGCCACAUAAUAAGUGGUAAUUCAUUAAAAGCACGGAUCGAACGAGAAGAAUGGGAUUGGGUUCAGUUAAGGUAACCUAGAGGGUGAAAACUAGAUAGAGAAAUAUCUUUUUGAGUAUUAUAACAUGAAAAUAAAUUAAUAUAAAAAGUAUAAUAUAUAAAAAAAGUAUAAAAAAUAUAAAAAGUAUUCAUAUCAAACAUAAAAGAAAAGAAAAAAAUAUUAUUAUUUCCUUUUUACACGAAUGAAUAUUUUGAUGUGAGUAUAUAAAAAUGGAUUUUAAAACAUAACAAAUAUAUUAUUAUUUGAUAAAUACUGUGAUAAAUAUUAUUAUUAAUAUCAUAUCAACUUUGGUCAAGUAAGUUUCAUAUUAUUAUUAAUGUGAUAAAUAUUAUUAUUAAUGUGAUAAAUAUUAUUAUUUGUAUUAUAAUUAUUAUUCUUUUUAGUUUAAUUAAAUGUAUUAAAUCAGAAGUAAAUCGCAUGAUGACGUAGCAUUUGUAAAAUUUGAUCGCAAUCCCAAUUUUGUUUCUGAUGAUAUUUUACCUGAUGUUGUUGCACGCUCAAAAAGCCAUGAAAACCGUAGUCCUUGUCGGAUAGAUUUCGUAUGUGAUGAAAUUGCAAAUAGUUUAAUGGAAUAAUAAAAAAUACUUUAUAUAAAGUAUUGUUUAUUUCAUGAUAGAAUAGUAGUAGUUAAAUUUAUAAUAUUUCAAUUAAAAGCCAUUAAUAUUAAUAUAUGUUUUUUUUAGUUAUUUUAUAAUCUCAAUUUGAAAAGCAUUCUUAACUAAACACAUUAAAUUAUUUUUUGUUCAACUUCAAUUUUAACCAUAGUUUUAACCAAAUAUAUAUUUUACCAAAUCCACCUCAACUAAAAAUAUUUUUUAUAAAAUAAAUUUUUUAAAAUUACAACUAUAAAAACUAGCUCUGUGCAAAAAAAAAAAAAAAAAAAAAAAAAACCCAUUAUGCAACUUCUACUUCUAUGAUCAAUAUACAAUUUAUAUUUCUAAGUGCAUGGUUGCCACUUAGCGUUAGAUGCUCUGAAGGUAGGGCCCUAUUUGACAGUGUCCCAACACGUUUUGUCCAGGCCUAGCCCACCUUGGCACUCAUUCUCAUACAAUAUGGCGUUAACUUAGUGAUUAGUGAUUAGUGAUUAGAUAGUUAUCUCAAAUGAUUAUAUCUAAGGUUGUAUUUAUUUUUGCAUUCAAAAAAAUAUUUAAUUUUUUUUAUUUUUUAAACAAUAUAUUCUUUAAUUAACAUUCAUCCCAUGUAAGGAAAAAAUUGAUAUAAACUCUAGGAAUAUAUAUAUAUAUAUAUAUAUAUAUAUAUAUAUAUAUAUAUAUAUUUUGAUGAUUUUUAAUUUAAAUAUUGCAGAUUUAACUACUAUUAUUACAUCAUUAAGUAAAUAAUAUUUUAUAUCAAAUAUUUUUUAUUAUUCCAUUAACUUAUCUACAAUUUCAUCACGUAUGAAAUUCAUCUGAUAAGAACUAUAGUUUUCAUGGUUUUUUUAGCGUACAAAAAAAUCAGGUAAAAUACCAUCAGAAACAAAAUUGAAAUUGCGAUCAAAUUUCAUAAAUGUUAUGUCAUCAUGCGAUGUUCUUCUAAUUUAUGUACUGUUAUUAAAUAAUAUUAAAUACUAAUUUUUUGAGUAAAAUACAAUUUUUUAAAAAAUAAUUUUUUUUACCGGGACGCGGUUCAAUAAAUAGUGGAGACACUGUUCAUGUGAACAGUUCCAUGUAGGUAGAAUCAUGGCACUGUUCACGUUAACAGUGCCCAUAUGAAUUUUAAUUCACCUAGCAGUCGAGAGAAACGCAGCUCUCAGCUGCUGUGCGGAACCGCUGGUUUCAACCCAAAAUACAUGGGUCCCACACAACACAGUCAAGUGCUUUUCUUUGUUACUAAAUAUGAUGUUUACGUGGUUGGUUUUAAAAGCUAAAGCUAUCACAUAAACAAACAAACAAAGAAUUUUCUUCUUUGAAAACAAUCUUAAUUAACAUCACUAGAACUUUUUCCCAAUGAUCUAGGCCACUUAUGUGCAUCACAAGUCUUUUUUUCCUUAUUAAUUGUUACUGACUUAUGACUUAAGUAUUGGAUGAUUUCUUCUUGCUAGCCCAACAAGCUUAACCAUUUGAGUUGGUGACAAAAACAAUUUAGAGUUUUUGGAUUGUUAUUAGAUUUUAAUGUUAAAAACUCAAAUUCAUUCAUCUUCCUAUUAAUUUCUUAAGCUCAAGUCAGGAAUUUUAUGGAUAAAUAUUUCUUUAAUUUUUAAUUUUUAUAUUUAUUUAUUUAUUGAGAAAUAGAAUAGAGAAUUAAGUAAGAUGGAUAAAUUUAACAGAUAAAAUAUUUUUGAAAUAAUAAAACUAGAUUGAAGAUUUGGCAACAUUAAUAAAUGGUUUGUUUUUUUGUUUUUUUAAUUUGAAGCCAUAUGACUUCCAUGUGGUCAAGACCUUUCUAUGUGUCAUCUUGCUUUCUUAAGAUUUUUGUAUCGACAGCAUGCGAUGAUUUGUUGCUACUUGACAGAUCGAAAAGGUAAAUUCUUCAAGGCUGGCAUGCUCAUAAGAGUUUGAAUGCUUUGGUUGAUUUGAAAUCCCUUUAUAAAUAUAUAGUCACAAAAAUAAUUCAAAAAUAUGGAAGGACAUUGUCUUGACACGACAGUAAUUUCCUUUGAAAUAAUAAUUAAUUACGAAUUAACAAUAUUAAUUAAUUGCGUCUCGACAUAUUAUAUGCUGUGAUUUUCAUUUUCAAGAAUUUAGGCCUUAAUACAAUAUCUUAAACAACUAUUUACAUGUAUAUUGCAAUAGACAUCUUCAGCCUUAUCAAAUGUUUAUAUUUGUAUUUGCUUGACAGGGCAAGAAGAGUUUUUAUUUUAUUUUUUAUUUUUUACGAAUAGCUAGAAGAAGUUAAUUAAGCUAUUAUAUUUUUUACUUUUUAUUUUUACGAUCACUGGAAUUCAGUUACCUUUCCAUAAUGAAAGUAUAGGUAGAUUAUUAUCAUUACUUACAAAACAUCAUCUUUUAAUUAUUCGGAGAAUGUUAGGUGAUUAAAUUAGAAUCGAUUUAGGAAAAAAUCAAUUAUCCCUUUGAGUAGGGGAUAAUUGUCAUUGUUAAAGCAUAAAGAAAAAAUUGAACCUGGCAUGAUCUUUUUUUUUUCUCCUUCUAUAGUCUAUUAGGUGUUUCUCUUCCUUGUAGGGAAAAGGUUGGUCUAUCCUUACAAUAUAUUUGUCCCAUUAGGAUAAGAUAUAUCCCUAAUCUACAGUCACAUCAAGGUAAAAUAUCUUAGAUCCAUUAUGAUAAAAUAUCUUUGAUCUAUGGUCUCAUCAGGAUAAAAAUAUCUCUAAUCUAUGGUCCCAUCAAGAUAAAUUAUUUUUGAUUUGUCAGGAGGCAUAUAAGCUCAGCGCUUGGCUAAGUCCAAAGACAAUGGGUCUAGCAAUUCACCAACCCAUAGGUGUUUGGGCUCAGCACUUGGCUGAGCCUAGGGAUGAUGGUUCAUCACCCUCUCAUGGUCAACCUUUUAAAGAGUAGUUUCAAACAACCAAACAAAAAAGCAGUAAAUGUUGAUUCAUCAGUAGCCUCCUAAAUCUUUGAGUAUCAUACGCAAAGAUUUUGAAAAGCCUUUACUCGUAGCAAAUAAUACCCUUUUUAUCUUUCCUAUAAGAUCUUUAUAUGUCCCUCCUAGCACUAUUAGGAUCCUUAAUUCUAGGCUUCUUUCUACGGGUAGGAGGUUUGCUUUGGGGAACAAAACGAUGGAUAGCACUUGAGUAGCUUUCUCGAUAUAUGUGAUGAAACGAAAAGUUUUUUUAUCUGGCGGUGAGGAUGUAGGGGUUUUCUCUUUAUAACCCUAGUUGUUCUUACUUUUAUCUUUCCUUUACUUUUACUUCAUUUAAUCUAUAAAAAAAAAGAGAAAAAACUACUCUCAUAGAAGAUACCUUAAGUCACGUCUUCUUUUGACCAGAGAAAAACCUGUAUGCAUCAUCCUCAAAAAAAUUUAAAAGGAUCUUUCUUAUUCUACCAGAAUUAAUGAAGCCAAGAAACACUAGGCUCCAGUUCUUAACAAGAAGUUUAGGUUUCAACCAGAACCUAAACAGAGCAAUAGGGGACAUGGGUCCCUCGGAUUAGGCCCUAAGGUCCGGGGGAUGCCAUAUUGGUGGAGAGGAGAAAAAUCCUCUUGUAGGGGCCUAUUUUCUUCUCUUACUAGAGGUGCUCAAGAGAUGGGGUCUCUUGAGCACAUACUUAAUAAAGCAUUUUUAGGUAUGGGCGGUGGACGAUCUAACCUUAGAUGGAUUUGUGAGGAAUCUGUCUUUUUGAAAACAAGGAUAUGCCAUAUGCAGAUGCCCACCCAUUAGUUUGGGUGUAUUCGUGGUGAAUCAUUAAGAAGCCUUCUAGUAUGAAGAGGUGUCGAAUGGUUUUAAUUUUAGUCUGUUAAAAGCCUUAUGGGCAUUGUUCCUAAAGGAACAGAAAACUCUUUAUCUAGGCAGAGUCCAUUCCAUUUUUUAAAGAAGCACCAAUCGCAUUAGGAAGAACAUGUCAAUCACUUCCAAGGUAAAUUGUGUUAUGGCAAUAAGGAGACUUUUGUUACUUCCAAAGUAAAUGUCCUAUCGCGUUAGAGAGAGUAAAUUCAUGCCAUCUCUUGGAAGAUUAAAUGAAGAGAGCAUAUUUAUCCUCAUUGCUGAUGUAGCGUUUGUCCCAUCCUUGGAAAAAGAUGUGAUUGCACCGGGGAGAACAUUUCAAUCCAUUUCGAGGUAAAUUAUGUCAUAGCACUAGGGAGAUGUUUGUUACUUCCAAAGUAAAUGUGCUAUUGCACUAAGGAGAGUAAAUUCAUCUCAUCUUUGGAAGAUUUGAUGGGAAGAGCGUAUCCAUCCUCGUUGUUGAUGCAGCGUCUAUCCCAUCCUUGAAGAAAUGUGUGAUCGCACUAUGAAGAACAUGUCAAUCUUUUUCAAGGUAAAUUGUGUUGUAGCACUAUAAAGACAUUCAUUACUUCCAAAGUAAAUGUGUUAUCGUACUAAGGAGAGUAAAUUCAUCCCAUCUUUGGAAGAUUUGAUGGAUAGAGCAUAUACAUCCUCGUUGUUGAUGCAACACCCAUCUCAUUCUUGGAGAAAGGUGUGAUUGCACUAGAGAGAAUAUGACAAUCCCUUCUAAGGUAAAUUGUGUCGUAGCACUAGGGGGAUAUUCAUUACUUUCCAAGUAAAUAUGCUAUCACACCAGAGAGAGUAAAUUCAUCUCAUUUUUAAAAGAUUUUGAAACCUAGAGAGUAUAAAGCAUUUGUUUUUUAAUUUUGAACAAUGUAAUUCAUAUACAAGAAACUUAUAUUUCUAGUCAUUGAUCAUAAUACAUUUUUAUCCCGCUUUGGGGCCCUAAAGAGAAAAGGGAAUUGUGUUUCUCUGAUGAAGGUUUGAUGGGUAGUCCUCAAAAGGACUCGUCUCAGAUAAACAUAGUUCUUUUAGUUAUUGUGGAAAUAUGACUGGAAAAAGAUAACAUAACCUCCCUAUAUAGGGAUCAUCUACCUUGUCAGGUCUACAAGCUUGGCAGGAGUCUUUAGCUGGUAGUAACUCCUGAAGUUGCACGGAUUGAAUCAACACUCUGUUGGUAGCCAUUGAAGGCUUUCCAAAACCUCAAAGUUCCAACUUCGAUAGUAAUUAAAGAUGAUAAUGACAAUGAAACCACUUAUUUGCAAUAACUCCUGAAGUUACACGGUUUGAACCAACAUCCCGUUGGUACCUGUUGAAAAUCUUCCAAAACUUUAAGGCUCCAAACCCGAUGGUAAUUAGGAAUAAUAACGGCCUGGCUCUUGAAGUAACCAAUUAUGAGGUCUUGUUUUGUCUAGUGAGCUUAAAGGUCAGGAAUCUUCUAAUUCUGGCAACUUGACCCACCCUUCUAUGGUGAAAGCGCAGGUAGAUCAUUAUCGUUACCUGUAAAAGGUCUUUUUUUUUAUCGAUUUGAAGACUCUUCGACUAUUAAAUUGGAAUCAGUUUAGGGAAAAAUAAAUUAUCCCUUUGAGUGAGGAUUUUUCUUUUAAGAUAGAAUUGAUAUUGUUAAAGCAUAGAUAAAAAAUUGAACCUGACACAAUCAUAUUUUUUUCAUCCUUUUAUAGCCCUCCAAGUGCUUCUCUUUCUUGUAAGGAAAAGGUAAAGGUUGACUUGUCUGCAAAAUAUCUUUAUCCCAUUUGGAUAAAAUAUAUAUGAUCUACGGUUCUAUCAAGAUAAAAAAAAAUAUGAUCUAUCAAGGGGCAUCUAGGCUUAGUGCUUGUCUAAGACUAAGGAUAAUAGGUCGGGGAUGAUAGGUCUAGCAACUCGCCAGACCCACAGACGUCUAGGCAUCCAUAAGCGUCUAGGCUUAGUGUUUGGCUGAGCCCAGGGACGAUAGGUCUCAUAACUUGUUAGACCCACGGGCGUUCGGGCUCGACGCUUAACUGAGCUCAAAAACAAUGAGUUAUAACCCUCUAAUGGUCAGAUUCAAACAACCAAAUAAAAAACAAUGAAUGUUCAUCCAUAUUAUACACACACACACAUGCAUUGCAUUAUACCCAACCUUAUUAUUAAGACAAAACAUUAUUCAUAUAAAAUAAAAUAACAACCCUCACGAUCAUAAUAACAAAUUCUACACAUAUUUGUUUUAAUUUUUUAAAAAAAUAAUUGCAGUCUACAAUCAAUGAAUAAUAAGGAUACGAUAAGAUACAGUGAUUUCCUCUUACAAUAAAAUUGAGUUCAAAUUAUGGAAAGGUAGUAUUUGAAUACAUGACUUUUCCGCAAAUAAAAGCAGAUCAUGCUGCCUCUAGAAUAGUGGCCAAUUGUUGCCAUAUACAUUUUUCUUGAAUGCUCCAAGAUUCCAUUUUUUCAUAAAGUAUAUACUUUGCAAGUGCAAUCGCUUUCCCUUGAAAAAUAAUUCCAAGAUAUAUUAGAAAAAGAAAGAAAGAAAGACGACCCAGCAAACAACAGCGAGAGCCUUAACAGCAAACUCAUUUGCAAAAGCAAUACUUAGAACAUCUUUGACAGCUAACCGGACCAGUUCAUUCAUUAAAAAAAAAAAAAAAAAAGUUGGCAGUAGGUAAUGGCUGAUCUUCCAAAGCUCUCCUCACAGCAGCAGCCUCCAAAGUCUUCUUGCCUCGCCAGCACAUAGUCAGUAGCUACAAACAAGAAUUGUCAGUCUGUUCAUGCCCACAACCGCCGCAUCCUUUCUCAAUCCCAAACACCAAGAGAGCAAAACCCCUUCCAUUUCCCCACCACCACCACAAGCCAUGGGUGGAAAUGGCAAACGGAGAUGGAACAUCUCUUUCUAUUCUCGCUCAAAAACUACUCAAACCCAACAACCUCCUCCUAAAGAAUUCCUCUGUCCCAUUUAUGGAUCCUUAAUGUCCGACCCUGUUGUUGUCUCCUCUGGCCAAACCUUCGAGCGGCUUUCUGUCCAAGUGUGCCGCGAUUUAGGCUUUACCCCCACCCUCGAAGACAACAUCCUCCCUGAUUUCACCACAGUAAUCCCCAAUUUAGCCAUCAAAUCAACGAUUCUCCACUGGUGUGAUACUUCAGGCACCCAGCACCCUGGUGCACCCGAUUACUCCUCUCUCGAGGAAAUUGUCCGCCAAAAAAUGAAAUUAUCGUCAUCGAAGUCGAUGCAAGUAAAUAUGACCCGUCCAGAUAUUAGAGUUUCCGAGAAGGAGCUCCUUGAGGGAGUAGCUGAAAAGCCUCCUGUUCUUUUCUCCCGCGCCAACACUGAGUUGACUCACCGAGUCAACCAUUUCUACUCCAGCUCCUCCGAAGAACCCGUGAUUGUCAAGACAGCCGCCACUCCAGCAGCUAGUCCGCUCACUCCUUUGCCUCUGGUGACUCGGCCAGCGUGCUAUUCUUCCACAUCCUCGUCGGCCAAUUCGAUUACAGAAUCCGAAGACCCUUCUUCGAAUUCUUCGUGCUCGCGUGAAGAAGAUGAGAUAGUGGAAAAGCUUAAAAGUGUUGAUGUACGUGAUCAAGAAGAAGGUGUGAUUUGGCUGCGAAAGAUCACGAGAACGAAAGUAGAAAUCAGAGUUUCACUUUGUACGCCUCGACUACUCCCUGCUCUUCGUGCUUUAAUUGCUUCACGACAUUUUGUUGUCAAGACAAAUGCUAUUGCUUCACUUGUUAAUCUGUCAUUAGAGAAAGCAAACAAGGUGAAAAUCGUGCGGUCGGGUUUUAUUCCUAUAUUGAUUGAUGUGUUAAAAGGAGGGUUUAGUGAAGCGCAAGAGCACGCGGCUGGUGCGUUCUUUAGUUUAGCUCUAGAGGAUCAGAAUAGAAUGGCGAUUGGUGUUUUAGGUGCAUUGCAGCCGUUGAUGCAGGCGUUGAAGGCGGAGAGCGAGAGAGCACGCCAUGAUUCGGCAAUGGCGUUGUACCAUUUGAGUUUAAUGCAGAGUAAUCGGGUUAAAUUGGUCAAACUCGGUGCUGUUUCGAUGUUGUUGAGUAUGGUGAAUUCUGGUGAUUUGGCAAGCAGGUUGCUGCUUGUGCUGUGUAAUUUGGCUGCUUGUAAUGAAGGGAGAUCGGCCAUGCUUGAUUCGAAUGCGGUGGCAAUACUGGUAGGGAUCUUGAGGGAGGGUGGUGGAGGGCAUUCGGAGGUAAUUCAGGAGAGUUGUGUGGCUGCAUUGUUUGCGUUGAGUCAUGGGAGUAUGAGGUUUAAGGGAUUGGCUAAGGAGGCAAGAGCUGAGGAGGUGUUGAGGGAGAUUGAAGAGCGAGGGAGCAAGAGAGCCAGAGAGAAAGCGAAGAGGAUCUUGAUGAUGAUGAUGAGAGGGAGUAACGAGGAGGUUGAAUGGGAGGAGGAGGUUGACUGGGAGGAGGUUUUGGGAUUUGGUGGAAUCAGAGGCGGCGGGAGAAGCUUGCAUGGUCCAAACUCUACCGAUUUUUGAUAAUUGAAAAGUCUGUAAUUAUUUAUUUUCUCUUGUUCUUUAAUGUUUCAUGCAUCUGUCUCUCUCUUUUGUUGCUGAGAUCAGUUGACUGUAAGCAAGGUUGUAAGAUUUUUGGAAUGUGGUGGCUGCGCACACAAAUGUCUAGAAACAAAGUUUGGAUUUAGUUUUAUUGGAUAUUUUACAUAAAUAAUUGCAGCUGACCUUUGCCAAGAGUUUCACAUUAUAUGAUCCUUUAUUGACUUGUUCUUGAUUACUGGCUUUCGUUUUCAUGAUGACUUGUGCAUUCUGAGCACCAAUGGAUGAUGGUAGGAAUUGAUAGGUACGCCGGCAACUUUCUCUGGCCAAUUGGCAACGCUUCUACUUGACAAUUGUUUUAUUUUAAUGUAUUUUUAAUUUUAAUUUAUUUUUAAUUAAAAAUUAUUUUUAAAAAUUAUAAUAAAUUAGAUUCUGCAAAUAAGAUCCUAUGUUUGUUAUAUUUAGAAAAAAUGUAUCAAAAUAAUAUAUUUUUUUAUUUUUUUAAAAUUAUUUUUAAUAUUAUCACAUCAAAAUGAUUUAAAAACACCAAAAAAAUAUUAAUUUUAAAAAAAUAAAAAAAUUUAAAAUUUAAAAUUUUUUUAAAAAUAUUUUUUUUAAAAAAAAACAAAUAAACACUUGAACAAUUUAAUCCAACAGCCUUUAAUGCAUAACCAACAUCCAAGAAUUUGCUGAUGUAGAAAUAUUAGGUACACAAAACACAAUUUUGGUUAAAAUGCCUUGCCCUAAUUUAAAAAGAAAAUCAUUGUAAGAAAUUUUACUGAAAAAAUGAAUAAAAUCAUUUUCAAAAAUUCUAAAAAUGAGUAAUGAGAAAAUCUUCCUAAGAUAAUAUAUUUUUAUCUGUUGCAAGGGAAAAAACGGUAAGAUGCAUGGAAUGGCAUUCUGAUAGACAUGGACUAGGCUUUUUUGUCAUGGAAAAACACUGAUGAAAAUUCAUUAAGUAAAUAGCUGCCUUCUGGUUUUCACAGAAGUAGUUGUGUAGAUUUUCUACAGACAAGGUAAGGGGUAUCGAAAUCAGGACUCCGUUUGUUUUUUUUGGAAAAUAAAUUACAGAAAAGUAAAUUAUUUUUUGAUGUUUGAUAGUGUCAUGAAAAAUAAGUUGGAAAACAUUUUUCAGUAUUUGGUUAUAUUAUGAAAAAUGAGCUGGAAAAUAGCUUAUUAAUAUUUUUUUUCAAGUUUAUUAAAAUAAUAAGGAACAAAUUUUACAAAUUAAAAAGUUGAAUGAAAAUGGAAUUGUAAAAAAUUCUAAUUUCAUAAAUUAUCUCAAAUAAAAUAAAUAAUAAUCAAAAUAAUAGAGAUCAAAUCUAACAGAUAAAAAAAAUUGAAAGAUGAUGAAAUUAAAAUAAUAAUAAUUACAAUUUCAUAAAUUAUUUUAAAUAAAAUAAGUAACAAUCAAAAGAAUGAGGACCAAAUUUGAUAGAUAAAAAAUUUUAAUUUAAAAAUGAUAAGAGAAAAGUAAAUAACAAUCAUAAAAAUAAGAACCAAAGUUAAUAUAAAAAUCAAAUUAAAUCAAAUUUUAAGGGAUGAAUUUGAAAAAAAAAAGAUUCAAACAAAAUAUAUAGCAAUCAAAAGUUUGAGGAUCAAAUUUGACAUAAUCAGCAAAUAAUAUGAUAUUUUUAAAUUUUUAACAACUUCUGAAAAGUGUUUUCCGUCCAAAAUAAAAGGAAAAAUCUUUCCUAAAAAUCAAGCUGAAUUUUUCUUUGACAGGAAAGUGUUUUUUGUUGACCGGAAAGUAUUUUCCGUUAACUAACUUUUUUAAUGACAAACAAAUAUAGAAAAGUUUGGAAAAUAAUUUUUCAGAAACUAUUUUCCAAAAAACAAACGCAUCUUAGGAUAUGCUGAUCCUGUCGAACAAACAUAGGAUAGUUAUCUUGUCUAUUAAAAACGAUCCUACUUCGACACGUAUGUAAAUAACAGAUGGUGAUUCUUUUAUCUAAUAAAAACAUAAUUCAAGUUUUUUAAAGUCUAGCAAUGAAGAUAGAAAGUAAUUAUUUCUUGAUGACAAAUAUUCAAAGUGAAUGUUAAAUUAUGUUUCAUGCAGAACAAUUUACUUUGAACAUACCUUGUUGGAUGUUUUUCAAUAAAUUUUUAAUCUUAGAUAUUAUAAAAAAUAAAUAAAAAAACUUUUUUUAUUCCCAUGAUUGAGAUCUUAAUUUCAUAAAUUUUUUCAUUAAAAAAUCGAUCAACUUAGAAAGUACCUUCGGAUUUUAUUUUAAAAUUGUACAUUUGAUUGAUUUUAAGUAAAAUGUCAAAACGUUACUUUAAAUUUCAUAAAAUUACCUUGUGCAUAACUUGUCAAUACAAAGUCUUUGCCUUAUAUUCCAUGAUUGAGAUUUUCAUAACUCAUUUUCUAUCCUCAAUAUUUUAAUUUUAUUAAAUUAAAAAUCUAAAAUAAAAUUGUAUCUCCAUCAAAAUUCUUUGUUUUUUUUUAAAUAGCUAUUUUGUAAACUUCUAAAGAUUUUUAGCCUUUUUGUAUAUUUUAUUUCGUUUCAUAAAACAGUGAGCCAAAAAAAACAAAAUAAACAAAAUAAAAACAAAGAUAAGAAAAAUAUAAGUGCUUUCUUUAAGAGAUAAGCACUUUAACAAAGAAGUUAGGGCAGAUUGUUUAUGUAAGACUUUCUCUC
rnacentral:lncRNA from 1 species